rnacentral:lncRNA from 1 species
GUCUUCGUCCUCCAUCACAGCUUUACUUUUGGACAGGAGAGCCAACGAACCUAGGCUUGAAACCACAUUCUUCUCCUGCAACACGAUCUUCUCCUGAGAUUUCAAGAUGCCCACCAGUUUCGCCAAAGAGUAGGAUUUAAAUUGCUCGUGCGCUUUAACUGUGGACACAACUGCUCUCCACUCGGAUCUGAGACCGUUCAAAAAUGUAACCUUCUGCUCAAUAAGCUUCCUUUCGAUGUCAUGUUUGAUCAUCUUGCUAAGAAGAUGAUUGAAGCGAUCGAACGUUUGGGUCACAGUUUCUUCGGCUCCUUGCUUGAAUUCACCAAACUCAGACAAGAGUAAGGUUUGAAUGGAGUGUUCAAGAUCUUCGUCUGUAGAGUACAAUUCACGUAGCCUGUCCCAUAUCUCUUUUGUUGUCGUGCAUGAACUCACCAGCCUAAAAGUAUCAGAUUGAAGAGCGAAUCUGAUCAACCUUAACGCUUUGAUAUUGCACUGAAAUUUAUCUUUUUCGUCUUGCGCAAUAUCUUUAACAUCUUUCAGAAGAUCAUUAUACUCCUUUUGAGUUUUAAUAAUCCUUGAAGUUGCUGAAUGAGAAAAGGGUCCAGAGAUGAUUGCUUUCCAGAUGAGGUAUCCAUUAUCCUCAGAUCCUAUAACGUAAUCUUCAAAGUGAUGCGCCCAGACUUCAUAAUCAUGGGUGUACAGGAUGGGAAUCUUCGUUGUUGAUCCAAUGCUGUUCGAAAUAUUGAUGGGAUUCGAUUGCGACUCGUCCAUAAUGAUCGAAUAACCUGUUCAAAGAUCAGACUUGUAAUAAAUCAAAUUAGGGCAAAACAAUAAAUAUCGAGAUACGUCAAUAAUGAUAUGACGGCUCAAUAAAUAUCAGUAAUUGCGGAAUAACCCUAAUCGAAACCUUUUUCACAAAAAAGAAGUGUAUCGAUUACACAGCCUCCUGCUCUGAUACCAAUUGAUAAGUUAAAAACUAACUUGAAGAUCGAUUAGAUCUAUAAAAACAGGUAAAGAAAUAAACAAGUAAACGGCAAGAACACAAUAAUGGAUCAAACGAUGUCGAAUGAUUAAUAAACAGUCCUCAGAAGAGCUCAAUAAAGAACUUCUACUGUAGAGGAUUAGGGUUUACAAGAACGAUAAAGAAAUCUGCAAAGCUAUCGUAAUGCUAUCAAUCGUAUUCUAGAUCGUUAACCUAACAUGCAUGCAAGCACAUUAUUAUAUACUAAACCCUACAAGCUCACGGUUGGACAGGCCCAAACCGAAGUACAAAACUUGGACUAUAAACCGAGCCCAAUGACGCAAUACAAAAUAAAGCUACGCUACCCAACACGCAUUCAGCCCUCCAGGACCAGUCAUUUGACUGUGACACCAGGGUCAUCGUGCGAGGACUUGGUCAAUUCCAUUUCUGAUCCCCAACAAUAGGCGGUCACACUCUUGAUUCAAUUCAAAGGCUAUAACCCAAAAAAGAACCAUGCAUAUAAUUCAAACCAAGUGCUCCAUUGUUGUCUUGUCCAGAAAUGUUGCUAAAACUCUAGUUGGAUGCAUCCAAAUACCAACCCUGCCAGCACGACAUGCCAAAAAUUAGAUUCUAUGCAGAUCUAAUGUCUCAUAUCGAAAACUGAACAACACUGCCCUAAAUUCUGGAAUCCCAAUAACCAAGGACACCUUCCAAACUCGAGCCGAACUUGAUGAUAGGUUGAAGAAUCCAUUGAACCUCAAAUGAUACAGCUCAAAUUUCCGAAGAGUCUUCACUUUGACGAUGAAUGAAAUAUUGCCCAAUCUAGACUAUAAAUAACAAUCCAUAGAACGAGCUAACAAAUCCCUCAACAACCGAUACUCUACCUGAGCGAUCCUAGCGCCUCCUCAUCUCUUCAUUGGCAUCCCAAAAGGAACCAAUGGCUACAACGACCUCCUUGACCAACUACUUCCUACUGCGAGACAACUUGUGUAUUUCCUAAACACAUACAUCCGAUAACUACUUGCUCUACAUCCCAUACUUGACCAAAUCUUGAACAGAAACCCCGCAUACCCACACCGUAGAUCCAUAUGAACCAUUCUUCCGACACCACAAACUCAAACAGAUUGAUAAUCCUCCUAGCAUAAUACCUAGUUCUCCCUUACUUAGGGUUCGAACUACCACUCACUGGUGUUGCAACAAAACCAUAUAUCGUACCGGCUCGACUCGGUACAAACCAUCCCUAACUCUUGGAAUGUAUGACACAUGCAAGAUGAUCUUCCAAAUAAGGACCAAGCAAACCCAAAGAGAUUCAAAAUCUCAGAUGAAGAACUCAGAAAAUUCCAAUCAAGCCACAUUUAACAUUAAGGGUUUCAUGCAAAUGCAUAAGCAAAACACCAAAUUACUAUCCAAAAACAUACACUCCUCGCCUGAAAUCCCAACCGUCAAUUCAUUGUAAUAGUCGUUCAUAAAUACCAAAAGGCAUCAUUCUCAUAGUCGGGAUACAUUAGAGCAGUGUUCUAAAAGGCGCGCCAUGGCGGGCGCCAAGGCGCGCCAUGGUGUGAGGCGCGGCGUCGCCGUUACGAAAAGCUUCAUAACGUUGUUGUUAGGCGUGGCGCGUGGCAAGGCGUGAUAUGGCGUGCCAUGGCGCGUUAUGGCGUGUUAUGGCGCGUGUUUUUUUGUUUGAGACACGUUUUUUUGCUCUUUUUUAUACCUUUUCUAAUCGGACAUACAAGUAUUGUGUUUUUUAUUAACUUUCUGUUAUUAGUUGUUGAUAUAACACUUCUAAAAACUAGAUAUAUUUGAUAUAAAUUGAUAUUUAUGCGGUAAUAUAAUUAUAAAUUAAUACAACAUCGCCGCCUUACAUCACGCCUUGAAAAACGCCAUGGCUCACCAUAACUCGUUAAGCUUGAGGCUUAGCCUUGCCACCACGCCACGCCUCACGCCUUUUAGAACCUUGCAUUAGAGAUAACAAAAGUUCUCGCUCUCGAUUCGCCUGAAACCAUCGGCUAGCUCCUGGCCUACCUAUAUUCCAAGAAGCAGACCCUUGGUCUCAUCACGAGGCAUCCAUAACACAACAAUCCUCAUGCGUAUUCCCACGCUGUCAUACUGCCGCCAAACACCGCAUCUAACUAGCCCCAUGUUGGGCUUACAUCCGACUCUAUAAGUCACAAAGAUGCUCACUCCUUCUCCGAACAUGGAAAACUAGGAGAAAAUAACCCUUUCCAUAGAUAGUGACAUUCCAGUCCAUCUGUCAAUCACUCAUCCUCCGGCCGAAAUCCUCUAUCCAAUCACGACAUCUACUUCCUUCUUGAGUCCCGCGACUCAAUUGGCACUCCUUUGAGCCAGGCCCUCGGGACCUCAAAUCAAAUGAGUCACCUGGUCCGCACCAUUUAAACCCAACAGACAUGGCCAAUAAAGCCCAAACAAUCACUAGACUCAUCCUCAUCCUGAACAACCAUAACCAGAAGAUCGGCAGAUACAACAAUACUAUCACGAAUCAUGGUAUCAACCAUGUCAUCUACCCCCAACUAGACCCUUGUAAUCCUCAUGACUUCUCUCUAUUCGAGUAUGGAUCCUACGCUUUUAGUAGUAUGGGCCCAAUACUACAUUCCACACCUUUCUAUACUUUCCUCAAGAUUCAUCCCAAGUCAUCUAAGUUACUUGCUUAAUAUAGUACUUCCAACACCCACUAAACAGCAUAGCAACCACACUAAAGCACUUCCUAGAUUCUCCUAGGAUUCCCCACCUCCCUGCCAUUAGCUGCUGAAGAACCCCUAUUAAUGUCAGCUAACCACUUCAUGAAUACAAUUACAUGCAACAAAACUUAAAUAAUCUUUCGACUAAAAGACUCAACCCUACAACGUUUAGAGUCAGACGAGAGUUGUGCAAUUGGACCAAAUCCUUCACUCUAGGAUUAUUUAACCUUCAUAACAUGUAACUUUAAUGUAUCAUUUUAUAGUUAACUCACAUCAAUAAGAGAUCUACAAAGCACAGAGCAGGAAACAUUCGAGCAGUGGAUUCGACUGGCAUUAAGACACAAUAAAAUCAGACAGGUCCUCAUUCGAAAUUCCCAACCUCUAGGCACAAGCAUCUAGGAUACACCUUUAUCAUGUCCUCACUCUCUCAUGAGUGGCUAAUCAUUCCCCACGCUGACCUGCUAUGAACUACACCCACUCAUUAAACUUUUACCAACCCUACAUCCACUUGUGAAUUCUAAUCAUAAAUAACGUUGGAUCCCAUAAACAGUCGAAUACUUGACUCAACCCCAAGUCAUUUAUCAGAAAAGAACAUGAAAUAAAUCAAAAUAAAAUAUUCUCAUACUAUAGAAUCUUUGUUAUGUACAACUAUGAAUGAUGCACACACAAAACACCUAUAAUAAUGAUGUCAAUUUCAUCUAACAUAUAAGAAGUUCUCCUAGGCUAUCAGACAUGAUACAUCAAGCAAUUCUAUCAGGCAAUUCCUGCAGACCCUGAGCCUAUCACUAGCAUGCAGUUCUAUCAUAAUCAUCAUAAACAAGUACCCGUGUGGUAACUUGGGGUAUACUUUCUUGCUACGGCUGAUCAUACGCAUCUCGUCCUUCGUGGUUACUUCUGAAAACAAUUUGAAUUUAAUUUGAAAAUUAUUUGAAAACAAUUUGAAAAUAAUUCGAAGCUUUCAAAGAUCCUUAGUUUGAUUCUAGAUUCACCCGAAUGUUCAUCCAAUUCUCUCAAACUCGGGCUCUGAUUCCAGCUUGUAACAUCCUAAAAAUCAAAGUAAAAUUUUCAUUUAUCAAAAACUACCCCAAGACAAUAACUGUUUACAAAAACAUUGUUUCAAAAGUAUAAUUCAUCAAUCAGAGUAUCCCAAUAUCCAAUACCUUAAAAUCCGAAGGAUGUGCACGAUCAAGCCUUCGCCUUGCCACGAUCAUUGGAAGUACCUGAAACAAUAAACUAAACAGUAAGCACGAAUCUUAGUGAGUUCCCCUAAAGUACCACCACACAAAAAUAUAACAUAUACAAUCAUGCAUGUUGGGUCCAAUCAGUCAUUAGACUGGAAUACCCUUGGGUCCACAACCUCUCCGUUGGAUUACUCUUGGCCCACAACCUCUCCGUUGGAUUACUCUUGGCCCACAACCUCCCAGUUGGAUUACCCCUGGACCACAACCUCCCGGUUGGAUUGCCAUACAUACUACAUAUUGGGUCCAUAACCUCUCAGUUGGAUUACCCCUGGCCCAUAACCUCCUGGUUGGAUUGCCCCGGGUUUGUUGACUGGUAGCACAAAGCAGUACAGUAUCAACCUAACCACACCAUGUCAACAUAUACAUCAAAUAAACAUAUAAACAGUCAGAAGACAAUAAGAAGAUCUACAGAUCACUAGCGCAUAACAUCAUCCUAUAUACUAAGAUACAUAUCUAACAUACCAUUACAACAUAUCAACAUCCUAUAUACCAGGAUACAUAUCUAACAUAUCCCCACAACAAAUCGACAUCCUAUAUAUUAGGAUAUAUGUCUAACUGAUCAGUAUAACAUAUCAACAUCCUAUAUACCAGGAUACAUAACCAAGUGGGGCGACAUUGGUGCCUUCGACCCGCAAGUACAGUAAGGAAACUGACCUCUCAGACCGAACAUAUAGUUGAACGGUCUCUGAUCUGAAUCUCAACUCUAGUCGUUACCUAUUCAUCAAAUACUGAACAAUCUCAAAUACAACUCAAAAUAUCUAAAAACCCUUAGGUCAAACUUGGUCAAGAUUCAACGGUCAAGAGUCAAAGUCAACUAUAGCACGUCGCCAUGCCAUGACCAUCCUUAGCCACGUCGUGGCCACUAAACGAAAAAACAAAUGGGCCUCGAUCCAAUCUCUACACCAUGGUAACCCGAGCCCCGCUUUGGGGACUGAUCUGGGCAACUUAAACCAUUAAGUCACUUUCAUUUCCAACUUUAAGGGCUCCAAAAUUAGAUCUGGUCCUUUCAAAGGUCCAAGUGUUCCAAAUUUAUCCCUUUAGACACUCCAAGUGAUAGAGAUCUCACUCCAAGGUCUAAAUAAGGAAAAAAUAUAACAUGGAUUAUUCAAUAAGCACUUAUCCUAGAAAGUCUAUUGACCAAUAACUCCAAAAGGGUUUGUAGCAUCAUUUCCAUCAUAAAAAUUCGUGCUUUUUAGGCAUGCAUGUCCAAUGCAUGCCUUGAACUCUCAUUAGGUCAAAACAAGGGUAAAAGUGCCAAGAUUCCAUGCAUGACCUCCAAACUCAAUUCUACUUUAGAUUUAAAGAGCCAAAUACUCCAAAUGGCCUAAGGAUUUAUAAAGUUGCAAACUUUAUGAGAUCCUACCCUCUAAAAUCCACAAGAUAUGAAGACAAAGGACCAAAAUCCAAGAUCUACCAACUUGGAAAGGAAAGUAUUGAGUCUUCAACACUCACCCAAGUCUAGAAGAUGUAUAUGUUGCUAACAAGGUGAUAAACCACACCAGUGACUUCCUUCUCCUUCAAAGUAUACCAAAAAUGAACUUUCAAGAGUGAUGGAGGCCAAGGUUUCAAGAUGGGGAGGUGGAGGCUGAAGGAGAUAACCUAGAGAGGGAGUUAAGGCGUUUAUAUAUAAGGGAAACCCUAAAAAUCCUAGAUUUGAGUUUCAGCGGCUGUUACAUCGUAGCCUUCUGAUGCUACUGAUGGGUUUGAGCCAAAAGAACAUCCUAUGUGCUCAUGUAAACCCUAAUGCUUGGAUCUAGGUUUCUCUAAUUGUACAUGAAUUCAUCCAAGACUUUCAAACCCUAGAUCUAAUGAGUAUAAUUUGAAAUUAAUGUGACAAAUUAGAUCUAGAUGAUUACCUCUUGUUGCUUGCUUGAAUCUUCUUGUCUUUGAAGCUUAGAGUCACAAGUGUCACUCCUCUAAUGGCUUACAAACACUAAUAGCAAAAAAAUGAUCUUGGAGAGAGGUUGCAAGAGGCAAAGUUUCGGCUAUGAUCUUUCUAGGGUUUCAAGUGACCGCAAAUUGUAAGCCUUAGGGUCCUAUUUAUACUGGAGCUGCUAGGGUUUCAGCCUAAACCCUAAUGGACAACUUAGGCCUUAAGCUAUCCAAGGAAGAUUCUGGAAUAGGGCCUUGUGGCCAAAAUUAUGGAUGAACACAUCCUAAUUUCGUCCAUGCCUAGCCCAAGAGGUUCCUCAGCCCAAUACUCAACUAUCACACAUUUGGCAGUUUAAGUCCAUGUUAUUAAAUUAAUGUCUUUUAGCCACAAAAUUAAUUCGUAAUAAUUCUUGACUAAUAUUAAUUUAAUUAUAUGAUUUCUCCAUUAAUAUAUUAUUCAUAUAACAUAUUAAUAAAUCAUAAACAACCUCUUUCUUAAUAAAUCAUCUUAUCAUGUUGCUUCGGUGAAGACAACCUAAAAGGACCAAGCACAACCGGGUCAAGUACUUGCCAAAUAUAGUUAUGGGCUUAAACACUAAUCCAACAGCUACGUUGUGACACCUACCAAGACACACGUUCAUUAAAUUUCAUGACACACCGUGGGUACCAUGCCCCACGUCAUGGCUGAGCAUUUCCUCCAAAUCCUUAUUAUGAUUUCUUAAUUAUUCUCCCAACCAUCUUGGGUCACGGGUGUUACUGCUAAAUCAAUGAUUGUUUCUGCUACCUUUAGCAAGUGUACCGAUGCUAAUAAAACCCAAUACUAUUGGUUUCGUCUGAGUAUUAGUUGUUUUUUGGGCUUGUUCCAUUAUGGGGCCUAAGAAUUUGGGUAGGACCAUGAAUCGAUGGCAUCCGGUAAGGCUCUCGACCCAAGUAUAAAUGAUAAAUACAUGAAUGGAAGUAGUUAGCCUAAGUCUGUAAGGGGGAAAAAUGUGUUACUAGAGGGAGGAAAAUGUCCUCUAGGUUGCGGCGAGGAAUGACGACCAUGAUUAUUUCCUCACCAAUUAUUGGGAGGGGGGGUGGGGGUCCCAAUGAAUAUAUCUGAUCUCAUGACAUGUCAACAAGAUAUGUAUGGUUAGACAGGGUAGCGAGAGUAGGGAUGGGCAUAUAUGGUGGAUAGGUCUUAUCCAAUUUUGUGAUGGGCUUCAAUUUCUAAUAUACUUUAAGCAAUAAUGAAUGUAGGAAGUGUUUUGGUGAAUAUAUGAUGCUACAAUAUCGUAUCUGUCCACGAAACCCCGGACAAGUUGUAAGGCCGAUUGUUGUUUGUUGACUUCGGUGUAGAUGUUGCACGUUCUUUGGAUGUAUCUCGAAGAUAUUGAUAAUAUUCUAGAAAAUAGGGCAUUAUUUCAAGUUUAAGGUUGUCGAACUUGUGUUCAGGAGCAUAAGCAUUAGUGCCUUUGUUGUUAAGGAAAAUAUUAUUGACUUAUACCCAUGCCUUGUGCAUGGGAAAUGGAUUCUUGUUCAAGGACCCGGACGAGUAUGUCUUUAGAUAAAAAGGGUUCCAUAAAUCUAUUGCAUGCAAAACAUGUGUAUCAAUUUCUGCCCAUAAAUCAUAGUUCUGGUUUUUGUGGAAGGAGUAGUGCUACCUAAUAGCUUCAUACAUGAAGUUGGAAUCUUUAACCCAUGAAGAUUAUGAUGGCAACCGGUUUUUAAGGACUUUCAACUUUUAGUUUUUAAGAAUAAAUUUGAAUUAAACAAAAAACUUUGUUCAUGAAUAGACGGCUAUAUUUUAUUUUAAACAAAAAACUCAUAAUCCAGAAACUAUUUCAAUUAGUAUUUUAGAGCUUUUCAAUUUUUAUGUUAUUUUACAAAUUUCAAAAGUCAAAAUAUUUUUACCGAACAUUAUACAAAUAAAAAUUAUAAAUUCAACUACAAACAAAUUUUACCAGAAAAACCUAUGAAGGUUGCCACUAGAAAUGUACAAAUGAUAUGAUACGAUUUGAUUUUCAACAAAAAAAAAAAAUGUAUGUCCCUUUCUAGAUUGGAGGACAAUAUAAUCAUUAUGGUGUUUAGUUGGAUAGAAAAUAAAAAAAAAAAAAAAAUUGGUGUUUGUAAUUGGAUUGAUUUGUGUUGUCAAACUUUUAACAUUUUGUAAUUUUGUUUUCGUUUUUUCACCCUUCUUUUGCUUUUAAAGUAGUGAUUUUAUAAUAUCUCCGUUAGUUUAAAAAAAAAAAAAAAAAAAAAAAAAAAAAAAAAAAAAAAAAAAAAACCUCCAAGCCAUGGAAAGUGGGGUAAAAAGGCUCUAAUUGAUUAUUUUCUUUUAUUUAUUUAUUUAUUUUAAAAUAAAACAUAUUAAAAAUAACACAUCAUUUAAUGCUAGCACUCUUUCUUUUAACAACUUGGAUGUUAUUAUAUUCUCAAUCAUACUUGGCUUCAAAAAUUGUUAUAUGGUUUCGAAAAAUCUUAUGUGUGGUAGCAUGCUAAGCAUUCUAGACUCCUUUCAAUCUUAUACGUAUCUUUCGAUAAAUUAUCUACAAAAUCUGUAUUUAUUCACAAUCUUUGAAUGCCAAUGUGAAGUAGUUUUGUGUCAUAAAUCCACUUUUGGACUUUUAAAAUUAAAGAAAAUUCAACCUUACAUCCAUUUAUUUUGCUUUGGUGUCAAUAAGCUAAAAUACAAAUAUUUUAGUUAUUUCAAAUAUCAUGAGCAUAAUGACAAUAUUAUUAAAUCAAUGUAACGGCUUUGUCGGUUAAUUAUAUUAUAAUUUAUGAUAAAUCAUUAUUUUACGGAUGAUCACUAAAAAAUUUAACAAUUUAAAUCAGAGUUAUAUAAUAUUCGCAUCUCAUAUGCUACAAGUUUAAUCACAUAUAGAAUUAUAAAUAAAUUAAAUAUUUUGAGCUUAUUUGCUACGUAAACAUGGCACAAAAAAGAUAUUAAUGUAAUUUUAUACACCUUGUUUACGUGCUUACGUUCAGAUAACAUCUUGCAUGUCUUGAAAAGAAAUAAUCUAUAAAUAUUAAACAAUAUUAAAUUAAAGGUAAAAAAUUAGAUGAUUCAAAUAAUAACUUAAUAUUAAUACGGAUAACCAAAGAGUUUCUAGCCAAGUAAUAUUGUAGUCUAAACAGUUAUCACGAUCAAAAAUAUAAUAGCGGUCACCGACCGCCAUUUGAAAUCACGGUUCUCGCGGCAGUAUAGCGAUGAUAUAACAUUUUUUAUAUUAUUUAGAAUUUAUAUAAAUCAGAGUAUUAAUCAGUAAAUCAUACAUCAAAAUUCAACCAAAUCCAAUUAAUUAGUUAAUCAGUAAAUCAUAAUUCGCAUAUCAUGUUUAGUUAAUCAUAUUUCACAUAUCAUAAUUAGUUAAUCAUACUUUAUAGACCGGUUACCAAUGUCACAUUAAUCAUAUUUUAACAUAAUCAACAAGAAAACAUAUGCAAUACUUACAAUUUUAUCAUAUUUUAACACAAUUACAGUUAGCAAAUAAAAUGAUUAAGUAAUUUGAUAGUUAAUCAUGAUGUAAUACUUUAAGUUUUCAUCACAAUUAGCAACACAACACAUACAUUGUUUCAAUGGAAGUCAUAACAGUAAAAAAAUUACAAUUUUAUUCAAUGGAAUUACGCAAAUUUUGGUUUGGACUAAGUAAAAACAAUUUUGUUUAAUGGAAUGACAUACAAUUUUUUUUAUAUGUAAAAUAGCCUAAAAUUGGAAUUUAUUCAAAUAGUGGUUAUAUCGCCGUUAUAGCGGUGAACAUAAUCGCGGUGAAUAGCGGUAAAUUGCAACGCUAAUAGCGUCAUUGCUAUUCUAAACUGCAAUUUUAAAAUAACAUUUAUUUACCUCCGUUAACCGCUAUAGCGCCGCUAUUGACUACAUACAUUGUAGUAUCCGGUGCCGUAAUAUAGUCGUUUACAACAUAUUUUAACUAUUCCUUCGAGCAAGAAGCAGCAAAAGUAAGUAAAAUUAGUACAGCUGCUUCUAAUAAGAAAUAAAAUAAACAAUAACAAAAGUAGCUUUUAUUUAGUAUACUGCUAUUUUAAACAGGGCAAUCUAGAAAUCGUUGGAAAUAUUAAAAAUAACAUGCAAAGGAAACAAGAACAUUAAUGACAAAUGAUGAUUGCUUCACGAUAGAAAAGGAGUUCGAAUAAUAGAUAAGAUACUUUCUUCCGUGUGCCGCGAAAUUCACCCAACUUUGACCGUCGACAACCCAUCUCUCAAUUUCCUUUCAAAUUGUUUAUGCAGCCACUUUCAUAAAUUCCUUUAGAUUUUUUUUUUUAUUUUUAGUAAGACUAAUAAACGACACGGACCCUAAAUAAUUAUCAAUUUAGUACGGAGCCGAGCAGUUUCAGCCAUGGGUUGUUGGCAAUACCUAGUAAAGGUGGUAAGGCCAUUUAAGAGAAGUCAUGUAUAAAUCGUUGGGAGCUUUCUUUUUCACUCUUCUUUUUUUUUUUUUUACGGUUUGAAAACGGGUCGAAUUUUAAAAAUGAAAAAUUAAUUUUUUUAUCCACUAUAAAUACAACUAUCUACCUCAAAUUUAGGGUUGUUUGAGACUUUUUUUUUUCAAACGACGAAAUAAUAUUAAAACUAGCAAGAAGCUAAAAAAAUAAAUUUUUUUAGAACGGUGAAAGAUUUUGUUAAAAAAAUAGCAAGAGGCUUCAAAAAAGAAAAAUUACAUCAAAAUAAAAGUUAAAACCAGAUUAUGAAACCAAGAAGUUCAUCUGAUCCUAGAAUUACUAGACCUAUUAGAAAUCCAAAAAAAUGUCUUCUCCAUAAUAGCAUCAAAGAGAUCCGAUUUCCUAGGAAUAGUCGAGCCAAAAACAAAAUUAUUUCUAAAAUUCCAAAGACACCAAAAAACCGAAAUAAUCACUGCGUCAAAAACUUUUCUUUGACCAACCCUCAAACUUGUAGAAUCAGUCCACCUCAUGAUAUUGUAAUCUUAUCCGGAACAUCCCACCAAAUAGCAAUAUUGUGACAUCCCCAAAAUUUUUGGCCAGAAAAGACCGAUUUAAUUUAUGUUUUUAAAAUAAAGUCAGAGUAAUCUUCCAAAAUGUGUUGCGGAAUUUGUCCCCAAAACAAAAUAUGAUAAAAAUUUAUCAAAUCAUUUCUUAAAUAAAUGUAUUUUCAUUAUAUAACAAAAUCUCGAGAUGUCAUGUUCUGAUACAGACCAAAAGCAUAAACAGUACAUUAUAAGCCUUUCACCAGUUAUUUACAUCCACAGACCUAUAAUCUAAAAUCACUCGUUAUCAUCCAAUUAUGCUCUGGGUCCACUACCUUUAAUACACAGAAAGCUGAGUGAGUCAGGUUUGGGAGCCUGGUGAGCAUAUAGGGUUUUCAACCCACAAUAAAUAAAUUUAUUAGUUUCAUCAAUCAACAAUAAAUUUAUUAAUUUCAUCAACCAACAAUAACCUUGAUUAUCCGUUCCCGUUAUACUCACUUUACGUCCCUAAACACCUAUCAUAAGGGACCUAGCCUAAAGAUUUUCAUCGGGAUGACAACACUGCUUUAGGGAUUCAUCCACAAUUUAUGUCAAAUAAGGCAACCAUAAGGGGGAUGGAGUAUACCGGUGAACACUAAGUUCAAAAACACCUACAAGUUGCGAGCCUACUAGCGUUCCACUAGACUGUCUAGAAAUGUAUGUGGUCGACAUCUAUACUCCGCUAGAUGACUAUAACAACAACAACAUCGAGAUCUCUCAUCAUUUUAUCACACAUCAACUAUUUCAUUUACCCAUGUUUUACCCAACAUAUUUGUAGAUAAAAAUACAUAUACAAUUUAAAACUUGUAUAAAACAUCUAUUCAACACCCAUCUCAAAUAAACAAACAAUAUAUAUACACAUAGCACGUAUUUUAUAGAAAAUAUUUCAUAUCUAUGUGUAAGAUGAAAGUGACUACACACUCACUUGAUAAGACAGUGAUUGGACAUCACUUCGUCCCUUAAAACAAUCUUCUUUGAUAAAACCGGGAUGUUUUCUCAAAAACCGGGCUUCACGCGGCCAGAGUUUUGUCUCGAAAAAUUCUUUUCUCGGGAUCUUCGGGCUCUCCGUGGCUUGCUUACGAUGCUAGGAUAGUACCCUAGGCUUUGGGGGGUUUAGAAUAGGCUAAAAGGGAGUAGAAGGUGAAAGAGAAUGAAAUUUUGUAACAUUAACUCGCCUGACUUCAGAUCCUAUUUAUAGGGACCGAAGCUUCUCAUUACACUAGGCGUAAUUUUCUGGUACGCGGGGUGUACUGCCUCGCAAGGCUCUUCGCUGGGCGUACACCUUCAUACGCUGGUCAUAGGAGUGGAUUACUUGGGACGUGUCAAGGCUACUAACAUGUAGCAAAGCUAGUCCGAGUACGUUGGGCGUACUCGUUUGUACGCUGCGUGUACAAGAUAUGUGUCCUCUGAUCGGGUUCCGACCUCCGGAGGUGUCAAAGCUACUAACUCGUAGCAAAACUAGUCCGAGUACGUUGGGCGUACUCGUUUGUACGCAGGGCGUACUCCUUCGUGAGUUUAUUUUUCAAACUUCAAAAAUUCGUAAAUUUCGCAUACGAACUCCGUUUUUGACGUUCUUUAUAUCCACGCGUAGGUGAGACCGUGCUCUACAACUUUCGUGUAGACUCCGUCGGCUAAUUUUGACUUUAUUUUUAAAGUUAUAUUUUUAACAGGACGGGACAUGAAAAGUCCGUUAAAAAUUCAUAACUUCUUCAUCCGAUGUCUGUUUUCGUCUGUCUUUAUACCGUUUAACCACUAUCGACGAGAUCUUCGUUUCUCGUUUAGGUUGUGUCGGCUAAAAAGUGGUCGAUCUAAAAUUCGAGUUUCGGGAUGCAUACGGUUAUACCAAAUCUUAGAAAAUUAUAAUUUCCUCAUACGAAGUCAGAUUUGGACAUUCUUUUUAUGUACGCUCUCGGUUUAACGUGUACUACAACUUUCAUUUAGAUCGCUAAGGCUAAAAAACACUUUAUCGUAAAUUCACUUUUUACGUCACACAAUGUCGUGCCAGUUCUGUUGCGAAACCUCGACAGAUCAUAAUUUCUUCGUUAUAACUCGGAUUUCGGUAUUCUUUAUAUAUCCGGAAUCCUUGUUUCAACCACUACAACUUCCUUCUUAGAUAUCGGGUUUAUUUAUUUUCGACACUUAUUUUUAUUCUUAGCUUAUUAAAUCAUGAUAAUUAAGUAUAAAACACAUAAUACUCAAAUAAUACAUCUUAUUAUUUCAAAACAAAUUACAAAGGUUGGCCUAGACUAUUACAUCAUCUUUAAUGCCUAGCCUAGAAACACGGACGUUACAAUUCUCUCCCCCUUAGGAUGAUUUUGUCCCCGGAAUCAUACAUCAACAAAUAAAUGCAGAUAACGACUCAUCAUGUCACUCUUCGUUUCCCAGGUGAGAUUUGGCCCAUUCGUAUGUUUCAAUCGCACAAGAACUAAAUCGACCAUCUUGCGUCGCAACUUCUUAGUAUUACGAUCAAUAAUUACCUCUGGUUCUUCUAUUAACCUCUUGCUUUCAUCCAACCUUAGUUCAGAAAUUGGAACUAUGUCGAGAACUUCUCCAGUGAACUUCCUCAAAUAACACACGUAGAAAGUGUUAUGAAUACCAUCUAGUUCUUCUAGUAGUUCUAGAUUGUAAACUUGGUUCCCAAUCCUCUGAAGAACUUUAAACAGUCCAAUAAACCUUGGACUCAACUUUCCCCUUUUACCAAAUCUUAUAAGUCACUUCCAUGGCGAGACUUUAAGUAAAACCGAAUCUCCAACUUUGAAUGUUAUCAGUCGUCUUUUCUUGUCAGCAUAGCUCUUUUGACGAUCCUGAGCUGCUAACAUCCUUUCCCUAAUCACUUUCAGCUUUUCAACAGUUUGAUCGACUAUCUCGGGUCCUAUAAACUGUUUUUCUCCAGCUUCAAGCCAACAUGACGAUGUUCGACACCUUUGUCCAUACAAAGCGUGAUAAGGUGCCAUCUUGAUGCUCGAGUGGAAACUAUUAUUGUAGGAAAAUUCUACCAGAGGUAAAUGUUCAUCCCAGUUACCUUGGAAUUCUAGGGUACAUGCUCUUAGCAUAUCCUCCAAUGUUUGAAUCGUUCGUUCGCUCUGACCAUCAGUUUGUCGAUGGUAGGCUGUACUUAGACACAAUUUCGUACCCAAUUCCUCUUGUAGACUUCUCCAAAACCUCGACGUGAAACGACUAUCACGAUCUGAUAAAAUCGUUAAAGGAAGACCGUGAAGCCUCACUAUUUCCUUCACAUAAGCUUUUUCAAGUUUAUCUAUAGACCAUUUUUCAUAGGCUUUUUUGAAGUGUGCGCUUUUAGUAAACCGAUCAAUGACCACCCAAAUCAUGUUGUGACCGCUCUUCGUUUUGCGCAAUUUAGUCACAAAUUCCAUGGUGACGUCUUUCCCAUUUACCCAUGGGGUACAGAUAAAGGUUCUAAACUCCUAUAUGAUUUUUGAUGUUGUGACUUAACCCUAGCACAUGUCACACACUCGGUCACGUACUUUGCAACAUCGAGCUUCAUCGUUGGCCACCAGUAGUAGGGUUUCAGAUCCCUAUACAUUUUCGUGCUGCCUGAAUGAAUCGGUACAUGGUCUUGUGAGCUUCCUCCAUCAGAAUAUCUCUUAUUCCUCCUGUCUUAGGUACCCAAAUCCUAUCUUGGAAUACCUUCAGUCCUUGACUGUUUAUAUCGAACACUAACGUUUUUCCCAAACGUUCUUCCUUUCGGCAUUUUUCUCUAAAGAUUCUUCUUGAGCUUUCUAGAUACUUUCUACAAUCGUUGAGACAACUUUGAUUCUUAAUUCUCUUGGCCUUUUCUUUUCAAGGCUCACUUUUCUGCUUAAAGCAUCAGCUACAACAUUUGCUUUACUAGGAUGGUAAAGGAUUUCACAAUCUUAAUCCUUAAGCAACUCUAGCCAGCGUCGUUGUCUCAUAUUCAAUUCCUUGUGAUUAAAGAGACACUAAAGACUCUUAUGACCAGUGAAAAGUUUUCACUUUGUGCCAUAAAGAUAAUGCCUCCAUAUCUUUAGGGCAAAUACUACUGCUGCCAACUCCAAAUCAUGAGUGGGGUAGUUCUUUUCAUGUUCUUUCAAUUGUCUCGAUGCAUAUGCUAUCACUUUAUCCCUUUGGGUCAGAACACAACCUAACCUAACUCCAGAUGCAUCGCUAUAAAUUGUGAAGUCUUCAACUCCUUCAGGUAAAGAAAGAAUCGAUGCUUCACACAAUUUCUUCUUUAACUUCUCAAAUGCUUCCUUAUUCCUUAUGCUUCUCACUCCAAGUAUAUGUAGUUCAUUUAUGGGUCAAAGCUGUUAAUGGAGCAGCUAUCGAAGAAAAGCCUUGGAUAAAUCUUCGGUAAUAUCCGGUUAAUCCUAGAAAGCUUCGGAUCUCCAUGGGACUUUUCGGUUGUUCCCACUUCAUUAUAGCUUCAAUCUUCGUUGGGUCAACCAUGAUCCCUUCUUGGUUAACCACAUGGCCCAAAAAUUGGACUUCUUGAAUCCAAAAAUCACAUUUCGAAAACUUUGCAUAUAGCUUCUCCUUUUUUCAGAACUUCUAACACUUCUCACAGAUGCUUGUCAUGUUCCUGCUUGCUUUUUGAAUAAAUCAAAAUACCUUCUAUGAACACUAUCACGGAUUUAGCGAGGAAUGGUUUACAAACCCUGUUCAUGAAAUCCAUGAAUGCUGUUGGAGCAUUGAUUAGUCCAAACGACAUAACCAAGAACUCAUAGUGUCCAUAUCUUGUUCUAAAUGCAGUAUUCUCAAUAUCCCACUCUCUCACCUUUAGCUGAUGAUAUCCUGACCUAAGAUCGAUCUUUGAGAAGUUGCUCGAACCUUGCAGUUGAUCGAACAAGUCAUCAAUCCUUGGCAACGGGUACUUGUUCUUUAUUGUUGCCUUGUUCAACUCUCUGUAAUCUAUGCACAUUCUCAUGCUCCCAUAUUUCUUCUUUAUAAAUAACAUCGAAGCUCCCCAAGGUGAUGAACUAGGUCUAAUGAAACCAUUGUCCAACAACUCCUGAAGUUGCGUCAUAAGCUCCUUCAUCUCUGUCGGUGCUAAUCGAUAUGGUGUUUUUUAUAUUGGUGUUGUUCCUGGUAACAAGUCUAUUCUAAAGUCCACUUGUCUAUCAGGGGGCAAUCCAGGAAGAUUUUCGAGGAAAACUUCUGGAAAAUCACACACCACUGGUAUACUUUGCAUAUCCUUUUUCUCCUUCUUAGCAUCGAUCACGAAUGCCAAGUAUAAGGUGCAUCCUUUAGACAAACAUUUUAUGGCUUUCAUUAGGGAAAUGAUUCCGGAAUUUAAUCUGCGCUUGUCUCCGUAUACCAUAACGGACUCUUUUCCAGGCGAGUUUACCCUCAUUAUCUUUUUCUUGCAUAGUAUCUUGGCAUCAUUAGCACUAAGCCAAUUCAUCCCUAGAAUGAUGCUGAAACCAUUCAACUCAGUGGGUAACAACUCCUCGUGGAAUUCGUUUUCGUUCGAGUCAAUAAUGAUAUUCUUAAUAUAAUUGCUAAAAGGUAUGAAUUUGCCACUAGCAACUUCUAAAAUUAGGGAAUUAUCAAGUUUUUCUUUAAGCAAUGCUAGUCUUUCGCCAAAUUUAUGUGAUAUAAAGGAGUAAUUCGCUCCGAAAUCAAAAAAUAAAUUGGUAGGCAAUCCAUUUACAAGAAAGGUACCUGAAGCGACAUCCGCUGCAUCCUUUGCGACUUCCAAUGUCAUCUGGAAAGCUCUGACUUUUGGCUUUGGUGGGAAAUUAGGCCUUGCUGCAUCCUUUUUCUUUGGGCAAUCCUUCAAAAUGUUCCCUUCUUCGUGGCAUCCAUAGCACACCCUUUUGUUGGAUGUGCACUCGUUGGCGUAGUGCCCUGUCUUUCCAUAUUUAAAACAAGUGACCUCCUCGCCACAUUUCCCAACAUGUUUCUUCUUAUAUUUAUCACACCAUUUUGGUUUGCCUCUUCUUCCUCUCGAAUCAGACUUCGAGAAUUUACUUUUAUUGUUGGACCUCGAAGAUCCAUCAAACUUUCUUUUCCCACCAACCUCUACCCUCUCCUGAACCCCUUCCUUUAACUGGGUUUCCACAUUUUUAGCUGUUCGGACUGCUAUCUUAAGAGUAGCUGCCAUCUUGACCGUUUGAACAAAGUCAGCUGGCAGUCCGUUUGCAAACCUCCCAAUUUUUUAGAGUUCAGUUGGCACUACGUUUGGAAAUAACUUCAUCUUUUCGGUAAACGCAAUAGUAUAGUCGUCAUUGCUCAUUUUCCCUUUCUUCAAGUUCUGAAAUUCAUUGUUUCGAUCUAUCAGAUCUAUCUCUAAGCAGUACUGCAACUUUAACUGCUCCAAGAACAUUUCCCAAGACAUUUUCAGGGCUUCUUCAUGUAGCAUCGUGUCUGCCAAUAACUUCCACCAACUUAAAACUCCGGUCUUCAGUUGUCUGACCGCAAAAAGAGUUUUCUGCUUGUCGCUACAGUUGCAACUUUCAAAUACCAUCUCCAUUUUGGAGAUCCAGUCCAUAAUCUCUACAGGUUUUAGGCUUUCGGCAAGACUUGGCAGUUUGCCUGUAACAACGUAAAUUUUCAAAACGAUUUUUUAUUUUUCAAACAACAUAAUUAUCUUUAAACAUUCUCAAAUUACAUGAUCAACACUUGUUAUCAAAUAAAACAUAUCCCAAGAUCAUAAAUGAAAUCCUCUGACUGUGUGUGUACGGAUCACGCUGGCGCCUUCCCACGGUCGUCACUAGUACCUGAAACACAUAACACAACAACUGUAAGCAUAAAUGCGUAGUGAGUUCCCCAAAAUACUGCAUACAACACAUGUGCCACUCAAGGCUACAGUACGACCCUCCAGUCGAUGUGUCUCAGCGGGACCCUCCAGUCCCGAAGCUCGUUGGACCCUCUAGUCCGGUCAUAGCUCGUUGGGCCUUUCGGCCCAGUCUGUAUCGUUGGACCCUCCGGUCCGGUCUAUAUAAUCAUAUAACAUACAUAUAUCACAUAGCACAUAAUCUCAUACAUAUCACAUAAGACCCUCCAGUCAACACAUAAAUACCACUCUAUGUAACGUAUAGUGAGAAGACUCAUCUCGAGUAACUCGGUAAUCUCGAACUCUAUGAAAUCGGGUCUAGCCUCCGCCUAAUCAUAUGAAAUAAACACUCUACAUCAAUACAUUUCCCAAGGCUAGACCAUUUCCUCUCUUAUCACUCUCGGGAGGGUAAUAGACCAUUUUACCCUUCUCAUGGCUCAAAGACCCUAGAGUUGACCAAACCCUAAAAGUCACGUUAACCAAACUCGCUGAGUGCACUUAUGUGACUCGGCGAGUUCAUGCAUGUCCUCUUCAUCCCUGUUCCUCCCUCAACUUUCUGAGUCACCCCUCAACUCACCGGGUCAUCGCUGGAGUCAGACCUCAUGGCAACCCGGUCCAACUCGUCGAGUCCAUAUAUGAACUCCACGAGUUUCCUCCAUGGACUUGCUCAAACAACCUCCUGAGGUCAAAUCCGCUUAACCAAUUCAUAGAUCUAACCUUUAAAAAAUCGAAAGUCACGUAAAGGUGCAACCUUUACGUGCAUGCAACUCAUAUCAAGCCCCAAAUGGAGAAAUAAUGCUAGAAAUGGCAACCUAGCCUCCAAUUCCUUGUUUGCUUGCAAAAGCUGGAAGAUAAUGGCUCUAAGGACCUCUCAUGGUCCAGAUCUGAGGUUAUUCAUACCAAGGGGACCUUAUGCUCACUAGAUCUCAUAAAAUCAUGAGGAAAAACCCUAAAACUAUGAAUCCCACCAUAUGAACGUGAAAUGGAAAGAAUUUUACAUCCAAAGACAAUAUCUCACGGUGAUUAGCUUCAAUCCAAGCUCCCUUCACGAACUAGAUGGAUCGUCUCUUCUUUCUCUAGCAAAACCACACAAAAGAUGAAGAAAUAGGCUCCUCUUGCCCUCAAACACGCUAUCUCUGCUCUCUAGGGUUUCUCUGGAACAAGGUGGCCGCAAAUGAAGGCCAUAUGGGUCCUUAAAUAGGCUCCCAAGCCCGGGGAUUAGGGUUUCACUUUACAGCGCGGACUCGCCGAGUCCACGAAUCGACUCGUUGAGUCCGGUCAUUAAUCUAGCCAAGAACUCGCGGUCCUACUCGGCGAGUCUAAGCGUCAACUCGUCGAGUCCUUCCACAAAACUCAAAAAUAAAAUUUUAAAAUAAUAUACCUAGGAAUCCGGAUGUUACAAUUCUCCCCCACUAGAAUCCGACAUCGCCCUGGAAGUUUUGCUCUGCAAACAACUCUAGAUGCUGCUCAUGCAUCUCCAACUCCGGCUCCCAAGUCAGCUUAGACCCUCUCCGAUGUUGCCACUAAACCAGCACGAGGGACACCUCUUUGUUCCUCAGAACCUUGAUCUUCCGAUCCACAAUCGCAACUGGCCUCUCAACAUAAUUCAGGCUGACAUCCACCUGAAUAUCCUCUAAUGGCACCACCGUCGAUUCGUCGGCUAUACACUUCCUUAGUUGAGACACAUGGAAGGUAUCAUGAAUCUAGCUCAGCUCCGCAUGUAGCUCCAAUCGAUAUGCCACUCUGCCCACCCUCACGAUCACCCUGAAUGGUCCGAUGUAUCGGGGCCCCAAUUUGCCCCUCUUCCUGAAUCGGAUCACUCCUUUCCAAGGAGAUACCUUCAGGAGCACAAAAUCUCCAACCUGAAACUCGAGCUCUAAUCGACGCCUAUCCUGGUAACUCUCCUGGUGACUCUGGGCCGUCAACAAUCUCUGUCUAACCUAUUGUAUCUGCUUGGUUGUCUGAAGCACUAUCGCAGUGCUGCCCAUCACUCGCUGCCUUACCUCUCCCCAACAAAUAGGAGUCUGACACCUUCUCUCAUACAACAACUCAAAGGGAGGCAUACCGAUGUUCGAAUGGUGGCUGUUGUUAUAGGAAAACUCAGCCAAGGGCGAAUACGUGUCCCAACUUCCUCCGAAGUCCAACACACAUGCCCGAAGCAUGUCUUCGAGCGUCUGAAUCGUCCGUUCACUCUGUUCGUCCGUCUGUGGGUGGUAAGCGGUACUGAAAUGCAACCUAGUAACCAAAUCCUCAUGAAACUUCUUCCAAAACCUGGAAGUGAAAAGCACAUCCCGAUCCGACACAAUCGAGAUUGGUACACCAUGUCGCGAUACCACCUCCCACACAUACACCUCGGCCAACCUUUCCGCGGAAGAGCUCUUAUCGAUAGCAAAUAAAUGAGCGCUCUUCGUCAACCGAUCAACGAUCACCCAAAUUGCGUCAACACCUCUCACGGUCCUCGGCAAUUUGGUGAUGAAAUCCAUAGAAAUCUGCUCCCAUUUGCAUUGAGGAACCUCAAGUGGUUGCAACAUGCCAUGCGGACGCUGGUGCUCGACCUCAACCCUACAACAGGUCAAGCACCUCUCCACGAACCACGCCACAUCCCUCUUCAUACAGGGCCACCAGUACUCUCGCUUCAGGUCCAAAUACAUCUUGGUGGCCCCUGGAUGAAUCGAAAACCUCGAUCUAUGUGCCUCCUCCAUCAGAAUGGUACACACUCCACCUGCAAACGGUACCCAAAUCCGACCCUGAAAGGUCAAAAGCCCUCGACUAUCGGUGGUGAACUCAGACACCUGCCCGAUCACCCACUCUCUCUUGCGGUUCUCUGGUAAUACGGCCUCCACCUGGGCCUCCCGAAUGGUGUCCAACACCGGCGUCAUGACUGUCAGUCACAUGUAGAUAUCUCGAAUAGGGGUACUCUCUGCCCUACGACUCAGAGCAUCAGCUACAACAUUAGCUUUGCCCGGGUGGUACAGGAUUUCAUAAUCGUAAUCCUUUACCACGUCCAACCAUCUUCGCUGACGCAUGUUCAGGUUUGGCUGAUCCAUUAAAUACUUUAAUUUCUUGUGGUCCGUGUAUAUGGUACACCGAACCCCAUACAAAUAGUGACGCCAGAUCUUGAGGGCAAAUACCACAACCCCUAGUUCCCGAUCGUGAGUAGGAUACCUCGUCUCAUGAGGCUUCAACUGCCUUGACGCGUAUGCUAUCACAUGCCCUCUCUGCAUUAGCACCGCCCCCAGUCUCGAUAUCGAUGCGUCACAAUAUACCACAAAGUCCUCCAUUCCCUCCGGAAGGGCCAACACUGGGGCUUCUCACAAUAUCUGGCGAAGUUUCUCGAUUGAGGCUUGCUGCUCUGGACCCUAACUAAAAAUCACGCCCUUCCGGGUCAACCUGGUGAUAGUAACCGUAAUCUUGGAGAAAUCUUUGAUAUAUCUCCGAUAAUAGCCGGACAAUCCCAGAAAGCUCCUGAUCUCGGUCGGUGAUCUCGGCACCUCCCAUCUCAUAACCGCCUCAAUUUUGGCCAGAUCGACCAAUAUCCCCUCCUGGUUAAUGAGGUGUCCCAAGAACUGGACCUCUCAUAACCAAAAAUCACACUUGUCGAAUUUGGCGUAAAGCCUCUUCGAUCUCAAUGCUCCGAGAAUCUCCCUCAGAUGCUCCUCGUGCUGCUCUCUAGAUCUCAAAUACACCAAAAUAUCCUCAAUGAACACAAUCACCGAUCGAUCCAGCAUCGGCCUGCACACCCUGUUCAUGAGAUCCAUGAACGCUGUCGGUGCAUUGGUGAGCCCAAAAGGCAUCACCACGAACUCGUAAUGCCCAUAAUGAGUUAUGAACGCCAUCUUCUGGAUAUCUUCAUCCCGAACCCUCAUCUGAUGAUUUCCCGACCUCAAGUCCAUCUUGGAGAACCAAGAUGCUCCCUGCAACUGAUCAAAUAGAUCAUCAAUCCUCAGUAACAGAUAUCAGUUCUUGACCGUUAACUUGUUCAACUCCUGGUAAUCAAUGCACAUCCGGUGUGAACCAUCCUUUUUCUUGACAAAAAGGAUCGGUGCUCCCCAAUGUGAGCUACUCGGUCUAAUAAACCCCUUUCCCAGCAGCUCCUGAAGCUGCGAGGAUAACUCCUGCAUCUCUGGCGGUGCAAGGCGAUAGGGUGCCUUAGCAAUAGGCGCCGCUCCAGGAACUAAAUCGAUGCGAAACUCCACUUGCCUCUUGGGAGCCACACCUGGUAGCUCCUCGGGGAAAACGUCAGGGAACUCUCGCACUAUCGGUACCUCAUCAACCAAUUUCGGCCUCUCCACUGCCGCUCGUGUGUCCAUCACGUAGGCCACAAACCCACUACAACCCUGUUGUAGACUCUGCCUCGCCCUAGCAGCUGAACAAAAUGCUGACUCGAGACGGGUACCCUUUCCAUACAUCGUAAGCACUCCCCCACUAGGGUCUCGUAUCGUCACCAACUAUCACUCGCAGUCUAUAACAGCCCCAAAAUGGCUCAACCAAUCCAUGCCCACUAUAACACAAAUGUCCCCCAUCGUAAUCGGGACCAGAUCAAUCGGGAAAUCGACACCGAAGAUCUUGAGUACACAUCCCCGAAUCACCUCAGUAGCAUAAACCGCUCGCUCGUCAGCUAUGGAAACCCGAAGAGGUCGACUCAAUGCCUCUCGACAAAUACAGAUAUGGCAACAAAAAGCUAACGACACAAAAGAUCGACUCGCACCCGAGUCAAAUAGCACCAAGGCAGGUACAAAAUUCACAAGAAAAGUACCUACGCAUAUCAUAAUAUAAGCAUAAUAUCUCAGACUCAAAAUAAAUAGAGGGGAGAAUACAUACCAGCCACAACGUCGGGUGCUGCGCGGACCUCCUCCGCUGUCAACUGGAAGGCUCUCCCGCGAGCCUUCAGUGCCUCGGCCUUCGCUGGCUGAACCUCGGUAGCUCUCGCAGCAGGCGCAGAUCCCUACACUGAUCCCUGAUGUAGCUGCGGGCACUCGACCUUCCGAUGGCUGGUCUGGUUGCAAUGAAAGCAAACCGAGAAUCCCUUGGGGCAAUCCCUCGUGAUAUGCCCCUCCUUCCCAUACUUUUAACAUACUCCAAGUCUGCAUGUCCCCUAGUGACUCUUGUUGCACUUCCCACAAGUGCGGCCCUUCGUACCCCCAGAUCUCGAAUCAGCGGGCUUUGCCCGCUUGGCUGUCGGCUGAGACUGUGCCGGCCGCCGAUCCUUUCCCUGAGACUCCGCCUCCUCCCUGGCCUGAGUCUCAAACUCGAUCUCCCUCUUACAAGCAUUUGCCCAGAGCUCGGCAAAUGUCCGAUAAGUCGAGUUCGCCACAAACUCACGAAUUUCUCUCCUCAGAACACUCCGAUAUCGGCUCAUGCGUGCCUGCUUGGUAGACACCUGCUCAGGGCAAAACAUCGCCCUCUCAUGAAACUUCCGGGUAAUCACUAUAACUGAAUCAGUACCCUGCUUGAGGGUCAAAAACUCCUGAGCCAAUCAUUCCCUUUCCACAGGGGGAACGUACUCAUCACGAAACAUGGUGGUGAACCUUUCCCAGGUCACCGUAGUAAGCUCAGCUGGGGUGAAAUCUGCCGAUACAAAUUUCCAUUAUUCCUUCGCCCCCAGGCGAAGCUGGUUCAGCGCGAACCGCACCCUCAAAUGCUUUGGACACGAGCAAGUGUAGAAACAUCCCUCAACAUCCGCAAUCCAUCUCAUCGUAGCGAUCGGAUCCUGUGUCCCAUCAAACUCUGGUGGCUUCGUGUUGCUGAACUCCCAGUACAGCAACGAAUCGCUCCCCUGCGGCCUGGCAGCAGCGACGGCUGCGGUGGCCGUAGCAACAACAACAUCAGUAAGAGCGGCAUACCGCUCAUCAAAAGUCUCAAUCAACGUGGUCUUGAUAGACCCGAACAUCUUUGGUAUCUCAGCUCGUAUGGCCGCUGCCACUUCCUCAUGAAUCUACCGACGGAUCUCCUCGUCACUAACACUGCUGCACCCAGGUGUAUGUCGUGUCCCACCCAUGGUGUCUCUGAAAUACAACAUAAAAACAUCAGAGACUCGUUCGAGCAUACUCGCACUCGAUAACGCGACCAUACUCGUCCCCUAGUAUCCUAAGGAUUCUUACUUGGACUGCUCACUGAUCCGGUGUCUUUAGUAGUACGGGCCCUAUACUACCUACCACACCGCAUCAGUAUUCACCCCAAGUCCUUCUCCUUGGAUCCCAUAUCACAAGUACUCUACUCUCGCCAUACAUAGACUACCGUCCGGUAGACCUCUCAUAAGCUCCUUGCUGCUACCUACUCACUCUCAAGGCAUCUCAUAGCAGCAGUAAUCUCCUAGGCUAAGGCAUCACAAAUCAGGCCACUCUAGUCCAGUCAACACAUAAAUACCACUCUAUGUAACGUAUAGUGAGAAGACUCAUCUCGAGUAACUCGGUAAUCUCGAACUCUGUGAAAUCGGGUCUAGCCUCCGCCUAAUCAUAUAAAAUAAACACUCUACAUCAAUACAUUUCCCAAGGCUAGACCAUUUCCUCUCUUAUCACUCUCAGGAGGGUAAAAGACCAUUUUAUCCUUCUCAUGGCUCAAAGACCCUAGAGUUGACCAAACCCUAAAAGUCAACAAAAGUCAAUGGUCAAACGUUGACCAGACUCGCCGAGUCUACUUAUAUGACUAGGUGAGUUCAUGCAUAUCCUCUUCAUCCCUGGUCCUCCCUUAACUUUCUGAGUCACCCCUCAACUCACCGGGUCAUUACUGGAGUCAAACCUCAGGGCAACCCGGUCCAACUCGUCGAGUCCACAUAUGAACUCGACGAGUUUCAUCCAUGGACUUGCUCAAACAACCUCCUGAGGUCAGAUCUGCUUAACCAAUUCAUAGAUCUAACCUUUAAACACUCUAAAGUCACGUAAAGGUGCAACCUUUACGUGCAAGCAACUCAUAUCAAGCCCCAAAUGGAGAAAUAAUGCUAGAAAUCGCAACCUAGCCUCUAAUUCCUUAUUUUCUUGCAAAAAGCUGGAAGAUAAUGGCUCUAGGGACCUCUCAUGGUCCAGAUCUGAUGUUAUUCAUACCAAGGGGACCUUAUGCUCACUAGAUCUCAUAAAAUCAUGAGGAAAAACCCUAAAACUAUGAAUCCCACCAUAUGAACGUGAAAUGGGAAGAAUUUUACCUCCAAAGACAAUAUCUCACGGUGAUUAGCUUCAAUCCAAGCUCCCUUCAUGAUCUAGAUGGAUCGUCUUUUCUUUCUCUAGCAAAACCACACAAAAGAUGAAGAAAUAGGCUCCUCUUGCCCUCAAACACGCUAUCUCUGCUCUCUAGGGUUUCUCUGGAACAAGGUGGCCACAAAUGAAGGCCAUAAGAGUCCUUAAAAAGGCUUCCAAGCCCGGGGAUUAGGGUUUCACUUUAAAGUGCGGACUCGCCGAGUCCACGAAUCGACUCGUCGAGUCCGGUCAUUAAUCUAGCCAAGAACUCACGGUCCAACUCGGCGAGUCUAAGUGUCAACUCGCCGAGUCCUUCCACAAAACUCAAAAAUAAAUUUUUAAAAUAAUAUACCUGGGAAUCCGGAUGUUACAAUUCUCCCCCACUAGAAUCGGAUGCUGCUCAUGCAUCUCCAACUCGACGAGUCUAAGCGCCAACUCGCCCUCGAAGUCUUGCUCUGCAAACAAAUCUAGAUGCUGCUCAUGCAUCUCCAACUCUGGCUCCCAAGUCAGCUCAGACCCUCUCCGAUGUUACCACUGAACUAGCACCAGGGGCACCUCUUUGUUCGUCAGAACCUUGAUCUUCCGAUCCACAAUCGCAACUGGCCUCUCAACAUAAUUCAGGCUGGCAUCCACCUGAAUAUCCUCUAAUGGAACCACCGUCGAUUCGUCGGCUAUACACUUCCUUAGUUGAGACACAUGGAAGGUAUCAUGAAUCUGGCUCAGCUCCGCAGGUAGCUCCAAUCGAUAUGCCACUCUGCCCACCCUUGCGAUCACCCUGAACGGUCCGAUGUAUCGGGGCCCCAAUUUGCCCCUCUUCCUGAAUCGGAUCACUGCUUUCCAAGGAGACACCUUCAGGAGCACAAAAUCUCCAACCUAAAACUCGAGCUCUGAUCGAUGCCUAUCCGCGUAACUCUUCUGGUGACUCUGGGCCGUCAGCAAUCUCUGUCUAACCUGUUGUAUCAGCUCGAUUGUCUGAAGCACUAUCGCAUUGCUGCCCAUCACUCGCUGCCCUACCUCUCCCCAACAAAUAGGAGUCCGACACCUUCUCCCAUACAACAACUCAAAGGGAGACAUACUGAUGCUCGAAUGGUGGCUGUUGUUAUAGGAAAACUCAGCCAAGGGCAAAUAUGUGUCCCAACUUCCUCCGAAGUCCAACACACAUGCCCGAAGCAUGUCUUCGAGCGUCUGAAUCGUUCGUUCACUCUAUCCGUCCGUCUGUGGGUGGUAAGCGGUACUGAAAUGCAACCUAGUAACCAAAUCCUCAUGAAACUUCUUCCAAAACCUGGAAGUGAAAAGCACAUCCCAAUCCGACACAAUCGAGAUUGGUACACCAUGCCGCGAUACCACCUCCCUCACAUACACCUCGGCCAACAUUUCCGUGGAAGAGCUCUUACUGAUAGCAAGGAAAUGAGCGCUCUUUGUCAACCGAUCAACGAUCACCCAAAUUGCGUUAACACCUUUCACGGUCCUCGGCAAUUUGGUGAUGAAAUCCAUAGAAAUCUGCUCCCAUUUCCAUUAGGGAACCUCAAGUGGUUGCAAAUUCCCAUGUGGACGCUGGUGCUCGGCCUUAACCCUACGACAGGUCAUGCACCUCUCCACGAACCACGACAUAUCCCUCUUCAUACAGGGCCACCAGUACUCUCGCUUCAGGUCCAAAUACAUCUUGAUGGCCCCUGGAUGAAUCGAAAACCUCGAUCUAUGCGCUUCCUCCCUCAGAAUGGUAUGCGAUCCACCAGAAAACGGUACCCAAAUCCGACCCCUUAAAGGUCAAAAGCCCUCGACUAUUGGUGGUGAACUCAGACACCUGCCCGAUCACCCGCUCUCUCUUGCAGUUCUCUGGUAAUACGACCUCCACCUGGGCCUCCCGAAUGGUGUCCAACACCGGCGUCAUGACUGUUAGUCGCAUGCGGAUAUCUCGAAUCGGGGUACGCUCUGCCCUACGGCUCAAAGCAUUAGGUACAACAUUAGCUUUGCCCGGGUGGUACAGGAUUUCACAAUAGUAAUCCUUUACCACAUCCAACCAUCUUCGCUGACGCAUGUUCAGGUUUGGCUGAUCCAUCAGAUACUUUAAGUUCUCGUGGUCCGUGUANCCCGAUCACCCACUCUCUCUUGCGGUUCUCUGGUAAUACGGCCUCCACCUGGGCCUCCCGAAUGGUGUCCAACACCGGCGUCAUGACUGUCAGUCACAUGUAGAUAUCUCGAAUAGGGGUACUCUCUGCCCUACGACUCAGAGCAUCAGCUACAACAUUAGCUUUGCCCGGGUGGUACAGGAUUUCACAAUAGUAAUCCUUUACCACAUCCAACCAUCUUCGCUGACGCAUGUUCAGGUUUGGCUGAUCCAUCAGAUACUUUAAGUUCUCGUGGUCCGUGUAUAUGGUACACCGAACCCCAUACAAAUAGUGACGCUAGAUCUUGAGGGCGAAUACCACAGCCUUUAGUUCCAGAUCGUGAGUAGGAUACCUCGUCUCAUGAGGCUUCAACUGCCUCAACGCGUAUGCUAUCACAUGCCCUCUCUGCAUUAGCACUGCCCCCAGUCUCGAUAUCGAUGCAUCACAAUAUACCACAGAGUCCUCCAUUCCCUCUGGAAGGGCCAACACUGGGGCUUUGCACAAUCUCUGGCGAAGUGUCUCGAAUGAGGCCUGCUGCUCUGGACCCCAACUAAAAAUCACGCCUUUCCGGGUCAACCUGGUGAGAGGAAUCGCAAUCUUGGAGAAAUCUAUGAUAAAAAUGAAGGCCAUAAGGGUCCUUAAAUAGGCUCCCAAGCCUGGGGAUUAGGGUUUCACUUUACAGCGCGGACUCGCCAAGUCCACUAAUCGACUCGUCGAGUCCGGUCAUUAAUCUAGCCAAGAACUCGCGGUCCUACUUGGCGAGUCUAAGCGUCAACUCGCCGAGUCCUUCCACAAAACUCAAAAAUAAAUGUUUAAAAUAAUAUACCUGGGAAUCCGGAUAUUACAUUGGCUCCCAAGAAAUUCUUAUACAUACGCCCAUCUCUGUUGAUUUCCCUCUCCGAGUGAUUUCUUUCUGCCACCCGCUUGACUAAUAGUACGACUGUAAUUUCCUUCCUCUGACUGCCUGUCAUUUAGUUCAGGUUGUUCAACCGGCAUUGAAGGUUCACUCCUGUUGUUCAACAAUAUUUGUCUCAUUUCCUCCCUUUGUUUAACCAUCAUUGUCUAAAUCAUGGCUUGUACUCCAUCCAUUGUGAUCGGUUCUGGUGCAGCUUCUGUUAUAGGCACCUGUUCCAUCACUUGGGGUUGAGGUUGUUGAUUUCUAUUUGCAUUUUCAGGUCCACUUUGGGUUCUUUCCAUUUUGAUCUAUACACCAAAUUAGGCGAAUUUAGAUCUUUAUUCACGAUAGAUUUUAAAAUUCUCCUUAUCACUCCGAAACAUUACAUGCUAGUUCUAAUAUCAUAGCCGUACGCUUAGAAUCCUGAACACAUAAGGUUUCCAAAUCCGAUCGGCACCAAACCAUAGAUCCAAACAAAUAACAUCAUAUAUGGCAAACAUAUAGCAUUUAGCACAUAAAAGCAUUUUAGGCAUCUUUCCUAAAAUAUACUAGUGCUCGUGUCUAAAAUAUGGUAGACACUCAUCUCACGAUCAUCACUUAGCAUUGUAACUUUUAGUCUAGAAAUCCUACAAAUUCCUAGUUCACUUAAACUAAUGCUCUAAUACCAACUGUGACAUCCGUAAAUUUUUCGGCCAGAAAAGACCGAUUUAGUUUAUGCUUUUAAAGUAAAGUCAAAGUAAUCUUCCAAAAGCUGUUGUGGAAUUUGUCCCCAAAACAAAAUAUGAUAAAAAUUUAUCAAAUCAUUUCUUAAAUAAAUGUAUUUUCAUUAUAUAACAAAACCUCGGGAUGUCAUGUUCCGAUACAGACCAAAAGCAUAAACAGUACAUUAUAAGCCUUUCAACAGUUAUUUACAUCUACAGACCUAUUAUCCAAAAAUCACUCGUCAUCAUCCAAUUAUGCUCUGCGUCCACUACCUUUAAUACACAGAAAGCUGAGUGAGUCAGGUUUGGGAGCCUGGUGAGCAUAUAGGGUUUUCAACCCACAAUAAAUAAAUUUAUUAGUUUCAUCAAUCAACAAUAAAUUUAUUAAUUUCAUCAACCAACAAUAACCUUGAUUAUCCGUUCCCAUUAUCCUCACUUUACGUCCCUAAACACCUAUCAUAAGGGACCUAGCCUAAAGAUUUUCAUCGGGGUGACAACACUGCUUUAGGGAUUCCUCAGCAAUUUAUGUCAAAUAAGGCAACCAUGAGGGGGAUGGAGUAUACCGGUGAACACUAAGUUCAAAAACACCUACAAGUUGCGAGCCUACUAGCGUUCCACUAGACUGUCUAGAAAUGUAUGUGGUCGACAUCUAUACUCCGUUAGAUGACUAUAACAACAACAACAUCGAGAUCUCUCAUCAUUUUAUCACACAUCAACGAUUUCAUUUACCCAUAUUUUACCCAACAUAUUUGUAGAUAAAAAUACAUAUACAAUUUAAAACUUGUAUAAAACAUCUAUUCAACACCCAUCUCAAAUAAACAAACAAUAUAUAUACACAUAACACGUAUUUUAUAGAAAAUAUUUCAUAUCUAUGUGUAAGAUGAAAGUGACUACACACUCACUUGAUAAGACAGUGAUUGGACAUCACUUCGUCCCUUAAAACAAUCUUCUUUGAUAAAACCGGGAUGUUUUCUCAAAAACCGGGCUUCACGCGGCCAGAGUUUUGUCUCGAAAAAUUCUUUUCUCGGGAUCUUCGGGCUCUCCGUGGCUUGCUUACGAUGCUAGGAUAGUACCCUAGGCUUUGGGGGGUUUAGAAUAGGCUAAAAGGGAGUAGAAGGUGAAAGAGAAUGAAAUUUUGUAACAUUAACUCGCCUGACUUCAGAUCCUAUUUAUAGGGACCGAAGCUUCUCAUUACACUGGGCGUAAUUUCCUGGUACGCGGGGUGUACUGCCUCUCAAGGCUCUUCGAUGGGCGUACACCUUCGUACGCUGGGCAUAGGAGUGGAUUACUUGGGACGUGCCAAGGCUACUAACAUGUAGCAAAGCUAGUCCGAGUAUGUUGGGCGUACUCAUUUGUACGCUGCGUGUACAAGAUAUGUGUCCUCUAAUCGGGUUCCGACCUCCGGAGGUGUCAAAGCUACUAACUCGUAGCGAAACUAGUCCGAGUACGUUGGGCGUACUCGUUUUUACGCGGGGCGUACUCCUUCGCGAGUUUAUUUUUCAAACUUCAAAAAAUUCAUAAAUUUCGCAUACAAACUCCGUUUUUGACGUUCUUUAUAUCCACGCGUAGGUGAGACCGUGCUCUACAACUUUCGGGUAGACUCCUUUGGCUAAUUUUGACUUUAUUUUUAAAGUUAUAUUUUUAAUAGGCCGGGACAUGAAAUGUCCAUUAAAAAUUCAUAAUUUCUUCAUCCGACGUCCGUUUUCGUCUGUCUUUUUACCGUUUAACCACUAUCGACGAGAUCUUCGUUUCUCGUUUAGGUUUUGUCGGCUAAAAAGUGCUCGAUCUAAAAUUCGAGUUUCGGGAUGCAUACGGCUAUACCAAAUCUUAGAAAAUUCAUAACUUCCUCAUACGAAGUCAGACUUGGACAUUCUUUUUAUGUACGCUCUCGGUUUAACGUGUACUGCGACUUUCAUUUAGAUCGCUAAUGCUAAAAAGCACUUUAUCAUAAAUUCACUUUUUAUGUCACACAACGUCGUGUUGGUUCUGUUGCGAAACUCCGACAUGUCAUAACUUCUUCGUUAUAACUCGGAUUUCGGUAUUCUUUAUAUCUCCGAAAUCCUUGUUUCAACCACUAGAAUGUUCUUCAUCUAUAUCGGGUUUAUUUAUUUUCGAUGCUUUUUUUAUUCUUAACUUAUUAAAUCAUAAUAAUUACGUAUAAAACACACAAUACUCAAAUAAUACAUCUUAUUAUUUGCAAAACAAAUUACAAAGGUUGGCCUAGAAUAUUACAUCAUCUUUAAUGGCUAGCCUAGAAACACGGGCGUUCCUACGAGUAUCACACUGAAUAUCAGUAUCAGCAAGAGUAAUAUAAUCAAUAAAGGUAUUGGCUGAGGAAACAGAGAACAUAUCCGACACAUCGACAAGCCAAUCCAAUCUGUCAAAUCUAUCAAGGAGUCGAACAUUCUGAACCACUUCUAUAAACUCAUCCCAUUAACUCUGUUCAAUACCACCCCUAGGUAACCGACGUAGAUUACUCGGAUCCCAUCCUAUAAGAAAUCUCUCUUUCACAUAUUUGUCUCUAUACACAUCCAACACAAAGACUCUAUGGAAAAUCGCUGCAAGAGAAAUAUCAUAAAUCCACUUAUCAUGCCAAAAACUAGUAAAAGCACCAUCUCCAACUCUAGUCAGACAAAGGCUGAGGAGAUCUAUCCCCCUGUCCUGGAGAUUAGCAAUCAUACGAAUGAGACUAUUCCACGAUCCUGAAUAAGAACGACGAGAAGACAAAGUAGUAAGACCACCAUCCAAACCAUACAUCAUAAUAGUAGCUGGAAUAGGAUUAUGAAGCCAAGAACGUCAUUUUUUUGUAAAAAACUUGGCUUUUGUACACCUACUAUAAAUCCAAAAAAAAGACUUAUAAACAACAUCAUCAAAAAUCAUGUAUUUCCUAGGGAUAGCUGCUCCGAAAAGCGUUGGAUUUCUAAAAUUUCAAAUGCACCAAAAGGAGGUCAAGAUCACUGUAUCAAAAGCUUUACGCUGACCGAUUCUCAAAGAGGUAGAAGUUUCCCAAUUGAUAAGAGAGUCCAUUAUAAUCUGAGAGGGAAGAGUAACGCCCCACCAAACCGCCAUACAUGAACAUAAAGCAAUCAAUCCAAUACACUCUACAAAAAUAUGAUCAACAAUCUCCACUCUAGAGGAACAAAGGGGACAAAGAAUAGAAUCCACCAAAAUACCCCUAUAAGAUAAACGUUCGCUAGUAGGGAUACUAGAAAUUCUAACCCUCCAAAUAAGAAUAUUGAUCUUAAUUGGAAUCCAAUUGUUCGAACAAGUAGAAAUACCCCCAGUGAUAAGCGUAAAACCAUCCAAAUAUCUCCAAGCUGAAGAAAUAGAAAAGCUAUCUGACAAAUCAAUAACCUAACCCAGUCUAUCUGGAACCGGCUUGAGUUGGAAAUCCUACAAAGGUAAAGUAAAAUUAUCCCAUUGCUCCUGUUCCGCUCUACCUCUACGAAUACGUCUAAGGGUAUUAACCCUCAAUCCCAUAGACAUCUUGUCACUAAUAGAAUCAUGUCUAUGCAAAUACAGAGCAUAAACUCUAGGAAAAGUGGCAGACAAAAUCACAUCAUCCCUCCACACAUCAUGCCAAAAAGAAUUAAGAGUGUCGUCUCCAACUCUAAUGAGCAAAGAGAUUAGAGGUCUAUAUCUUUCUGGUGCAACUGGGAGAACAUACGAAUAACCCCAACCUAAGGCCCUUGGCCAGUAAUUGGAUAGCUCGAGUUCCUACACGCACCAUUCGACCCGUAAAUAAAUUUUUAUCACUCUAACCCACAAAAGGUCAGGGUACUGAUAAAAUCUCCAUCACCACUGAAAAAGCAUAGCCCUAUUGAAAUAAAAAUUACUACCAAUCCCCAAUCCUCCUUCAUCCCUGGAAGCUAUAACUUUAUCCCAUCUAACCCAAUGCUUACAACGUUCAUCCCCGUCUGCACCCUAAAAGAAUCUCACCCUCAUUCCCUCUAAAACCUUCAAUAUCGAAAGAGGAGUAAGAAAAAUGAACAUCAAUUAGCUCCUAACGAUCCCAACACAGACUUCACCAACGUAAUCCGACCUCCAAAUAAAAGACACAUAGCCUUCCAAUUUGAAAUCUUAAACUGAAACCUAUCAAUCACAUAAACCAAAGAAGAAGUUUGAUUCAUAGCCUAAACCACCAGAAUACCAAGAUGGGAAAACGGGAGAGUAGAAGUUGUAUAACCAAUCCUAUUUGCCACAACAAGAACUUAGGAUAGAAGGAUUCCCACACAAAUCAAUUUACUUUUAGAUAAAUUGAUUUUCAGCCGUGAAGCCAAAUAAAAGCACCUGAGAAUACGAAUAAGACAAUUCGCAUUUUUAGGAUCCCAAGAAGAGACCAACAUAACAUCAUCAACAUAAAGGAUAUGAGAAUUAUCAAUUCCUGAAAUAGAAAUCCCUCUAAAAGCAUUCCCCAUUCGGGACCUCAUCAAAGUAACAUGUAAACCCUCCAUAGCCAAAAUAAAAAGAAAAGGGGACAACGGAUCACCCUGUCUCAACCCACGAUGAAUUUGGAAUUCAUCUGUCUGGGAACCAUUAACCAACAUUGAAGCCCUAGCAGUGAUCAAAUAACUCCUUAAUCCACGACACCACAUAGAACCAAAUCCCAUAAUUGAUAUGAUUUCCAAUAAGUAAUCCCAUGAUAACAAAUCAUACGCUUUCUCGAAAUCCACCUUAAGUAGCAUCAUAGGAUUUCCAGAAGCCUUACUCCAAGCAACCAUUUCAUUUAGGAGAAAUAGACCAUCCAGAAUCUGUCUACCUUUGAUAAAGGCAGAUUGCUCAAGGAUGAUAACACUAUGAAUAACAUCCACAAGAUGAUUAGCUAAAAUAUUAUCAAUAAUUUUGUAUUGGAAACCAAAAAGACUAAUGGGUCUAUAAUCUUUUGGAGUCUUCGGGUCUUCUAUUUUUGGGAUGAUAGUGAAAAAAGAGGCAUUACACCCCUUUGGAAUAGAAGAAUGAUGGAAAAAAAUAUUAACAAAUGCCUUAACAUAUGCUGCAACAAGAUCCCAAUAUCUCUUCAAAAACCCAAAAGUAAAACCACCAGGUCCUGGAGCCUUAGUGUAAUGUCCCAAAAACAAUGACAUAAAAUUUUUUGUUUUUAGAUUAAUAAAUCGUUAAUACAUAUCUUUCCUGUAAAACCAAGGUAACCAAAAUUUAUCAAGGCGUCAUCAAAUCAGAGUAAUUCACAUAAUGCGGAAACAUGUGGUGUGUGCAUUGCAAUCACCCGGAGCUCUUCCAUUUGAAAACCAAAGUACCUGAAACAUAAAAUGAAAACCGUAAGCAAAAAGAUUACUGGGCCCCCGCCCUUCAUCGAGUCUCACCUGGUCUUGGGCCCAACCCGACAAUGAGCCCCGCCCGACAUCGAUCCCCGCUCAAAUUACAGAUCCGUCAUUCACCAGGCCCCACCUGACAUUGGACCUCGCCUGAUACACACAUAAUCAUAUAACCGUAUAAUCAUAUAAACGUAUAACCUACUAAGAAAUGCAAUAAUCCCAAAGACUAUAGAAUACCAUAAUCGAGCUUCGCCCAGCAUCGGGCCUCGCCCGUAAAGCAUAAAAACAGAUACUAGUAACUAGCAUACAAUAUGCUCAUCAGGUCCUGCCAGGCAUCGGGCCUUGCCCGGUAAGCAUAUCAUCAUAUAAAACAUGCAAGAAUCACGCAAACAUCUAGCAUCCUAACAUAUAAAUCAUGGGCUGGUAUUGGUGCCUUCGACCUACUAAACCUAGUGAGGAGACUCACCUCGCACUGCCGAAACACACAGACGAUCCCAUACUGUUGGCUGACAAAUUCCCCGAACUGUCAAUAUCAAAACAACACCCAAUUAUCAAUUAGGUUCCAAACCAUAACCAUAAAUUCAUACUUGGGGUAAAAACACCAUUUUACCCCUAACCUAUCUUGGUCCAAGACCAAAGCCCAACUCACAACUUGAAAGGCCCAGAAGCCAAAUAACCAACCAAAUCCCAAUUAUGGGCCAAUUUUCCAAAUUGGGCCGAAACCCCUUACAUGGGCUUUACCCUAAACCCCAACCAAAAUUUCUAGUCCAAGACACUUAUACUCAGAUGGCCCAUUAAGAACUCAACACCCAAGCCCAAAAAGGAAGCCCAAAAGCUAAAACCCUCCUGACUAAGUACGCGGGGCGUACUCAGCUGUACGGUAAGCAUACAUGUAAUUUGGAUUGUACGCUACAUAUACAGACUUGUACGCCCAACAUACUCAUCCAUUAAGCCAAAAUGCCAUUAAGCACUUAAUACUCAAGAGCAGGAGUCCAAACCAUAGAUUUACUUCUCAAAGAACGUUUAGAACCACAAAGUCAUUGACUUGAUGACUUUGCAUGCCCCAAAAGAACCCAAUAUCAAAAUAAAGCAUUAUACUUUCUCCAAAUGGACACCAUCUCAUGCAUGAGGGAUUCCAAACCCUAAAGGAGACAACUUUAAGCAUCUAGAACCUCAGAAACACCAAGAGUAGCAACUCAUAGCUCCUGGAGUGGUACCAAACCACUAGAUCUCAUUCUUGGGACCAAAAUGAACCAAAAACUCAUACAACUAGAUCUAAGCCAACAAUGAACACGAUCAAAGCUUUUUACCUCAAACAAGCUGGAAAUGAAGCACAUAGUCCAGAUCCAUAAGAUCAUCCUUUAUUCACAACCUUGCAUCAAACUCCAUCUUUUUGGCAACGACCCAAAAACACCAAAAUGCACAUCAUAAGCUCAAAAUUACCACGAUGGAGGCUUAGAGACGAUUUCUAGGGUUUUGGGAACUUGGAGGUUGAUAAAUGGACCAACCAAAAAGACUUAAUGAGAUUAUAUAGGGUACAACUCCAAGAAUUAGGGUUUUCAUUUAUCCUUCGUACGCCCCACGUAUUCCUCGUACGCCCAGCAUACGAGGUAUCACAAACCCAAUCUGACCCUCACAGUACGCUAAGUAUACUCAACAUUUGGCACAAUGUAAUUCUUUUCACAUGAGUACGCCCCGCAUACACCCUAGGUAUGUCCCACAUACUAGGGUUUCCCUACAAACCCUAACAUAUUCUGAAGACCAUAACUUCUUCGUUGUAAUUCCGAUUUCGACGAUCCUUAUAUUCAUAAAAAGGUAACGAGAAGCUAUAUACGUCCAUCAACUCAUAACUGCCUUACCAAAUCCCGAAUAAACAUCUAUUUUCCAUAGAAGCCCGAGCUGAUAAAUUACCGAAAUACCUUUUGGCUCCAAAACACAAACCGAAAACCCAAAUCAUCCAAAUUAAUUUAUCUAACCCCAAAUGAGUCCAAAUCUCAAUUCUUCUUGGGUCCUAAGCCCGCUAAUACCCAAUCCCUGAUCACUAUUCCAAAAUAAGAAACAAUUCGAAGCAUGGUGUUUCACUUAAUAGAACCACAAUCAAAAACUACCAUUUUUAUCUCCUCAUAAUUAAAAGGAGACUGCAAAAAAAUCAACCUGCAAUGGGGUUAAUGUACUAAAAGACAAAAACAAAAUUAUGGCUAUAAUGGUUCCGCAAAGGUGGCUCUGCGGAUCCAUUGUACACCUCUACGGAUCGCUAUAAUCCUCUGAUGAAUUGGCGAAAACGAGGUAAAAUCGGUCAACCACCAAUUCCUCAGAGAUAUUAUAGAUCCACAGAGGUGUACAAUGGAUCUGCAGAGCCACCUCUACGGAACCAUUAUAUCCACAAUAUUUUUUUGUCGUUUAGUGUUGCCACGUCAUUUCCUCAAUACUAUGCAUCGUUCCAUAGAAGAUUAAAUAGAUCCUCAGAGUCCCAUCUGCAGAUCUCAUGGUCAUUUUCCGAAACUUAAAAUUUCAUGGUUAUUUCCUUAAAACACCCCCUAACUUUUGGUUAUUUCAUGAAUUUUCUCUAUUGAAUAAUGGCAACUCGAAUAAUAUAUCUGUCUCCGACAUUUUCACAGGGCUCACUAUCGAAGUGGAUACAAAUUCCUAGAUGCUUAGUAUUGUUUUUAUCUACUCUACAUCCGCCUAGAAAAAUCGAAUAUUGUUGUGCUUGCGGCGUUGCAUAUCACCAUUCAUGUUUUGGAAACCUGCAUGUAGCAUGUCAUUGUCAUGCAACUACUUCCUAAGUUUCUUUUUAAAUUCUUUUGUUUUGAUAAUCUCUCUUUCAUAAGUUUCUAUUGUUUAUGUUUACAUCCCAACAAAUCUCACUCACUGACCACUUACAGUGAUAACAUACUCAAACAAAGAAAAUCAACCCUUAACUGAAAAUGUAGAUUUAAAUAGAUUAAAACAUUAAUUUUUCCAAAAUUUCAAACUUUUUCGAAAAAUUUGAACCAUCUUUUGCAGAACAAGUGCUUCGAAAAUAAUUAAUGAGUUUUGAAAUUACAAAAAAUAAGAUUUUCAAAAAUAUUUUAUGUCAGAAAAUGGUUUUUUGAAAAUCAUACCACACUCACCGUACUAUUACACUGUCAUGUUAUCGCCGCAUCAUUUUUCCUUUCAUCCUUCAAAACCUGUGGGUGACAUACCACAGUUUACUACACACACACACCAACGGUCAAAAAGAAAGAAAAAUAUUGUUGUUAGGUCAUCACACUAUUUUUGGUUGCGGUAAGAAGGGAUUCGAGUUGUGUUAGUCGCAUACUGCGGCGCCAAAUCAACAACUACAAUGUGUGGUAGAGAGUGCACCGACCGGUCUAAGUGAGUUCGAAACUUUUAUCACAUGUUUAAAAAAUUUGAUAAAGGUAUUUUCGAAAUAACUUUACCUCAUAAAUUUUGGAAACAUGCUAACAUUACAACGCACAAAUCUUACUUGGGAACUCUAUUAAAAAAUUACUCAUUAAUUGUGAAAAAAAAAUUCAAAUAACCUUUUUUAUCAUAAAGCAUUUUUUCGAAAAUGAACAUUUUCCAAAUAACCAUGGAAUAUUUAUUUUCAUAUUUGAUGGUUAUUAUUGCCAUAUAUUUUCCAUUUUGUUGUAACGACGUUUUGUCUUAAUAAUAUUAAUAAUAAUUUAUUAAUAGCUUCUUGUUAUAAUUAUAAAAUUAAUAAAAAAAAUAAAAAGUAGUAAACAGAAGUCAUGUUACAACAAUUUAAAAUAUAAUAUUGGUAUUUUAAAAAUAAAUUUUAAUCGUAUUUUUUCUAUUUUAUGUUAGUUUAUAACCCGUAAGAAUCACGGUUAUAAAAUUAAUUAAACUUUUAUAAUAAAAAUUUAUAAUUUUUAAUCAAUUAUUUUAAAUAAGUUAUUUUAAAUAAAUUAAUAAUUAAGAGAUAUAUCAAAUUUUUAAAGUUAUUAUAAUUUCAAAUUUAACUUAUAAUUAGAAAAUAUAAAUUUAAAUUUUGAAAUAAAUUGUCUGACAUACCAUAAUAUUAAUCAACACUUAUAUUAAAACGAGAUUUGUNAUUUUUUGCAGUUUUCUGGCAAUUUUGAUAGCUUUAAUGUUGUUUUUUUGGCAGAUUUUUUGACAGUUGUAACAAUAUAGCAGUUUUUUUUAACAAUUUAAUGUACUCGACAAAAAAUGAGCCUAAAAAGCCCAAACCGUGAAACUAAACCAGAACCAAACCGUUAGUAACAAUUUGAUUUUGUUUGGUUUUAAUUUUUAAACGGUUCCGCUGCGGUUUUUGAUCGAAAAAAAAAACUGUGAAGACCUCUAAGUAGAGGUUCGUUUUGUAUCAAUAUUAAUAAUAAUUUUUUAGUAGCUUCUUAUUAUCAUUAUAAAAUUAAUAGAAAAAUAAAAAGAAAUAAACACAAGUCAUGAUUACAAUAAUUUAAAAUAUAAUAUUGUUAUUUUAAAAAUAUAUUUUAAUUGCAUUUGUUUAUUUGAUAAUGAUAUCCAUCCCUUUAAUAAUGUAUACAACCGGGAUACCAGUAACUUAUGCACUUUCAAUAAAUUAACAUGCUUUCGGAAAAAAAAAUUGUAAAUUUGUAUUUGUAUGUAUAUAUACAUGCAUAUUUCCAACAAAGCAACACCGCUAACCAUGGCUUUUUCUUCUCUCUCCCUUAUCCUUUUCUGCUUCAUCUUCAUAUCAUUCGCCAUCUCCGACGCCGUUGUUCCCCCCGCCGACACUUUUCGGUAUGUCAACCAAGGCGAUUUUGGAGAACUCGAUUCCGAAUACGCCCCAACCUAUCGUCCUCUUCCUCCAUACACCUCCCCUUUCCAGCUCUGUUUCUACAAUACCACCCCCGGCGUCUACACUCUUAGUCUCCGCAUGGGAACCGGACGUGAUGAAGCGGUCAUGCCAUGGGUGUGGGAUGCCAACAGAGGCAACCCAGUUGGCGAAAACGCCACCUUCUCAUUAGCCUCCGACGGAAACCUUGUACUCGCCGACGGAGAUGGACGGAUCGCAUGGCAAACCAACACCGCCAACAAGGGUGUCGUCGGUUUUGCCAUACUCUCCACCGGUAACAUCGUGCUUCGUGACUCCAAGGGUGGUUUCGUCUGGCAAAGCUUUGAUUCACCUACUGAUACGCUUAUGUUUGGUCAAUCUCUCCGGAUCGGAGGUCCAACGAAGCUCGUCAGCAGAGCUUCAACGACGAACAACGUAAACGGAGCGUAUAGUUUCGUGAUAGAGCCAAAAAGAUUGGGUUUGUAUUAUAAGAACAUGCUUUAUUGGUCUUCCACGUUUCCAUUGUUUCCGGAAUUGAACCAACCAAAUGUGACUAUUGUUAAUGCGACAUUCGCCAUCGUGGAAACCGAAUACAAUAACGACUUUAACGCAAUUAGGUGUCAUCUUUCAAACUCUAAUGCUCAACCUUUUUUGGACAUGGACAUACUCCGAUUCAAUAACACGUUAUCCUAUAUCCGAUUAGGCAUCGAUGGGAACUUACGACUCUACUCUUAUCGUCCUCCGAAUAUCCGUUUUAGCCAAUGGCGUAUCGUGUUCAGAUUGUUCGAUAAUAUGGAGACCACGAGGCGGGGUUUAUAUGAAGACGAGUGCCAACUGCCUGAACGCUGCGGCAAGUUUGGGCUGUGUGAGGACAGCCAGUGUGUUGGGUGUCCGUCGCCGGAGGGUGUUUUUGCGUGGAGCAAAAACUGCAAUGCGAAGACGCCGUCUUGUAAAGCGGGUGGUUCUCGUUACUACCAGCUGAAAGGAGUCGACCAUUUCACUUCUAAAUACUCUCCGGGGAGUGGGCCGAUGAAACAGAAAGAUUGCGAGAGUAAAUGCACAAAGGACUGUAAGUGUAUGGGGUAUUUCUAUCGCACUGAUCUAUCGAGGUGUUGGAUCGCUAACGAGUUAAAAACUUUGACGAGGGUUGGGAACUCGACUCAUUUGGCGUACAUCAAAACACCCAUCCAGUAGUUGGAUAAGUCUACUAGGAAAGAGGGAAUAAGGAAGAUGAAAGAUUUGAAGAAAUAGCACUGUUUACUUGCUUUUCUAUAUUUUUACCUUCCAUUGUCUGUUUGUAUCGAAAUCAAAGAGACUAUGUGGUUGUAUAUUUUUUAAGAUGUAAAACGCUUCGGUAUGCAUAACACAUUUGCAGUAGAAUAAAUGUGUUUACAGUCUACAAGUGGACAAAAUAUUUACAGUUUAAAUAAAGUUUUUUUAAUAAUUAUAAAAAAUAAAAUUAAAAAUUGUUUCAAUAAUUACAAGAACGUAUAAACUGCAAAAUAUGAUUAUCUUGCGGAUUACCAUUUUUUUAUAAUUAUUGAAAAAAAUCUUUUAAUUUUAAUUUUGUUUACUUUAUCUUUUUUAUGUUGUAUGUAGAACUUAAAAAACAAUCAAUCUUUUCUUGUAAAUGCAAACAAUUAGUCCCCUUGUAGACUACCAACACCUUACCUAUUGAAGGCAUGUAUUUUUUCUAUAUGGUAUUUUAUUUUCUAUUAUGAAACAUGAAAUGCAAAUUUAAUUUGAAAAUCAGUAAAUCUAUAAAUAAUUUAAAAAAAAAAAAAAAAAAAACACUAAAAUUACGAUACACAAAAUUGUGUGUCGUCUUUAUUUAUGACAUGACCUUUCUUGACAGGGACUUCCUAGAUACGCAUUGCGUGUCAUAAACACGCGCUUCGUAAGGUUACGGCACGCAAAUGCGUGUCGUCUUCCUUUAUGACAGGGCCUUCCUUGAUACGCAUUGCGUAUCAUAACCGUGCGUCGUAAAUGCGCGUCGUCUAUAGAUGACGCGCAAAAGCGCGUCGUCUAUAGAUGACGCGCAAAAGCGCGUCGUCUCUCUUUAUGACAGGGCCUUCCUUAACGCGCAUUUGCGUGUCGUCUGAGCGUUUUACGAUGCGCAAUGAGCGUCGUAAAAGGCUGUUUUUUAGUGCGAUAAAGGGUCGGCCUUGGUGCCGUAGACCCUGUCGAUAUAGUGAGGAUAACCCACCUCGCGACUUUCGAAACUCUAAACUGAAGAAGCAGAUGCCCGAACCACCGUCUCACCAAAGAUCCUGAACUAUCCAAAGUAGCAAAAUACACAUUAGACCAAGCACAAUAUCCUUCCAAGGGUAAAUUGACCAAUUUACCCUUAACUCAAUUUGGUCCAUGACUAAGGUCCAUAAUGAAAAUAUGAAAGGCCCAACACUAGGUAAGCUCUCAAGCCUAUUAAUGGUCCAAAGACCAAAAGUCUGAAGCAAAGCCCAAUAUUGGCCCAAUUUACUAAAUUGGGCCCACCUCACCAAAUGGGCCUAGAUCCAAGGUCCAUAAUAAUUAGUGAGUCCAAAUUACUCCAUCCAUAAUGUCCAGUCACAGCCCAAGCCAUAUUAGCCCAAUAACAACCCAAUCUCUUAAGGCCCAAAAUGAAAACUCAACAGAGGGAGUACGUUGGGCGUUCCCUUCUUGGUAUGCUGGGUGUACAACAAUGCUCGCGGAUUGGAAUCAGGACACAGACCCACUACGUUGGGCGUACUCCCAUUUAGGCAGGGCGUAACCUCGCUGAACUACAACUCCACAUAAGAUCUUAAUGGCUUAAGCUCUUAAGCCCAAACUUCAGAUCCAUAGACAAAAUAUGCCUAGGAUUCAUAAAGUCUCAAACUUUAUUACUUGGGACGUCCAUAAACCUCUUAACCCAAGGUCUUAAUCCAUUAAGACCUACCUAUAUCACAUAUGAGACAACCAAAGCCCUUGGGACCUCAUUUUUCUUACUCAAGACCUCUCCUAAGGUCUGAAAGGACAACUAAUCUCGACCAACUCGAAUCAUGCAUCAAGUUGAGGUUUUUGGGACAAGAAUGGUGUUAAAACUUCACAACACAAAGAUCUAUACAAUAAGAUUGUCAAGCCAGAGACUUUUUACCUCAAAAGGGCUCCAGAAGAUGAUGCCUCUCCAGAUCUACGAGCUCCAGCCGCCCCACUCCUUCUUUGACAACUUAUGUUUUCUUCUUCUUGGUUUUCCUUUGCCAAAACAAGCUUUCCAAGGUCAACACACCCAACAAUGGAGGUGGAACGGCUAUCUAGGGUUUUCUGAGGGUAAGAGAGUGUUUAUGGAGGCUAGGGUUGGAACCAUAAUGUUCCUUAUAUAGUGGUUGACCCUAAAUUUAGGGUUUCUGGAUGAUAGACGUACGUUGGGCGUACAUCCAGUACGUUGGGCGUACGUCGAGAGACCUCCGCGUUCAUUUACUCCAUUACGUUGGGCGUACCUAGCCAAACACGUGCAUGAAUGCUUGGCAUGCAUGGGACCCCUUUGCUAAACUUCCCCCUUAGGGACCAUUGUUGUCAAUAUCUUCAAUUUACAACAUAUCCUCCAUCCUAAGUUCGUUCCCGACGAACUUUAUAUCCACAUAAAGGGGCGCGAGAAGACCUACGCUUCUAGUGACACACCCCGACCCGAAAACCCAUUUCGAAUAAACCCAAUACCCAUAAAAAGACCGAAACGCCCUUACUCUUGAUCUCGGGAACCCAUAAAUAGAUAUUUUAAGAACGGAGCGUUACAGAUAUUGAUUGGGAUGUUGUACAAGCAUUUAUGGUUUUUGCUAAGGUGUUUUAUGAAGUGUGAAAUCGGUUUUCGGGGUCUUUGUAUGUAACUUUUCGUGCUUACUUUCAUGAUAUGUGUUCAUUGCAUAGCCAUAUUCAUGAAUGCAUUAAAAGUGAUGGCGGGUGAGUUCAAUGGCUAUGAAUAUGAAAGCAAAGUAUGAUAAAUAUUGGGAAAAUGCAGAAAAGAUGAAUUCUAUAUUGUAUGUAGAUGUUGUUUUUGAUCCUCGAUACAAAUUAAAAUAUGUCAAUUGGAGUUUGGAAGAAAUAUAACCUAUCGGUGAUAUUGCAUGUGACUUGAAAAAAAGUUAAAAGCCACUUUGAAUCGACUUUAUGUCUUUUAUUUGGAAAAAGAUCCUAUGCAUGCCAAAAUUCUUCUUCAAACAAGAAUCAUAACAAAAGAAAAGUUAAUGAGAAUCUUAACAUACAAGAGAAACGUAUGCUAAAAUAUAAGGAACAUUUGGAAGAUGAAAAAAAUAGGAGAAUUGAGUGAGCUUGAAAGAUAUUUGUCAGACAAUCAAGAGCCAAGUUAUGAGUCAUUUGACUUGUUGGAUUGGUGGAAGACAAAUAAAGCAAAAUAUUGUAUUUUGGGAAAAAUUGCACGCGAUGUCGUGGUUGUUGCAGUUUCUAUAGUUGCUUCGGAAUCCACAUUUAGCACAUGGGGUAGAGUUUUGGAUUUAUUUAGGAGUAGUCUUUCUCCUAAAAGAGUGCAAGCGCUUGUAUGCACACAAAAUUGGAUUUGGGGUGUGUUUAACAAAACUGCAAAAGUUUGUUAUGAAGAUGUGUUGCAAGAAAUUGAAGACCUUGAAGAAAUUCAAAAUAGUAAGAUUUCAGAUGUUAAAAAGUUUUAUAUCUCUUUGUUAUUAUUUUUUACAAAAUAUAACCUGUAUUUCAGGUUUUGCAAGCGAACUUAGUAUUUGCGCCGACAAUAUCGAUUGAAAGAUACUUUUCUUCUCAUGGUCUUAUAUUGAACUUUUGGUGUGAUGUUUUAAUAUUGAGUUUUUUGAACAAUAAACACAUAUGAAUUGGAUGACAUUUUGGAAGUGGAUAACAUUUUGGAAGUGAGCUUGCGGAUAAUGGAAAAAUAUUUGUGGUUUGUGUGUAUCGGUCUGAUGUUUGAUGUAAUGGAACAAUAUUUGUUAUUUUUAUUUACUGUUUUGGAUGGUUUUUAGGUUGCAUGAAUAGAUACAAAUGCUUGACGUAAUAGAAAGAUUUUAAAAAGUUUUAACAACUUUAAUAUGUUGUUUUUUUAACAAUUUUUUGCAGUUUUCUGGCAAUUUUGAUAGCUUUAAUGUUGUUUUUUUGGCAGAUUUUUUGACAGUUGUAACAAUAUAGCAGUUUUUUUUAACAAUUUAAUGUACUCGACAAAAAAUGAGCCUAAAAAGCCCAAACCGUGAAACUAAACCAGAACCAAACCGUUAGUAACAAUUUGAUUUUGUUUGGUUUUAAUUUUUAAACGGUUCCGCUGCGGUUUUUGAUCGAAAAAAAAAACUGUGAAGACCUCUAAGUAGAGGUUCGUUUUGUAUCAAUAUUAAUAAUAAUUUUUUAGUAGCUUCUUAUUAUCAUUAUAAAAUUAAUAGAAAAAUAAAAAGAAAUAAACACAAGUCAUGAUUACAAUAAUUUAAAAUAUAAUAUUGUUAUUUUAAAAAUAUAUUUUAAUUGCAUUUGUUUAUUUGAUAAUGAUAUCCAUCCCUUUAAUAAUGUAUACAACCGGGAUACCAGUAACUUAUGCACUUUCAAUAAAUUAACAUGCUUUCGGAAAAAAAAAUUGUAAAUUUGUAUUUGUAUGUAUAUAUACAUGCAUAUUUCCAACAAAGCAACACCGCUAACCAUGGCUUUUUCUGCACUCUCCCUUAUCCUUUUCUGCUUCAUCUUCAUAUCAUUCGCCAUCUCCGACGCCGUUGUUCCCCCCGCCGACACUUUUCGGUAUAUCAACCAAGGCGAUUUUGGAGAACUCGAUUCCGAAUAUGCCCCAACCUAUCGUCCUCUUCCUCCAUACACCUUCCCUUUCCAGCUGUGUUUCUACAACACCACCCCCGGCGUCUACACUCUCAGUCUCCGCAUGGGAACCAGACGUGAUGAAGCGGUCAUGCCAUGGGUGUGGGAUGCCAACAGAGGCAACCCAGUUGGCGAAAACGCCACCUUCUCAUUAGCCUCCGACGGAAACCUUGUACUCGCCGACGGAGAUGGACGGAUCGCAUGGCAAACCAACACCGCCAACAAGGGUGUCGUCGGUUUUGCCAUACUCUCCACCGGUAACAUCGUGCUUCGUGACUCCAAGGGUGGUUUCGUCUGGCAAAGCUUUGAUUCACCAACUGAUACUCUCUUGUUUGGUCAAUCUCUCCGGAUCCGAGGUCCGACGAAACUCGUCAGCAGAGCUUCAACGACGAACAACGUUAACGGAGCGUAUAGUUUCGUGAUAGAGCCAAAAAGAUUGGGUUUGUAUUAUAAGAACAUGCUUUACUGGGCUUCCACGUUUCCGGCGUAUCCGGAAUUGAACCAACCAAAUGUGACUAUUGUUAAUGCAACAUUCGACAUCGUGGAAACCGAAUACAAUAACGACUUUAACGCAAUUAGGUGUCAUCUUUCAAACUCUAAUGCUCAACCUUAUCUGGACAUGGACAUACUCCGAUUCAAUAACACGUUAUCCUAUAUCCGAUUAGGCAUCGAUGGGAACUUACGACUCUACUCUUAUCGUCCUCCGAAUAUCCGUUUUAGCCAAUGGAGUCUGGUGUUUAGAUUGUUCGAUAACAGGGAGACCACGAGGCAGGGUUUAUAUGAAGACGAGUGCCAACUGCCUGAACGCUGCGGCAAGUUUGGGCUGUGUGAGGACAGCCAGUGUGUUGGGUGUCCAUCGCCGGAGGGUGUUUUUGCGUGGAGCAAAAACUGCAACGUGAAGACGCCGUCUUGUAAAGCUGGUGGUUCUCGUUACUACCAGCUCAAAGGGGUCGACCAUUUCACCUCUAAAUACUCUGCGGGGACUGGGCCGAUGAAGCAGAAAGAUUGCGAGAGUAAAUGCACAAAGGACUGUAAGUGUAUGGGGUAUUUCUAUCGCACUGAUCUAUCGAGGUGUUGGAUCGCUAACGAGUUAAAAACUUUGACGAGGGUUGGGAACUCGACUCAUUUGGCGUACAUCAAAACACCCAUCCAGUAGUUGGAUAAGUCUACUAGGAAGAGGGAAUAAGGAAGAUGAAAGAUUUGAAGAAAUAGCACUGUUUACCUGCUUUUCUUAUUUUUACCUUCCAUUGUGUGUUUGUAUCGAAAUCAAAGAGUCUAUGUGGUAUACUUUUUAAGAUGUAAAACGCUUUGGUAUGCGUAACACAUUUGCAGAAGAGUAAUGUGUUUCCAGUCUACAAGAAAAAAGAUCGAUUAUUUAUUAAAUUCUACAACGACAUAAAAAAGGGUAGCUGCUAUUUGUAUACACCUCUAGGGAAUGAAAGACGAGAUCACAUCAAUCAUCGUGGUCUUUCUAUAAAUUUUAUAAGGUAGGCUAAAUUUUUUUUCUUAUUUUACCAUUUAGACGCCCUUAAUUAAUUUUAAAUUUUUUUUUUAUUGUCGCCAGAACAAAUGCUAUCAGAAAAGUUAAAAACCCUGUCGCAUGGUAUAGAUACAUGUGGGAUAUUAUUGGAAAAUAGAGAACAUAAUUUUUGGAGUUUCGGUUUUUUGGGCUAAAUUUAGGGUAGAGUGUUAUAGAUGAUUCCUGAUUGGUUAAUAAGGCUGGGGGAAUUGGAGUCACCGAAAAUGCAUUCCUUCUCCCAUCACAUAAGCGUCAUGUCAUUUUUUACCACUCAAAUGUGGUUUCUUGCCACAUCAAGUGUGUAGUGCCACACUUUUCAUUUCUUUUAUUUUUUUGUUUUUUUUAAGUAUUUUAAUUUAAUAAAACUUCCUUUUUUUAACUAUUUUAAUUUAAUAUAACUUAUAUUUUAAUAACAAAAACAUAAUUUUUCAUUACUUAAAAAUUAAAAAAAAAAAACACUAUAUUACGUUACUAAAAAAAACCCAUACAUAUGACAUUUAAAUAAUCUUAGAAACUUAAAAAACAUAAAUAAAAUAACUAAAGCAAACUACAUAAAGUCAUUCUCCGAGAACUCGUCUUCGGGGUCAUCCGGUGAAUCCAAAUUAAGGUUAAUGUUUUGAACCCUAUAAAUGUUUUCCAAGUCAUUGCGAAGAUUGUAAAAUGUUUCAGUGCAAUGUAUCUUUGCUCUCCUGUUUAUAUACUCUUCGCCACCAAUUUCUAUUGGCUAUGUCUCUGGUAUGGUUUCUUCUUCGUCAAACUCACAUAUCGCUUUUCCUUCGUCUUCAUUAAUCAUGUUAUGCAAUAUAAUACAUGUAUAUAUGAUUUCUUGAAGUUUUUCCUUGCCCAAAUAAGUUGUUGGUUUUUUCAAUAUGAACCACCGUUUCUUCAGAGCUCCAAAGGCACGCUCAACAUCUUUCUUAGCUCUUUCUUGAGCUCUCUUAAAUUUCUUUUGUCAAGAACCAUGUGGAGCUGAAAACGGUUUAACAAACACAGCGUACUUAGGAUAGAUUCCAUCGACCAGAUAAUAACCAUACUUAUAUGGCGUUCCACGCACUUGAAAAGAAGAAUCUGGUGCGAAUCUAUCGUAUAUGUUGUUAAAUAUUAAUGAACGGUUAAGAACGUUGAUGUCGUUAAUCGAACCAAGAGAACCAAAAAAAGCAUGCCAAAUCCACAUAUCUUGUGAUACAACUGCUUCAAGUAUGACCGUUGGGUGACCAUGAUCACCUCGGGUAAAUUGCCCAUAAUAUGUUGUAGGGCAAUUUUCCCAUGCCCAAUGGAGACAAUCUAAGCUUCCUAGCAUUUCAAGAAACCCAUGCACACUAGCAUGAUGAGCUUGCAAUUGCAGGAUGUCAUUACGUGUAGGCUUACGUAAAUAUUUUGGACCAGAAAACUGAAUCAUAGUUUUGCAGAAAAAAUGGAGACUGUCUCGUGCUAUCCUAGCAGACAUCCUAAAACUUUCGUCUAGCGCAUCAGGCGGAAUUCCAUAUGCUAACUGACGAAGUGUGCCCGUGCAUUUUUGUAAGAGAGUGAAACCGAGUGUACCUCUAGUAUCGUAGCGUUGUUGGAAAAAACUACACUCCCUCGUUACAUCGUCAACUAUACGUUCGAAUAAACCUUUGAGCAUUCUGAAGCGCCUACGAAAUACCUUGGUAAGUGGCAUUCUCUGCAAAAUAUUCUUGCACCAGACGUUGGUUGACUUCUUCACGAUUUCUGUAAAUAUAUCUUCGUGUUCUCUGUUGAGAACUUACAGCUGCGUUGUUACAUACAACGUUGUAUGUUUGUUCCGCCAUUUAAACACACGCAAUAGCGAUAUCAAAAAUAGUCUGAAAUUCUUCAGAAGAUGAAGAAGAUGACAUUUUUGAGAGAGUGGUGAUUUAAAUUUUUUUUUUUUUUUUUGAGAGAGAAAGGAGAUUGUGUUGUAAAAAAAAAGAUUAAGUUGAUAUGUAUAUAUAUAGAAAAGAAAAAGCAAAAGAAAAAAAAUUAAAUGCUCAACGUCAAUCCUUCCCAACUUCCCUCAACCAAUCAGAACACACGGUCUUAGAGAACCGCACUAUGGCCAAGAUUGUACUAGACCGCGGUCUGAAAACGGUGUUUCAAUACUACGUGGCAUAAAGUGCGGUCUGGAACGGUACCCGCACCGUGAAGCCUAAGUAAAGCAAACGGAUUUUGACGGACACACGAACCCGCGAUACUAGUAACUAUUACCUUUUCAUUAAAUUAACAUUCUUUCAUAAAGAGAAUAUAAAAGUCUAUAUAUAUGCAUAUAUAUCCGACAAGGCAACACAGUAACCAUGGUUUCUUCUCUCUCCCUUAUCCUUUGCUGCUUCAUCUUCAUAUCGUUAUCCAUCUCCAACGCCGUUGUUCCUCCCGCCGAUACUUUUCGGUAUGUCAAUCAAGGCGAUUUUGGAGAAUUCGAUUCCGAAUACGCCCCAAACUAUCGUCCUCUUCCUCCAUUCACCUACCCUUUCCAGCUCUGUUUCUACAACACCACCCCCGGUGUCUACACUCUCAGUCUCCGCAUGGGAACCAGACGUGAUCAAGCAGUCAUGCCAUGGGUGUGGGAUGCCAACAGAGGCAACCCAGUUGGCGAAAACGCCACCUUCUCAUUAGCCUCCGACGGAAACCUUGUACUCGCCGACGGAGAUGGACGGAUCGCAUGGCAAACCAACACCGCCAACAAGGGUGUCGUCGGUUUUGCCAUACUCUCCGAUGGUAACAUCGUGCUUCGUGACUCCAAGGGUGGUUUCGUCUGGCAAAGCUUUGAUUCACCGACUGAUACACUCUUGUUUGGUCAAUCUCUCCGGGUCGGAGGUCCGACGAAGCUCGUCAGCAGAGCUUCAGCGACGAACAACGUUAACGGAGCGUAUAGUUUCGUGAUAGAGCCAAAAAGAUUGGGUUUGUAUUAUAAGAACAUGCUUUACUGGGCUUCCACGUUUCCCGAAGUGAACGACCGAAAUGUGAAUAUUGUCAAUGCAACAUUGGAAAUCCAGAGAACCGAAUACGAAGAAAACUACUUUAAUGCGCUAAAGUGUCGUCUUUCAAACUCUGAAGCUCAACCUAAUUUGGACUUCGACAUACUCCGAUACAAUAGCACGUUAUCAUAUCUCCGAUUAGGCAUCGAUGGGAACUUAAGACUCUACUCUUAUCGUCAGAAUGUCCGUUUCAGCUCAUGGAGUCUGAUGUUCACUUUGUUCACUAGAAGGGUGAGCGAGAGGGGAGAGAUAGUUGAAGACGAGUGCCAACAGCCUGAUCGCUGCGGCAAGUUUGGGCUGUGUGAGGACAGCCAGUGCGUUGGGUGUCCGUCGCCGGAGGGUGUUUUUGCGUGGAGCAAAACUUGCAACGUGAAGACGCCAUCUUGUAAAGCGGGUGGUUCUCGUUACUACCAGCUCAAAGGGGUCGACCAUUUCACUUCUAAAUACUCUCCGGGGAGUGGGCCGAUGAAACAGAAAGAUUGCGAGAGUAAAUGCACAAAGGACUGUAAGUGUAUGGGGUAUUUCUAUCGCACUGAUCUAUCGAGGUGUUGGAUCGCUUACGAAUUGAAAACUUUGACGAGGGUUGGGAACUCGACUCAUUUGGCUUAUAUCAAAACACCUAUUCAGUAGCUCUGUGGUGCACGAGAAACCGGGAACAAGGAAGGUGCACUGUAUAGUUGCUUUUAGUAAAUUCUGACCUUCCAUUGUGUCUUUGUAUCGAAAUCAAAUAAUAUUCUUGUUUUGAUUUAUAAAAAAUUAGGUUAUAUGAGAUAACCGUUAUAUAUAAAUAAUAUUUAAAAUGAUUAAAAAAAUAUUUUUAUUAAAUUCAUCAUUUACAACCAACUUAUAAAAUAUAGCAGAUGUGCAAGAAAAAGAAAAAAACUUUUUUGAAAUAGUAUGUAAGAUGGUGCCGUAAAUAAUGCGAAUUAAUUUAAUAGAAGGAUUUGACUUAUAAUGGUAAGUUUAUCAUAAGAUUUAUGCUUAAAAUUUGAUUUUUUUUUUUUUAAAUCUAGAUGCAACCUUGGGAGGUUGUAAUUAAUUUACGACGGAAUAACAAAUCUAUUUAUAUAAACAAAAUGUAUUUUUAUAAACAAAACAUAAGUUUAUUAUUAUUAAUUUUAUCUUUUUUUAUCCACAUUGUGUCAAUAAAAAUAGUGUAUAAAAAACGUAUAAUUGGGUUUAAAAAAUUUCUUCUGUUUAUUGUAUUCGCCGAAUAAAAUAAACAACAUUAUGGAACCAAAAGUCAAUAUUGAAUUGCUCGUUAAUUUGUAGGUGGAGUCGGUUCAAGGAAAUAACAUCCUACUUUCAAUAUUACAACUAAAAAACAAAUAUCGAUUUGAGUAUUUACAUUUAUAUUCUUGAAAGACACCCUUUAUGUCAUGUUUAUAUAUUCUAUUUUCUUUUAAAAUUGUUAAACUAACAAUAUACGUUUUUUUUUAUUAUCACAAAUAUGUUGAACACCAAAAAUUUGUCAUUUUAACCAACCAAUAAGAGGGAUGUACACUAACUUGGAAUAUUUCAUUUGAAAUGACUUAUUGAUAGAUAUAGCAGAGAAUGUUUUAAAUGUUAACCGAACUAUAAGGCCGGACGGAGUGGGAUGAGGGGAAGGAGCGGGAACCGAUCCCGCACUUGUGCACACCGCACCGUGGGUGCGGGAAAGGAACCGUGGGAAGACAGUGGGGGGAGAGAGUCCCGCUCUCUCUCUCUCUUCUAACCAUUGGCCGACGAUUUUUUUUUCUUUUUUACUCAAACGGCUAUAUAGCCGUUACAUAUGUAUAUAUUUAUUUAUUUUUUUUCUUUUUUCCUUCUUUUUUCUUAAUCUAUAAAUACUCAAACAUUUUAUCAUUUUUUUAAACCAUAAUCUAUAUUUCUCUAUAUUUCUCUCUAAAAAAUAUUACUCAAAAUGUCAUCAUCUUCAUCAUCCGAUUUGACGGCAGUAGAGAAAGCUAAGUUUAUCGGUUCCUUCAUGGUGAAAACGGUUGCAUACUAUCAAAACCAACUUGGUGAAACAUCACGUGCACGACCUAACAUAAGAAAGCCGCCAUUACGUAGAAAUCACGAAGCCGGACACGAUCGUUUUAUAGAAGAUUAUUUUGUAGAUGACGCCGUCUACGCUGUAAAGUUUCGACGUCGGUUCCAGGUGAGGAAUGAACUAUUUUUACGUAUUGUUGGCGAUGUGGAAGGCCGCUUUCCAUAUUUCCAAUGGAAAAUGGAUACAAGGGGAAAAAAAGGUUUCUAUCCCAUUCAAAAAUGCAUGGCUUAAAUUCGUCAGCUAGCAUACCACAUGGGCGCAGACAAAUGGGACGAUUAUUUUAAGAUGUCAGAGCGUACCGUGAGGGACUCUGUGUACAAGUUCUGCAAAGUGAUAUGUUUGGUUUACGGGCAACGAUAUUUGCGCAAACCAACUAUCAACGAUAUCCACCAAUUGUAUACGGUGCAUGAAGGCAAACAUGGAUUCCCUGGAAUGCUAGGUAGUAUCGAUUACAUGCAUUGGAGUUGGUCAUUAUGCCCCAACGCAUGGCGUGAUCAGUACAUGAGAGGCGAACAUAAAGAGUCGGCGAUCAUUCUAGAGGCUAUCGCAUGACAUGAUCUUUGGAUAUGGCAUGCAUUCUUUGGUCCAACUGGUGCAAACAUUCUUUUUGAGAUAAAGGAAUGAGUGUUUUGGAUGAUUAUGACCUUUCCAGCCAUGCAAAGGCUGAAAGUUGUGAACUUUAUGGAGUAAGAGCCUUUGGGGAGUCCAUAUCUGAGAUAUGAGCUAAGGUCGUAACAGGUUAAGACCAAGUGAGUGAAUUAAGCAAAGCUGGGCAUACGCCCAACAUAAUUCCAAUACGCCCCCGUGUAUUGGGUUGGUGUACCCGAUCAUAUCUGGUGCAUGCUCGUGUACGCUGAGCGUACAAAGGGAGGUACGCCCCGCGUAACUUGCCUGCGGGCUUUUGGGUUAAAUUUCAUAUGGGCCAUAAAGGGUUGGUCCUGAAUCCUUGGAUUGGUGCAGAAGAGACUUUGAGCAUAGAAAUAUUUUUAUGCCUUAGGCCCUUGAGUAGGGCUUGUCCCUUGGACUUGAGAGUUGGGCCUCGGGAGAACCCAUUUAUUAUUGGGCCUUGGUGGGCCCAAUGGGUUUAGAUCAUUGUUGGGUUGGUUAGUGGACUACUUUUAGACCUAAUGAGUGAGAGUUUGGACUUAGUUCCUAAUUGGGAUAAUUUUGGGUUUUGGCACAGAGUUAGUGGCCGGUGCGUAGCAGCAACGUUUAGGGGUUGUUCAUCAUCCGAGGUGAGUCUUCUCACUAUACUUUACCUAGAGUGGUACUUAUGUGUGAGCAGAGGGUCUUAUGUGCUUAAAUUGAGAAUUAUGUUAUCCUGCCUUAUGUGUUAGAUGUGCAUUAUGUCUUUGUGAUUUAUGCUAUGUGGAGCUUUACAGACCGGACCAGAGGGUCCAACGAGUUGUGAGACCAGGAGGUCCUCAUUUAGACCGGACCGGAGGAUCCAACGAGCUGUGGGAAUGGAGGGUCCCACUGAUACACAUUGACCGGAGGGUCUAUAGAGAUAUAGCCUUGAGUGGCUAAUUAUUUGUGCGUGGUAUUUUGGGAAACUUGCUAAGCUUUGUGCUUACCGUGUUAUGUGAUAUGUGUUUCAGGUUUCCUCAGGAUCGCGGGAAGGCACCGGCUGGAUUGUACACACCAAAGAAGGAGUUAUGUUUUGAGGAUCCUGGAUUAUUAAUCAAAUAAUGACAUAUUUGUAUUUUAUAAAUUAAAUAAAAGAGAUUUUUAUGAUUUGUGUUAUGAGAAUUACGAGAUAUUAAAUGAAAAUUUGAUUUGAAAAUAUACGGUGUUAAAAGUUGCUAUCAGAGUCUUGGUUUGAGGGAUUUGGAUGCACCUUCAGGUAUAUCUGGACUCAAACUGAGGAUUUGAGAAAAAAUUUCAAAAGAAAUGAUUUUGUCUAAAACGAGCAAGAGUUUCUAAGAGAAAAACGAGAAAGAGCAGUGUAUACAAUCAGCCAGAGCCCGAACGGUGAUUUCCCUAAAUACCCUUACUUAUUUGUGUUAUGAGUUAUUAUUGAGGUAUUAUUUAUGCAUGUUAGAAGAUAGGCUAGGUAUUUCAUAUUUUAGGGCUAGAGUUGCCUGAAUUGUGAUGCCUUAGCCUAGGAAUUUUGCUAUCUGUGAUGUGUUUUGGGUAUGUGCGGAGUAAGAGUAUCCAGCAGGAAUAUUUCAGAGAUAGAGCUUCGAGUAGAGGAGUAAUCUAGGAGAGAUUUCUGGAUGAGCAUUGGAGGAGCCUAACGAGAGAGUAGUUAGAUGCCUGCAUGGGGUAGAGUUUCUUGAGUUCGGUGAAACCUGUUGAGUGUGAGUAGAGCCAAUGGAAUUGUAACCUAGAGUGGUUGUAUGUGUUGGUAGAGAAUAUUUGAUGCUCAAAUGCUGCUUUCUUCUUGCUUUGUGGAACUCAGGAUGAUGGGAGUCAGCUACUAAGUGAAUAUGACGAUAUUCAGGAGGCAGAUAGCUGACAUUAUUAGGGGUUCUUCAGCAGUUGAUGGUAGAGAAGUGAGAGUGCCCAAGAAGAGCCUAGUGAGUGACCUUAGUCAUAUGAGUAUGCUGAUAGAGGAGAUUAUUUGUUGGGGAGCAACCAAGUAUAUCAGAUUGGUGAUCGGGAAGGUUGAGCAGCUAGUUAGGAAAUCAGGGAUGGUCCGUGUGGAAAGUAUGGGUAGAUGUGGUAGGUAGUAUGGGCCGUACUACUAAAAGUAUAGGACCCAUACUCGAUACAGGGAGAAUUCCAGAGGUUCUAAGCAGCAGAUUGAGAGGAGAUCACAGGGUUCGAGUACCAUGAUUCAUAGCAGAUUGGGUGGGGGGUGAUCACAUGGUUCGAGUACCAUAAUUCGUGGCGGUUAGUGCUUCUGGUUUUACCAGUUGGCCAUGGUGGUUGAGUAGUUUAAGAUCAGGUGAUAGAGUGUGGGGACAGAGGGCCAGGUUGAGCAAGUCUUAAUGGAGAAUACCUUGAGAGAGAAAUUGAGUUCCUUUCCGAGAGAUUUUAUUGGUGAGAUGCCAGUUGGAACCGUAAUUCUCAGGGAUGAGUAGAGAUGAUGUUUUUGGAGGAACAUGGUUUGAAUCGAGCCAUCGGCUAAUGGAUGAGACGUCACUUUCUAUGGCAAGAGUUGCAUUGUUUCCGUUUCCUAGGAGAAGUGAAGGAGAUAUCAAGUUUUCGUUUUCAGAGUUUGGAGGUAGACCCCGUGGGGUACCAUUGGUGGCGACCAUUUCAUCAGAAUAUUUGAGCAGUUUGUCUGCUGCGAGGUAUUUCUUGUACCAUGGAAUCAGUAGUGGAUGACGAGAUGGAAGAGACUCAGGAAGGUGAUAUCUGAGUAUGGCAUGCAUUUAGAAGCAGUUUCAGGUAGUUAAGAGAAAUAUAUCGGGGGCGGUGACCCUCGUUGUUAUAUUGAGUAUCGGUUGUGAGGGUGAGGUCUCGGGCAUUAAUGUUGAUUUCCGUGUUAGGAGACUGGUCGAGAAGUCAAAGACAAGGGGUGUGAUAGAGCAUUAUUUCCGUACCGAGGGUCAGAGAUAUUUCGGAACACUUGGGUAUCCGGCGGUGUGUUAGUCAGAGGUUCGAGAUGACUAGAGGCAGUCACGAUUGGGAGAUUUUGAGAUCCUUGUUUGAGUUACGGGAUUUGAAGUUGCUGGGUUUCCAUCAGAAAGAUCAUUAAGCAUUUGCAUGGUACGUUCCAAGAGUCGAGAGUGAUGUGCCUGGUGAUUGUUCAAACCCUGAGUGGGGGAGAACUAGGUAUUCAAUAAAGCAGAUCAACAACUCAUUAUGGUACUAUUGGUUAUGGAAAUAUAUGGUGCGGACACAUGCAACCUAGGAUGAUGUAUGAGUAUGUACUUAAGGAAGGAUGAUUGAAUCCACGGCAGGGGUCAUUGGUCAGAGAACUUAUUAUGGCUAGAGGUUUUUCGGGUUGCAAAUGAUGAGUUCGAGGCGGAUGAGUCGUUGAGUUCAGGAAAAAAAGCUGAGAUUUGCGGGUAUGGGUAUAGAUUGUGGUCUAUACUCUGGAAGAAGGCAAGAGUGAUUGUUAACCAAUUUGAGAGUCGGUUGGAGUAGUUUCAUAUGAGUAGUGAUCAGUAGAGGGACGAGCUUGGAUUUCGUCAACGUGUUCUGAGCCAUUGUCGACAUCUCUGUGUUUCAAAUUCAGAAAUGGAAUAUUCUGAGGUGAUAAGAAGUUCGAGAAGAAGAUCGAUUGCAAGAUUUUGAAAGAGAAACGCGAUAUUUGAGUAUGAUGCCGAGAUUAUGGGGUCGGUGGUUAAGGCAAAACAUUAUGAGGUUCUUUGAUGGUGUACCGAGGCAACCGAGUAUGAUGUACUAACUUUCAAGUCAUAUUAGGACUCGAGUCGUGAGAAGGCGGGUGGAGUACCUUGUGAUUUUAUUCCAAUACGGAAACCAUCAGUUAAUUGUCGUUGGAGUGAGACUGUAUAAGGGUGUAUCUGUGUUGAGCCUAGUACCUUGCCUGUGAGAACUUGUAUCGAAAGUGGUGAUACAUAAGUUGGGUGAGUGUAAGCACUUAUCUAUAUGGAAUUGCAGAGCAUGAUUGGUGAACUAAGUGUGGUGAUAACUUGCAAACGAGAUCAUGAGGGAUAAGAGAGCAAGUGAUCUGAGUGGGGAGUAUUCACUUGGGAUUAUCAGGAGAAACCGUGGACUGAGCCCUUGGUGAGUCAGUGAGCGAGAUAACGUUAUAGCACUACGGGGAGCCGUAGUAUCCAUGAGUCAGUGAAAGAGAGUGUCGUGUUACUACGAGGACCCGUAGUAUUCACGGGAUAGUGGGAGAGGGCUGUAAUACUACGGGGAGUUGUGGUAUUCAUUAGUCAGCGAGAGAGUGUCGUGAUACUAUGGGGAGCCAUAGUAUUUAUUGUUUAGAGAAAGAGUGUUGUGAUGCCACGGGGAGUCGUAGCAUUCGCGAGUCAGUGAGAGAGUGUUGCAAGCCUACGAGGGAGACUGUAGCGCUCAGUGGUCGAUGAGGGUGAAUACUUAUCAAUGGAGAGUUGUAGUAUUCACUACCCAGAGUAUGGCGCAGGGGAGUUCUUAGGCUUGGGUAGCCUUGCUACCUGAGUCUUCGGGAGCUUGGUUGCCAAACCAGGAGCGAGACAGGGGUCUCCAUUUCAGUUGGAAAUCAUUGUAUCCCUGGGUCGAGGAGGAUUAGCAUAGUUGGAAGGAAUCAGAGAGAUGGUGUGGGGGUAAUCUGCGAAUUAUGGGUCAUGAGUGAGUACUGGAUUUGAAAUGAGAGGUUCCAAUUUUGCUUUUGAAUCAGACUCUCGAGCUUGAGUCUGUAUCCAUUUGUGUUUUGAAUAAGUGAGGUGAGGUUUCGAAUCAGUUUCGUUGGUAUGAGAAGUACCGCGAGAUGCAAGGAACCAGUGAGUGGUAGACGACAACGGUUGGAGGUGAAGCGAACCCAGAUGAGUUGUAGCAUUCGCUUGGGGUGAAGCAAACCUCAUGAUUUGUGCAUCGCUAUGAGCCGGAUUGGUUAUUGAGAGUUGAAAAACCGGUAGGUCAUUUUUGGGGCAUGUAGUGAAUAACCUUGGAGGUUCCACUUGUUGGGUCAGAGACGACCUUAUUGCUCAGUGUUAGAUUGGACAAUCGGGAGAAACUGGGGCUUAUGUUUAAGAGUUGUGAGGAUCAGUCCUUAGUGGGUUAUAACCUUCCCAUUCUUUUGAGUUUGCCCGGGAUAGGUUAGAGAAUAAGAGUUAGUAGAGUGUUCUUCGAGCCUGUUAAUCGAUGAGUGAUUAGCAUGAUAUUUUUGGGAAGAUGGUAUGGCUGGGAGACAUACCACUAGAGUUUUCAGGUUCUAGAGAGUCAGGUCAAGAGUCAUAGCGACAGAUGGGUCCGUCCUUCUUCGAUUCGGGAAUGCUUGUUGGGAUCAGGUGACUUUGGAAUAAAUUGUUAUACGAAAUGAGGUCCUUUUUGGUGAUGUUUCUCAGGUUAUUAGUUUUGAUCUAUGUAUUGAUAAGUUGCGAUUUCGAGGGCCAAAUCUAAUUCAAGUGGGGGAGAAUUGUAACAUCCUGUUUCGGAUCAUCUGAGAUUAGGGUUUGUGGGCUGCAACACGGGAUUGAGGAAGUCUCGGGGUUGCGACGAGUUGUUAGAAGUGUGGGGUGUCUGAAAACCUUUCAGUGAGUAUGAGAUUCUUUGGAAUCGAAGUAAUAUCGAAGAAGAUAUGGAAGUUUGAAGAAUUGACAAGAUAAGUCCCUAAGUUGAGAAAUGUGGCAGCGGGGUAUGUUGGGCGUACGAAUGUGUACGCUUAGCGUACUCAUGCGCGUGACUUUUAAGAGGAGCCACCUAGUACACUGGGCGUACUAAGUACAGAAGGAAAAACACUAAUUGAGGAAUGUCCCUAUAUAAGGAAUGAGAUGGCCUCAUUCCUGGCCACCCUUCUCAGAUAAUAAACCCUCUAAAACCCUAAUCCAUCGUUUAUGGACCGUGUGAGAGCAUUUUCGAGCCUUGAGUGAUCUUGGUGUGUUCUUGGAGUAAAGAAGGAGCUUUGGAGAAGAAGGAGUGAGAAGUCCAGGCCUUGGAUCUGAGCAUAUCUGAGUUGGAAGCUUCAUAUAGAGGUAUAAAGCUUCAAUAUUUCUCACUCUUUUGUUUUGAGCAUCAUAUUAGUGUAUUUUAGGGUUUUGUCGCUAAAGGUGGAGACUUUAUGAGAUAGUGAACUCCAGAGGCUAUGAUAAACCCUUUUGAGUGUGAUUAAUAGUGUAUGGUCAUAAAAAUCCAAUCUUGGUCGUUGGAAUCAAGCCAUGCAUGAGUUAUGAGCUUUUUGAGAUAAACGAGUGAGUGCUUUGGAUGAUUGUGACCUUUCCAGCCAUGCAAAGGCUGAAAGUCGUGAACUUUAUGGAGUAAGAGACUUUAGGGAGUCCAUAUAUGAGAUAUGAGCUAAGGUCGUGAUGGGUUAAGACUAGGUGAGUGAAUUAAGCAAAGCUGGGCAUACGCCCAACAUAAUUCCAGUACGCAGGGGCGUACUGGGUUGGUGUGCCCGAUCAUAUCUGGUGCAUGCUCGUGUACGCUGAGCGUACAAAGGGAGGUACGCCCCGCGUAACUUGCCUGCGGGCUUUUGGGUUAAAUUUCAUUUGGGCCUUAAAAGGUUGGGCCUGAAUCCUUGGAUUGGUGCAUAAGAGACUUUGAGCAUAGAAAUAUUUUUAUGCCUUGGGCCCUUGAGUAGGGCUUGUCCCUUGGACUUAAGAGUUGGGCCUCGGGAGAACCCAUUUAUUAUUGGGCCUUGGUGGGCCCAAUGGGUUUAGAUCAUUGUUGGGUUGGUUAGUGGACUACUUUUAGACAUAAUGAGUGAGAGUUUGGACUUAGUUCCUAAUUGGGAUAAUUUUGGGUGUUUGCAUAGAGUUAGUGGCCGGUGCGUAGCAGCAACAUUUAGGGGUUGUUCAUCAUCUGAGGUGAGUCUUCUCACUAUACUUUACCUAGAGUGGUACUUAUGUGUGAUCGGAGGGUCUUAUGUGCUUACAUUGAGAAUUAUGUUAUCCUGCAUUAUGUGUUAUGAUGUGCAUUAUGUCUUUGUAAUUUAUGGUAUGUAGAGUUUUACAUAUCAGAAAAGAGGGUCAAACGAGUUGUGAGAACGGGAGGUCCUCACUUAGACUGGAUCGAAGGGUCCAACGAGCUGUGGGAAUGGAGGGUCCCACUAAGACACAUUGACCGGAGGGUCUAUAGAGCUAUAGCCUCGAGUGGCUAAUUAUUUGUGCGUGAUAUUUUGGGGAACUCGCUAAGCUUUGUGCUUACCGUGCUAUGUGAUAUGUGUUUCAGGUUUCCUCAGGAUCGUGGGAAGGUACCGACUGGAUUGCACACACAAGAGAGGGAGUUAUGUUUUGAGGAUCCUGGAUUAGUAAUCAAAUAAUGACAGAGAUGUGUUUUAUAAAUUAAAUAAAAGAGAUUUUUGUGAUAUGUGUUAUGAGAAUUACGACAUAUUAAAUGAAAAUUUUAUUUGAAAAUCUAUGGUGUUACAUCAGCCUCUGUACUCGGCUUCUGAGUUUUACUCAGUUUGGCAUUGCUCUGGAUCGGCAAGUCACCUUUCUUGGAAUUGUGCAUGUUGAACCUCUUCAACACCUUGUCCUAGUAGGUACUUUUACUAAGUUCAAUUAGUCUCUUUCUCCUGUCUCUUAAUAUGCUAAUCCCAAGAAUAUAGGUAGCCUCUCCGAGGUCCUUCAUAGCGAAACACUUCCUGAGCCAGGACUUCACCUCCUGCAGGGUCGGGAUGUCAUUUCCUAUGAGAAGUAUGUCAUCCACAUACAACACCAGAAAGCUAACUAGACUCCCACUAGCUUUGACAUAUACACAGGACUCAUCCUCGCUUCUCGAAAAUCCAAACUCUUUGACUGUCUCAUCAAAACAAAGAUUCCAUCUGCGAGAUGCUUGUUUCAAUCCAUAAAUGGAUUUCUCAAGCUUACACACUCUAUUAUGGUACUCAUCAUCGACAAAACCCUCUGGCUAACUCAUGUAAAAAUCCUCAGCCAACUUCCCAUUAAGGAAAGCGGUUUUGACAUCCAUUUUCCAUAUUUCAUAGUCAUGAAAUGCAACAAUGGCUAGCAGAACCCUAAUAGACUUAAUCAUUGCUACUGGAGAGAAGGUCUCAUCAUAGUCAACUCCCAGAGUUUGAGUAAAGCCCUUCGCAACCAAUCUCGCAUUGUAUGUGUGUACUUUCCCAUCCAUGUCGGUCUUCUUCUUGAAUAUCCAUUUGCACCCGACUGUCUUACGACCCGAUACAUUGUCAACCAAGUUCCAAACUUGAUUGUUAUACAUGGACUGAAUCUUCCUGUCCAUUGCCUCUUUGCAAUUAGCAAACUCGGGGCCUGCCAUGGCUUCCUUGUAGUUCUUGGGUUCAUCAAAAUUUACCAGUGUGCUAUCACUGAUAAAUGUAUCACCUUCUGUAGUAAUAUGGAAACCAUAAAACUCAAGUGGAACUCUAACUCUACUAGAAUGCCUCAGAGGUACAAACUCGUCAAUCGGCUCAACAGUAGCUUCCUCCUUAGUUUGAUCGCUAGUGUUUGAGGUUCCUUCACCGCUUGACUCUUGAAUUUAUUCAAGGUCAAUUUGCCUCCCACUGUCUCCUUGGCUUAUGAGCCCUCUCUCACGAAAGACUCCUCUCCUCACAACGAAGACGACAUUGUUGCUCGGUUUGUUGAAGAGAUAACCAAAGGAUUUAUGUGGGUAGCCGAUGGAAAUACACCGCUCACUAUGAGGUUCGAGCUUUUCAUGAGUCUCGUGUCUCACAAAAUCCUCGAAAACCCAAACCUUGAUGUGUGCUAACGAGGGGGCUUUCCUUGUCCACAUCUCGUGAGGUGUUUUGGCAACCUUUUUAGUUGGGACUCGAUUAAGGAUAUGGGCGAUAGUCUCUAAGGCAUACCCCCAGAAUGAGAUUGGUAACGAAGAUCGGCUCAUCAUGGAAUGAACCAUAACCAACAAGGUUCGGUUGCGCCUCUCAGCCAUACCAUUAAGUUGUGUUGUUCUAGGUGGCAUCAACUGUGAAACAAUUCCACACUCCUUAAGAUAGUCUAGGAACUCAAUACCAAGAUACUCACCACCCCGAUCGGAUUAGAGCAUCUUUAUGUUCCUGCCCUGCUGAUUCUCCAGUUCUUGCUUAAACUCUUUGAAUUUCUCAAAGGUUUCUGACUUAUUCUCGAUCAAGUAGAUAUAGCCAUAUUUGUUGUAAUCAUCAGUAAAAGUGACAUAGAAGCGGUUAGCAUCCCUUGUGGUGGUUCUGAAGGGCCAACAUACAUCAGUGUGUAUGAGAUCCAACAAAACCUCACCCCUCUCACAAGUAUCAGUGAAGGGUGAUUUAUUCAUCUUUCCAAGCAAACAAGAUUUCCAAGUCUCAUCCGACCUUAAGUCGAAUGACUCCAAAAAUCCAGCCUUCUAGAGUAGGCCUAUGUGCUUCUUGUUGACAUGUCCAAGACGACAAUGCCACAAGGAUGCCUUAUCCAAAUCAUUAGAAGAAUUGAUAUGCAACACAUUAUUUUCUAAGUUGUCUAUAACCAUCACAGUUUCAUAUAGAACAUUACAAGGUAAUGCUCUAAAAUAAAAAUAAAAUACCAUUAUAAUAAGCAUUUAUUGCACCAAUUUCAUUAUCAAACGAAAUGUGAAACCUUGUUUGUACAAACCAUGAAAGAAAAUAAUAUUUCUCACCAUAUCAGACGAGUAGCAACAAUUAUUCAAAUCUAUUUCUAACCCAUUACUAAGCAAUAAAGAGUAAACUCUAAUCUUGGUGACAGGUGAAACCUUCAUAUACCCCAUGAUCAAGUUUAUCUUCCCGUGAUCCAGAUCCUUACUUCUUUUUAGGCCCUGCACAUCAGAACAAAUGUGAAAUACACAACCUGUGUCAAGCACCCAAGAGUUAGUAUGUGAUGAGUUUUUAGAUAGAAUAGUAUAAAUACCUUCAUGGGUGGGUUUGACUUUCUUGUCCUUAACAUCCUGCAAGCUUCACUUCCAGUGCCUAUUUUCAUGGCAGUAGAAACACUCUGCUUCUUUGGGAAUGGAAGAGGGAGUAGCAGGACUAGCCUUGGUCCCACUUGAAAAGGAUCCAUCAAUGGACUUUCCCUUGCGGCUCUUGGAGGGAGCCUUCCUCUUCUUCCCCUUUCAUUGCCUAAUUGAGAGCACAGGGGUAGUGGUAGUAGGAAUAGUAACAAACGAAUUACCUUUGAGACCUAUUUCGUAGUCCUCAAAAGUCCUUGAAGUUUGUUAAGUGUGACCUCCUCCUUGUUCAUAUGAUAGGUCAUGCAUAACUGAUCAUAACAUGGAGGUAAGGACUGUAGUAUGAUAUUAAUAGCCAUUUCCUUAGGGAAGUUCACAUUCAACUUUAGCAAUCGGUCCACAAACCUUUGCAUUUUCUGCAAGUGGCCCGUGAUGGCUUCACCAUCCUUCAUUCUGGUUAUGGUCAAGGAAGAGAUGAUUUCAUAUCGCUCUUGACGAGCACUCUGAUGGUAUAUUUCCAUCAUAUCUUGGUGCAUCUCAAAAGGGUAGAAGUCAUCUUAGGACUUUUGGAGUUCAGGAGACACGGUGGCAAGCAUGAUACAGGCUACCUUAGUGGCAUCUUUUUCAUGUGCCCUAAAAUCAGCAAUCUCCUGAGGAGUAGCAACAGACUCGAUGGUUUCCUUCAGCUCCUAUUCAAGGACAUAUUCCUUGUCCUCAUAAAGAGUGACCAUCCUUAUGCUCCUAAUCCAGUCAUUGAAAUUAGUUACAUCAAAUAUAACUCUCCCAUAGAGGUUUGUGAGAGAGGAUUCGGUAGGGUUUGAGCCAGAAGCAGCAUUGUUGGAAGACAUCUGAAGAGAAAGAAACACAAAGUUUAGAUUAGAUAAGGAAUCCUUAAUAUAACACCCAAAAUGAAAUAUUAAGGCUAGGACCCAGCACAAUAUUUUACAAUUUGGAAGAGGCACUACAAGAAAAAGAGCCUUUUACGACGCGCAAACCACGACACUCAGUGAUUUAUGUUACGCAAAAGAGAGUGACAUUAAAGACGUGUCAUCUCUUCAAAAAAUUUAAGGAUUUAUGUCACGCAUUAUUGCGUGCCCUUAGGUUAGUGUCUCAUGUAAAGAAAAUAAAAACACGGAGUGCACUUGUGCGUCCACUAACAGUGUCGCUUUAUAAUUAUUUAAUGAAACACGCCUUUUAGGCGGGACUUAUCAAACACGGAGGAAAAAAAAAUCCCCAAAAUUUUGGAAGACCCGCUCAUUCUUUCCUCUCCACUGCCGAUGACCUUCAAUUUCUCCCCUCCUUCUCUCUGUAAAACCUAGCAGCCGCCACCAUCAGAAACAUUGGCUUCGUUCUGUGUUGUAAGAACGCGAGUCUGAUCCUUCAUUAAUAUCUAAAGGGGGAAAAUCCCCAAAAUUUUGAAGAACCCCGCUCACUCUCUCCUUAGAUCUCCACCCGACGGAUCGACCUUCAUUCUUCCCCCUCUCUGUAACACCCUCGCUUCCUUCAAGAAAUCGAGGACCAUUCUCUUUCGAUCGUAUCUUUAUGGUGACGAUUAGACACAAUAAUCUCAACAUAAAAUUGGUAACUGAACCCCUCUUCACCUCUACCCUACUCCAUCUACAACGAAUCCUCACAUUUACAAACCCUAGUCCAGUUGCGCUUCUAGCCUUGGUGUUAUUUCUUCAUCUGUUCAGCAAAUAAGGGGAACACAAAUUCUCAUUAAUCCCUCAACUUCAUCUUCUCAAUCAAGCAAAAAGGAUUCUGAUUUUUUUUCGUGCAUCUGCAUCAUCUCUGCUGCAAUUUCACAUGGUAUUAUCGCUUUCUCCUUUAUGCCUCCCAUUUUUCUUGCAUCUACUUCUCAAACUUUUGAUAUUUUCCUGCAUUCGCAAGUCAAACUUCUUAUUUUUUGCUUGCAUCUUCUUCUCAAUUAAGCACAAAAGUAUCACAUUGUUUUGCAAUUGAUGUGAGUUUAUAGUUGCAUCAUUUUUUCUUUUUGUGCAGCGAGCUUUACUUGCUGAGCCAGCUGCUCGAUUAGAAAUGACACCAAUGGUCUGCUCAUUAUUUAUAUCUCUCUCAACUCUCAACUCUCAAGCGUCUUUGAUUUAUUUUGCGAUAAUAUUUACCAUUUUGUCCUUGGCUCAGGCUGCUAAUGCUGCUUGGAACAUGGGGGAGUGGGAUCAGAUGUCUGAGUAUGUAUCUAAACUGGAUGAUGGUGAUGAAAGUAAACUCAGGGUGUUUGGGAACAGUUCUGAAUGCAAUAAAAAUUGCAUCCAGAUCAUCUGCAACCCCAAAAAAGGCCUGAAGAGCAAGGAAGUGUUUGGCAACUGAGCUUGCUGCUCUGGUUAGUUUCCAAAUUCCAACAUCAAACCAUAAACCCUAAACCCAUGUGUGUACUGACUAUGUUAAAAUGUCUCUGAAUUAGAAGAGGUAUUCUUAUUUCCUUUAAUCAUUUUGCUACUAAUUUAAUGAAAUUUCUGUUCUAAAGGAUCAUCAUAAUUCAUAUUCAUGUUAUUCUUGUUUUUGACAGGUCAUCGAUUACUAUACUCUUCUAGUUGGAAACUCUAUUUCCUUAAACGCCAUGUCAUCAUUAACUAUUCUUAGUUGCUAUUCCAGCACAUUCGCAAGUAUCUACGCGAGCUACUUUCUUUAAUAUCAGAAUUAUGGUCAUCAUUCAGUCUCCCAGCAGCUAAUCGUCAUGUUCAUGGACCCCCGGAAAGUGUGCUUCUAUUAUCUAUCUUUUGUACAAUACACAGGUGUCAAAGGGCAAUAAUGUAAUUUGACUUUCUGAUCAGAUCCUGCACCUAGUUGAACAACUUUGUCUGGCCCUAAAUGAUGAGUUCAGGAGAUAUCUUCCUAUAAUUCUUCUAUCUGGAGAUGGAAAGACUCCACAUUAUAUGAAAGUUGAUCGGGACAAAUGAGCUGAUGAAGAUGAUGAUGCAGGUAUGGUGAUUGUUACUAAUUUUGUCACCCACCAUUUCUAUAUUUAAUCAUGUUAUAUGUAUAUUGUAUUCAGAAGUUUAGUUAAAUAUGUUUUUUAGGUCCUACUGCUGACCUUGACAUGGGAAUAAUGGAUUUCUCAGUAAGAAAAUAGUUUCUUAAAAUAUUAUUACUGAAGUUUCUUUCUUUUUAUAUCACUAAUGACUUAUCCUCAUACAGAAAUUUGGUGACGUGGGAGGCAUGGGCAUGCCUGACAUGGGUGAUUUCUCUAUGGGUGAUGACCUUGAAGACAUAUCUCAUGUUUAUUGUGUAGAGUGGCCCUGCCAUUGACAUGACAACAGAGGAUACAUGGGGCGUCAACUACCGAGCCCUACAAGAUCUGUUUGAAUUAACAGAGGCAAGGAUAGAUGUAAUAAAGUAUGAGGUUGGAGUUCAAAUGCUUGAAAUAUACAAUGAACAAGUCAAAGAUUUGUUGGUAAUUGAUGGCUCCAAUAGAAGAUAUCCUUUCAAUUCUCUACCCUUCCUUCUCAUGUUUAUUAUUUUUUUUAAUUUUUUUAAAUCUUGACAACCUACACAUUGGAUAUAUGAAACAAGUCCCAACUUAAUGAUCUUAAUGUUCUGGAUGUGUCUUUGGUUUCUGUUAAAUGUACACAAGAUGUUCUUCAUCUCAUGAGAAUUGGUCUUAAUGUUCCGGAUGCGUCUUUGGUUUCUGUUUAUUGAUUCUAAUUUAAACAAUUUUGUACUUCAAUUUUGCUCCAACAACAUCAGCCAUUUCGUUUCUCUUUUCUCCCAUUCCCAUACCACCUCUAAAAAAAUUAUGUGCUUCAUUUUUUUGGUAAUCAGGUGAAGUAGAACCUGGGAUUGUUAAAAUUCUCUGUGAUGAAAAGUUAAUUUGUUUCUAAACUCCUGAAUUGAAUCAUAAUUUUCCCCCUCUUCCUUUAUCAUGUCGUAUAUCCUUCUCUUUGCAUUCUUAGAUAGUUACACAUAUCUGUUAUAAGGGCACAUAAUUCUAAUUUUCUAUCCAUAGGAAGGUUAUUACAUUUACAUGUCAUCUGUUAAAACGUGUUUGAGUGAGUGGUCCUGUGUUGUCCUAUUUCUAUCUGUACAUUUCUUAUCUUGUAUAACAGGCUCUUGAGUUAUUAUUUACAGCUUGUCUCUAAGACUAAGAUAUUGUUCAUCCUUUAGUGUUUUUUUUCAUUUAUUAAUAAAUUUCUCAGUUUAUUCAUUCCAAAUAAAAGUCAGAUUCGAUUUCCAAUUUGGUGUUUCUCCCAAGAUUUUGGACCCUGUAUACCCAGUACACGAGUUUCCUCUUCCUCUACAUUUAGCAGAAUCAGGUCUCGGAUAAGAUGGAAUUCAUCAGGGAGCACUUCCCUAUGGAGUUAAGCUUAUAUCAUUUCCAUUAUUCUUUCUAAUUAAAGCAAGACUGGACAUUUGAGGUCAUUUGUCUGCUACCCUUCUCUUCUAAGUAGUCAUCCUUUUCGUUGUUGUGUGUUUGUGCAUGAUGUGUGUUGGCCUUCUGCUGGGGCUGGGAGAGUAAACAAGGGAUCAAAUUUAUAUAUUCAUGAUGCUAAUAUUGCUGACAAGAUAGAGAACCAGGAUGGAAAGAAGCUGAAAGAGAAGGAUAUGCUUAUAAAUAUUGCUGGAGGAAUUUCCUUUAUGCUCAAACACUUCAAGCUAUACAUUCUUUAAGGAAUCGUUUAUCCAUAUUUUAAAAGAUGCUCAAUUACUUGAGACUAAAUCGGGGAUUAGCAACAGAUUAAGUCAUAAUCAAUCAUCGGUUAGCGCCAUUAUAUGCUCAGGCCUUUUUCCUGGCAUUGCAUCUGUAGUGGUAUGUAUGCUUAAUGCUUAUUUAUUUAAUUUACAAUUUACAAUACAAUUGAUAGAUAUAUGAAUCCAUAUGUUACUUAAUUUUGUUCUUUUUUAUUUUUAAUAUGUGCAGCAUAGGGAGACAUCAAUGUCCUUCAAAACUAUAGAUGAUGUCCAAGUCUUACUCUAUGCAGUAUGUAUUAAAGAAAUAGCAAUGCACUUUCAUUCAUUUGUUUCAUAUUUUUUUCACAUUUCUCUAAUGAUAUUUUUCCUUGAGUCAUAGAAUGAUUGGCUCAUAUCUUGUUUUUUGAUAUUUAUACGCAGUUUUUUUCUUACGUCGGUGGUGGCGAAGUUCAAGAUUAAGGGAGACUUGUAAUCAUGUUUGGCUUUCCUUUCCAGUAAGAAACAGAGUUGUAUGAUUAUUUGUUAGUUUUAUAGGAAUGUAUAACACAUGUUAGCAAUGUAUUAUUUUUGUUUAACAUUUGAAUGAUUUUUUGUAUGACAUUAUAAUUUGUGCAAUUUAUUUUAUAUUAUGCAAUGGAUUGUAUUUUUUGUAUAUGGUAUUUUAUUUCUGUUAUAAGAAAUUAAAUGAAAAUUUAAUUUAAAAAUUAAUAAAUAUAUAAAUUUAUUUUUUUUAAACAUUUAAAUUUACGAUACGCAAAAAUGUAUGUCAUCUUCAUAUAUGACAUGGCCUUUCUUGACAGGGGCUUUCUUGAUACGCAUUGCGUGUCAUUAACACGCGCGUCGUAAGGUUACGACACGCGAAUGCGUGUCGUCUUCCUUUAUGACAGGGCCUUCCUUGAUACGCAUUGCGUGUCGUAACCGCGCGUCGUAAAUGCGCGUCGUCUCUCUUUAUGACAGGGCCUUCCUUGACACGCAUUUGCGCGUCGUCUGAGCGUUUUACGACGCGCAAUGAGCGUCGUAAAAGGCCUUUUUUCUUGUAGUGAGGGAUAUCGUAAUCCAUCUUGCAAAAUAUUUGAAGGCAGGUAAAUGAUGAUUUACCAAUUUCCACCAUGAAAAACGAAAUUGUUAUUAUGUUUUAAUUGGAUUUGAAACUCCUAGAUCAUUUGAGAUUCAUUGAACAAUUCAAUGGCAUGUUUAAAUCUCGAUUAUGCCCUCCAGGUUUGUGACUAGAAUAUCGAGGAUCAAAAACAAGGUGUGAAUAACCAUGCAAAUGUACUUGGUACUCUUAAUGUCAAUUACCACAUUAAUCAAUGUGUUGGUAAACUACACAUGCUCCAUUGACCUUAUGAUAAACAUUAAGCUACGCUUUGCCACCCUUACUAGUCAAAGUUAAUGUGUCGGUUAACCAUACACGCUCCAUCAACGACUUGGUAAGGUGCAAAAUGUAAUUUCAUGGAUUAGCAUCAAUUUCACAUAUUCCUAAAGUAACUAAGAAUAGGAAUUUAUAAAAGGUUUAGUUACUUUAUAAUUAUCAAUAUACUUUUAAUGAGAAUUAGAGUCUUUGUCUUACCCGUUUGGCUAACGACCCUCCACCAGUCGAGGAAAUGGUGGGUAAGAGUGGACACCCAUUAAGCUUCCAUUUUAUGGGCAACAACCUUAUACCCCUCUUAUAGACCAGGUUCGUGAAUGAGGCCUACUAACGGUAAGACUGACUUAUCUUAUACAUACAUACAAAAAUUCUAUGGUUUGGCCCUAAAGUAUUCCAAAGCGACUUUACAAAUUCCAAAACUUGAGGGCAUGCUUUGAAACUAGUCGAAACUUUUCAAGUUCAUAACCUAUGAGUGUUAAUGAAUUUUAAGGAAAAGACUUUUGGAAUUCCAUAACUUGAGGACAAGUUAUGGAGUCCAUUAAAAGGCAUUUAGAUCAACAAUUAAACUAACAUACAAGUGUCAAAUAAUAUGAUCUACCAAAAACUCAUAAGCAAGGAUAAUCCAAAUCACGAAUUUUCAAGAAUCAUAUAAACUAAUAUUGUAGUGGUGUUGAUUAUGAUGGCAUGUGCGGAAUUAGAAAGAUCUAGUGAAUCAUCAUGUAAAAUCAAGAACACAAGGAGUAAAUAAAUCUUUGUAAGCUCUUAUUAGAUCUAGAAAGAAUAUACAAAUGGGUUUGUACAAAGUUUCUCUCUCUAGUCUAACACUCCAAAUGGAUUCACUUACAUAAUGGGAGUUACUCACUUCCUAUUUAUAGGAAAGACUCAACCCAUUUACACAUACAAAGAGGAAAGCCUAAAACACUACAUCCAAGAGUGACUUUGCACCCUAACAUUCUCCCCCUCAAAGUUAGGAUUGGAUGUCCGGCUUCAAUCUCCAACGAGCUAGCGCGAUCAAGACCAAACUCCCCCUCGAAGUAACACCGGUCUUCAAAUCCGCAAAUGAAUAUUCGACAAACCUGAGAAGCUUCGAAUACCCAUCAUUCUCCCCCUUUUUAUAAUCAAAAAAUGAUUAUAAAACCCACUAAGGAUGAGAAGCGCCUGAGGAAUAGUCUUCACGAUACUCCCCUUGAUGUGUACCAAAAAUGAAUCACCAAAAAUUUUGCACGGAAAAACAAUCACGAAAAAGCCACAAAAAAUUUCCAAUUUAUGAAAUUUUUUGACUUUUUGGGUGAAAGUUGCAAGAUUUUUCAAAAUUCGGGUAGAAGUUGUCACUUUCUACAACUUGCAGGGACCCGUUGCGCCAAAAACAGCCAAAUAUGCGAAAUUCUCCCCCAUUUGAGAAACUGGGUAGAAAAUGUUAAUUCGCAUAAACUGCAGGGACCAAAAAUGAACAUGCUUCAAUUUCUCAGAAAAUUAGUCCUUUUUCAAAUUUGGGUAUGAACUGCCCAACACUCGAAAGUUGCAGGAGCUAAAUUCGAAAAUUGUUCUUUUUCAUUCCAAACGUACGAAACUUUGCGUCCAAACAUACGAAGAGUUUAAAAAAAACUGUCAAACAGUCGAAAUUAUAAGGGUCAUAUUCGAAAAUUUGCUUUUCUUCUUUCCAAUUCAUACGAAAUCAUACAUUUCGUAUGAAACUUACUACCCUUCGAAUCUUAUGCAUCAAUCUGAACACAAUUAACUACCCUUCGUACGAAAUCCUCUCUACCCUUCGUAUGAAAUUUCAUCUUCCCCAAUCAAACGAAACUUUUUCCUUCUCUCUCCCCUUCGUACGAAACUACAUCACCCCUUUCGUAUAAAAUCAUCAACAAUUUUUUUUUCAAUUCACGAACCCAGUAAAGCUUCGUUCUUUGACCAUCGUCUUUGGAACCCAAAUCAAAACUUUUAGUUCCAAAAUCAUCGAACACAAUCCUUCGUUUUCUCACUCAUCGGCUACCCUUCGCUUUUUGCAAUCCAUCCAUAGACCCUAAUAAACCCAUUCUGGUUAAACCAUUCCAUAUACUCAACAUUGAUUCUCAAAUCAUCGAUUUCAAUAGCAUCACAAAAUCAAACCUUCGAUUCUCAAUGCCAAACACUUACAAGGAAACCUUCCCGGUCAAAAACUUCGAAAUCAUAUUCAAUAAUCAUCUAUUACUGACUCAUACUCAACACACAUCCUUCGUUUUUCCCAGUUGAUUUUGACCCUAACAUUAAAAUCGUUUUCGAUUCCACAACUGUCGAUUUCAAGGCCAUCGUCUUUUUCAAGAAAUUCGACCAGUCACUUUGCAUUCUUCGCUUUUUAUUCAACAUCGACAUUAGUUAACAAACAUUCAAAAUCGAAAAUCAAUCCAUCGAUUCUACACACUUUGAUUCGAUCUCCAAAAUCACAAUACCAACAUCGAAUUUCUCACUCUGAAUUUCUAUCGAAAACAAUGUGAUUCAAAUGAACAUAGCCUCAAGUCAAAAGCAGAUUCCGACUCCAAUCAUUCCAACCAAUUGAUCCAAUUUCGUUUCUUUGAUUUUGUUAACCAUUUCUAUUUCCUAAUAACCUCUUGAAUCAAUAACAAUAUUAUCAUAGAAAUCGAAAUAUGAUUUCAAUUUUGACUUUUCCUCGUGUUUGACUUUUUCAGAUGUCGACAAACACCGAAUUUAUCUUCACAAAAACUAUUCUGAUUCCUUCUUUGAAGCAGUAAAUCAAGCAUUCAACUUCUUGAUUUGUUCGUUCAAUAAGCCAAUCGAACAAAUAAGACUUGAACAUCAAUCGAUAUAAUACUAAGUGAAUUAAUCAAUCAGACUUAGGCUCAAGUAUUAUAUUAAUGAACAGUAUUCGAAAACAUUAUGGGCUCAGUGAACAAAUUUCAAGUUUGGGCUUCUAACUUGAAUCGAAUCAACGAAUGGAGAAUUUGAUUGGACUAAAGUUGGAUAAGAUGAACAGUAAAAAAGUGAUUUUGAUUUUGGUAAUUGAUCUUACAAAAAUUAUUGGAUCAACAAUGGGGUUGAAACGAAUUUGAUCCAAUGAGGCAAAUCGAUCAAAAAUUAAAAACGUAAAAUACAAAUCGAAAUCAUGGAUGUUUUGGAAUCCAUUUGAGAAUUUGAGAUACCUUUUUGACGAAUCGAGAUCCGUUUUCAACGAACAAAUCAAAUUUGGAAGAUCUUGGUUCUUUUGUUGGAAUGAGAAAAUCUCCACAUCGAACAUUGUACCACCCACCAUGCGAGAUGUACAACUCGUUCUUCGUGUUCUUCAUCAAACCUAGAACAUCUUCAAAAGAACCACCAACACUUUUGGGUUUUGACUUCAAAUUCAAUGCAACCUUUGGAGAUUGUUGCUUUGGAACCCAAAUUUGCUUCACGGAUUUUGGCUUCACAACAUUUGACGAUUUUUGUGAGUAAACCCGCUUGUUCUUUCGAUUCAUCUUCUUCUUCUUUUUCUUUCUCAUCUUUUUGCAUCUUGAAAACUUGAUUUCAUGAACAAACCCACUUUCAACAACAUGAACAUUUUGAGUUUGAAUCAAAUCUUUUGGAGUUUGAUACUUGUGAUUUUCUUGGAUCACCGGCUUCCGAUAAGGAAUCAUUCCUUCAAACGAAUCACAAGAACACAAAAUAUCAUCGGUUUGAACUCCAAUCGAGCAAAAAACUUUUUCAUCAUGAGAAUCAACUUGAACUCCUUUUUCUUGAACAUCAAGAACAUCACAUUGAACUCCAUUGUCAAGAACUUCAAGUAAUUUAAGAGCACGAAGAUCAUUUGGGUCUUCAAUAAGAGAAACAUAUUUCUUAUUGAACAAAUCUCUUUCUUCUCCUUCCUUUUGAUUUCUACUACGAACUAAUAUGGACAAGGCAAUUUUAUUCAACCAUGCAAUCUUACAAAGUGGUUGAAAUACCAAGCUUCCAUGAUCAUCCUUCAAACCUCCAUAAGAAACCAUAUUACCCCAUGAAAUCAAUUUGCUUAACACCAACCCAUAAAAUUGAUCUUCAUUGACUUUGUAUUUCACAUCUUUAACGAUCACAAUCCAAGAAUCAUAUGGCAAACCCACCAUGAUCACAAAAACUUGAAGAUUUCUAGAGAGAGAAAGUGAUUUUGAAUGGGUUUUCUAGAGAGAGAAAGUAAAAAUCACUUGAAUUCUAGUGAAGAAAAUCGAAUUAUGAAUAGAAUCAAAGAUGAAUUCGAUUUCUAGAAUCCAAAAACUCUCUAAACCACGAAGAUCCAAGAUCAUAAAAUGAAUCACCAAAUCAAGAAAGCCACCAUGGAUCAAUUCUUGAUGAAAUCAAGAACACCCGCUCUGAUACCAAUUGUAGUGACAAAGAGCAUGGUUUGACAUGCGGAAUUAGAGUUUGCACAAUUGAACAUGGUGAUUUGGGUGUUUAAGAGAUAUAUUGAAUGUAUAUGGUGUUACAAAAAGGACAUAGAUCUACAUCUACAUAAUUAACACACACUUACACACUCACUUCUACAUCUCUCAAGCACACCUCUACAAGUGGACAAACCCACCUUAUAUAGAGGUGUUUACAUGUCUCUCUCUCACUCUUACUAACUCAUAGGUCAAAAGGCUAAUGCAACACAUGCAAUUGGGUUUUACAAAAGUCAAACAAUUAUGAAUAACUUUGCACCCCAACAGAUUGGUACUAAAUUUCUUAAUGUCCAUGUGAUUAUCAAAUAGAUGACAAGAGUGUUGAAUACUACGAUGCAACAGGUUAUUUAACUACGAAAUUUGACUCUUGUGAUGCUUUAGUAAAAAGUGUUCCAGAAUUUUAGUAUUCUGAAGGAUAUGAGAUAUUUAUUUGUGGUUCAAGAUAAGACAAAAAUGUUCCUUUGCAAUGUGACGGAGGAGAUUUGUAUUGAGAUAUAUGAAGUAUUUCAAGCAAAUGGGAAAAACUACUGGAUCUCGUUUAAUCAAUUAUCCAAAACACAACACAAGAUAUAAGAUAUCUAUUCGUGGUUCAAGAGACGACAUGAGAUCCUUCAAUAUUUGAGUUUGUGAAAUCAUCAUAAAGACGUAAUAUAUUGGCUGGUGAAAACAACUUAAUCGAUUUAAAUGUAUAUACAUUAGAUACAUUUGAUUUGACCGGUUUUUUUAGCCUGUUAUAUAUAUAUAUANNNNNNNNNNNNNNNNNNNNNNNNNNNNNNNNNNNNNNNNNNNNNNNNNNNNNNNNNNNNNNNNNNNNNNNNNNNNNNNNNNNNNNNNNNNNNNNNNNNNNNNNNNNNNNNNNNNNNNNNNNNNNNNNNNNNNNNNNNNNNNNNNNNNNNNNNNNNNNNNNNNNNNNNNNNNNNNNNNNNNNNGGUUGUUAUUUAUAAUUUGAUCAUUUUUGGUUAAAAAAAUCCUCAUAUAACUAUGUUUUUUACUUUGAACGUUUAUUAUUAAGUGAAAUAUAUAUGGUUAUUUUAAACUUUUUUAAGUUUAUGUGUCACAAAAAAAUCUAGGGUAAAAAGUAGUAUUUUUUAGUGAUAGAAAAUCAAAUUUAAAGUGUGGUAAAAUAGAUAAAAUUGAAAAAUUGAAAUUUUACAAAAAAAAAAAAAAAAGAUUUUAUAUAUGAUAGAAAUAAAUAUAUUUAUUUAGUCAAUGAAGUUUGUCUAUUCAUACAAAAUUAUUGUGGAUGGCAAAAAAAAAAAUUUAUACGAAUCAACUUGCUUAUAAUAAGUAUCCUAGAAAAAUAAUUCUAUGCGUGGUUAUUAAUGUUUACUUGUAUAACAAACAAAAUAAAUUUGAAGUUGACAUUAAAGAAAAGGAUAAAUUAUCAUUGAGAUAAGAUCUACAUCUAGAUUCUAGAGUAAAAAAGUGGACAAACAGACAAAAAGCUGACUUUUCUAUCCUAAAAUGGUUGUUAUGAACUUUUUAGCACAACUAAAAUGUACUAAACGUGAUCUAGUGAGUAGUGACUAGUGGUUCGUUUAUGCGCAUCUUUCUUCCGCGUACUUCACUUAUAAAUUAUCCUCAAAAUAUGUAUUUGCUCACAAUCUUUGAAUGUCAAUGUCAAGUGGUUGCGUGUCAUAAAUCCAGUUUUAGGUUUUCAAGUUUCAACAUAAUAAUAAUAAUAAUAAUAAUAAUAAUAAUAAUAAUAAUAUUCAAACAUACAUCCAUUUAUUCUUCUUUGGCGUCUAACGUGCUAAAAUACAAAUAUUUAGUUAUUUUAAAUAUCAUGAGCAUAAUGACAAUAUUAUUAAAUCAAUGUGAUGGCUUUGUUGGUUAAUCAUAUUUAAUAUAAUAUUAUAAUUUAUGACAAAUCAUUAUAUUUUACAUAUGAUUACUAAAAAAUUUAACAUUUUAAAUCAGAUCAGAGUUAUCUAAUAUUUACAUCUCUUAUUCUUCAAUUUUAAUCACAUAUAGAAUUUCAAAUAAAUUAAUAUUUUGAGCUUGCUACGUAAACAUUAUAUAAAAAUAUAUUAUUUUUUAUUUUAUUUUAUUUUAUUUUAAUUAUUUAUAACAUCUUCCAAGUAUUAAAAAAAAACAUUUAUACAUAAACAAUAUCAAAUUAAAAAGUUAAAAAUUAGAUGGAUCAAAGCUCCAACUAAUAAAUUAGAGCGGAGAUUACAAAAUUAAAAUUCAAAUACUAGAUACAGACUAAUAAAUUAGAGUGGAGUUGCAAAAAACACAGGUAAAGAUUUUUUUUGUUACCGUUAAAAGCUCCAACUAAUGCCAAUCAACCUGAUGAACAGCGAAAACAAUGAAACUUUUUAAACAACCCUGUAUCGACAAUUCCAAAAACCCUAAUCAAAGCAAAGUUAAACAAACAGAAUCAACUAAUUAGAACAGAAACUUACCAAGGGAGAUGCUAGUAGAGGGCGACGGUGGAGGUGGGUAUCGUUGGCAGAAGGACAAAACGGUAGGACGAUGGUGUUAGAGGUGGGUGUCCCAGUAGAAAGAUGCGGUGAAUCAUAUGAAACAAUGAAGAAAUCGCCGUUCUAAUCGACCCUAUUGAACGUUUCUAUGAUGUCGGAACAAUUUCAGCCCUAAUUCGAAGGCUGCAGAUCGAUGGAUGAUGACGGCGCAGAAGGAGAAGGAAGCAAUCGGCAGUGCAAUUGGAUGACGGGCGAUUGGAAGUACCUUCUAGAGACAAAACGAUUAGUCGGUGAAGCGGUAGAAUGUGUAAACAUGAAAAGCUCGAAAUUUAGGCCAGAAGCCGAUGAACAGUAACCGGCUGGAGCCGAUUACCGUACAUAAGCUGUAUUUGGAAUUAAUUAUAGAGAUUUUCUAAUAUGUGCCCUAAGGGCAGAUAUAAGAAAUAUUAAUUAAUGACAAAUAUUACCAUAAUUAAAUGUAAAAUACAUUAAUUAUAAGGAAUAUUACCAUAAUUAUAUGUAAAAUGCAUUAAUAAUUUCCAUAAUAAAUGUAUUUUGAAUUUAGUUAUAGUAAUAUUUUUCAUAAUUAAUACUUCUUAUAUGUGCCUUAGGCACGUAUUAGAAAAUCCCUUAAUUAUAUGAUACAUACGUAUAAAGAUGAAGUAUCUGGUUGUUUACAAUUAUAAUGAUUCCUUCGAGCAAGAAGCAGCAAAAGUAAGUAAAAUGAGUAUACCUAGUUCUGCUAAUAAACAAAAUUAAAAAGAAGAAGAAAGAAAACGGUUUUUUAUUUACUAUAAUAAUGUUAUUUUGAACAUUGCAAACUAAAAAUCGUUGGAAAUUUUAAAAUAACAUGAAAGGAAUCAAGAACAUUAAUUACAAAUGAUGAUUGCUUCACGACAGAAAAGGGGUUCGAAAAUAAUAGAUAAGUGAUACUUUCUUUAGUGUACCGCCAAAUUCCAGCAACUUUAAUUGACCAUCGACAACCCAUCUUUCAAUUUCCUUUCAAAUUGUUUAUGUAGCCACCUUCACAAAUUCCUUUAGAUUUUAGUAAGACUGAUAAAUGAAAGGCACCUAAAUAAUAAUCAAUUUAAUAGUUGGGUCUUGAUAUGUGCUAAGGGCGUUCUGAUUCACCGGCCUCUCUCUCUCUCUCUCUCUCUCUCUCUCCUAUUCCACUGAAAUUGUUUCGGUCGACGACAAAAACCUUCACACCGUUGUCCGACGAUUGUGUUCAAGGGAAAUAUGUUGCUCACACAUCCUUCUGAUUAUCUACUCCUUUUACCUCUAACAUUCCAAAAUUUUCAAUAAAAUUUUCAUUUUAAAAUUAAAAGAAACCAUUAUUUUCAACCUAAACCUUAUUCAAUCAAGUAUCAAUACAAAUAUCCCCAAAAUCAAUAUAUCAUAAAAUCUCCCAAAACAUAUCAUCGAAGGAUGUGUACGAUCAUGCAUUCGUCUUGUUAUGGUCAUCCGAAGUACCUGAAUCAUAAAAUUGAAUCUGUAAGCCAAAGUUUAGUGAGUUCCACCAAAGUACCACAUAUCACAACUAAACAGAUAUACAAAAAUGCAUGUUGGGUCCACAACCUCCCGGUUGGCUUACCCUGGCCCACAAUCUUCCUGUUGGAUUGCCCUACAAAUAACAUAUUGGGUCCACAGCAUCCCGGUUAGAUUAUCCUAGCCCAUAACCUCACGUUUGGAUUUCCCUGGCCUACAACCUCCCGGUAGGAUUGCCCUGGCCCACAACCUCUCGGUUGGAUUGCCCUGGCCCACAACCUCCUAGUUGGAUUGCCACAAGUUUGUUGACUAACCGCACGAAGCAGUACAGUCACAACAGUGACAACUGUCAAUUUUGGUCAAACAAAGUCAACAAAAGUCAACCGAAUCAACUCAACUCGUAUUAGAAUUUUAGGAGAAAUGUGAUAUUCCCUAAUGUUACUAAUGUACUAUUGACAAGUUAUAAUGCAAAGCACCCCUCUUGUUGCCAAUUAUUGAAUAUAAACCCUAAUUAGGGUUAGUAACUUAAAAAUUCGAUAAUUCAAUUAUAUAUUAUUUAGGUAUAAAUAGUAUUCACAACACAAGGUAGUUGAGUUCGUUAACUUUUUGCUACAUGACAAAUUCAUAACAAAUGUUACAUAUACAAAUUUUUGGUGAAAUCGUCACUAAAUGCGACAGAUUAUAUACCCGACUUAAACACUCAAACAUUAACGAAAAGAAUUAGGAAUCAUCCUAACUUUCGUGUAAUGUGUUAUUAUUUUUGAUGAUAAUGAUUUUUAUAGUAAUUUGAAUUUAAAUGAUUCAAAUUAAGUAAAUAUACAUCAUUUUCACCAUAUUUAUGUUUAAAAAUCACUAACUUUUAUAAAAAUUGAUCAUUCUUUUAGAAAAAUAAAAGAAACAUUUUUUGUCUUAUAUGGUGAUGACACCUUUUAUAAUAAAAUAAUAUUUUAAUCAAGAAAGUCAAUNNNNNNNNNNNNNNNNNNNNNNNNNNNNNNNNNNNNNNNNNNNNNNNNNNNNNNNNNNNNNNNUACACUCCAUCUUCUUCAUUUCCUCUCAAGAACAAGCUUUUCCUCUCAAGAUUGACCUCCAUAAGUUGGUUAUUGUAACGCCCGGUUCCCUGGUACACGUUUAAUUAAGUAUUUAUCUAUUUUGAAAGAAGAACUCGAGGAGUUGGUAGCCCUGACUUGUCGAGAAGCAGGCAGUUUGUACGCGGGGGUUUUAGUGAGCUACUCGACGAGUCGUAGCCCUGACUCGAGGAGUAGGACAAGCUGGAUGAAACCCUAAUCUUUAGGGUUUGCACCCUAUUUAAGCAUCAUAUUUGGCCUCCAUUCCAGCCUCCCUCACCUCCGAAGCACUAACUCUGAAACCCUAAUCCUCCAUAAGUGAUCUUGAGCUAUUCUUGCCAUUUUGAGUGUUAUUUUGUGUCUUUUGAAGCUUGUGGAAGAAGCAGAAGAUAGAAGACUCAAGAGGGAAGGAGUAGAUCCAGGAACUACACUCCAUUUGCAACCUUUUCUGGUAAUCAAGUUUUCAACUUGAUCAUUCUUCUCUUAGAUCUAUCUGUUUCCAUCUUAUGAAAGUUUUGGUUCAAAAACCUUGGUCCUUGGAGUUUGGGACGUCCCAAGUGGCUAAUAUCUCAGAUCUAGGCUCUAGGGAGGGUUCCAUGGCAUAAAGGUGCAAACUUUAUGACCAUGGAAGCCUCAUACAAACAUAUGAGCAAGUUUAUGGUCUUUUAGCCCUAAGAGAAUAUGCAUGGAAGGAAAGCUCAGAAUUUUAUGGGUCCAACAGAUGUUAAAACCCUAGAUCUAGGUUUGUAUGAAUGGAUUUGAGACUCUAUGGAAUUUUUGGGGUUUUAUCUAAACCCUUUCAUAAUAGGGCCUGUUUAUAUGAUAUAAUAGUAGCUGAGUGUGGGUCGGGCCCGAAUCUCGUAGCAGUCUAGUGUGGGCGUGGCCCGAUUCUCUUAGUAUUAUCUGAGCAUAGAUAUGUGAUUGUUUGGUAGAUAUACUUGUUGUCUGUGUGAUACUUGUAUGCAUGUUAGUAGCGGAGUGUGGGUGGGCCCCGAAUCUCCUGGCCAAUGGAGUGUGGGCGGGUCCUAAAUCUCCUAGAUAGCAGAGUGUGGUCGGGUAAGUUUUUCCGUACUAAUCUAGUGAUUCUAUACACAUAUAUACUAGUUUUGGUACAAUUACGCACAUUAAUAUGUGUUAAUAUCCAUAGGAUAUUUUGAUAUUCAAGUGUUCUUAGCUUGAAAUCCUUCAUCUUCACCUCUUUAUCCACCAAGAAAGACACUCAUGGUGAGUUCAUACCCUUCAUUUUCGUUUUUAUCAAAGUUUUAGGGGGGAAUACAAGUAAACUUGUAUAAUAAUACAAGUUGUUAUGCAUGCUUUAUCUUCAAGUUAUGUAAAAGUAUUAUUUACAUGAAAUAAGGUUAUUAUCUAGUAUUAUGAGCAUUUGUGUGUGGUAUCUUGCUUAAAAUGUAAAUCUAUGAAAAAUGAGUAUAAACAUGCUAUAUGUGAUGGGUUUUGAGCAUAACAACAUCCUAUGUGAUCAUGCAACCCUGAUUGCUUUGGAUCCAAGUUUGUCUCUAGUUAUACAUGCAAAUAAAAAUUCCAAAGCAAUAACCCUAAUACUAGCAUACAAUUUCCAAAAUCAAUAUGAAACUAGGGUUAGAAUAUUACGUUGCUUGCUAUCUAGUAAUAACACCACGGAUGAUCUUGACUCUUGAAAGCUUAUUGCCCCAAGUGUUGCACCUCUAAUGGAGUCACAAACACCAAAAGCAAAGGAUGAGUGAGAGGGGGGGUAGAAAAUUGGCUAGGGUUUCUCCUUGGGAAGCACUGGCCAAAUUUAGGAGGUCUAGGGGUCUUUAUAUAGUUGUGGCUGCUAGGAUUUUCAGGUGGAAACCCUAAUCCUUGCUUAGGCUCCAAGCAACCCAUGGACAUCCCUUCUCGAAGGCCUUGGACGAUUUCUAUAGGGCCUCCCUAUAGAAAUUCUUCCACCCCAUUCCAAGGGAGUCCAGCAGCCCAGUUUGCAACUAUUAAUGAUUUGCAAAACCAGCCCCCAUACUUUUAACUAGUUGCUUUAAUCCCAAAAUUAAUAUCAAAUUAAUUUCUGGUUAAAUACUAAUUAAAUAAUAUUAUUUCUAAUUAAUAUUUUAUUCUUAUAAUAUAUUAAUAAAUCAUUAAAUAACCUCUCUCUCUCUCCAAAAGUCAUCCUGUCAAGUUGCUAUGGUGAAGGCAACCCAAAAGGACCAUGCUACUAUCAAAUCAAGUACAUAUCAAUUAUAGUUAUGGGCUUAGACACCUAAUCAACCAGUCUCCCACUUGGAUAAGUCUAAUAACUAUAACUGCAUGUAUGACUUUAAAAUCUGAUUAGCAAUUGUAGCUUUCAAAAGCCGUUGUCGAACUCUGACCUAGUCAAUGACGCAUCCUUUAGAUAAGGGAUCAUAUAAUCCUCUGUUCUGCAAGAUAUCGUGUGGAAAAAGACAUGGAACAUAAUCAUUCUCAUUGCCCAACAGAUUGUUUCCCGAUUUCUGAUUUUUAUGACAUAGAACUUUAUUGAACACAUCAAUUUAGUCCUGACUGGGCCCGACACAUAAGUCAACACAAAUUCAUCGAGGGGCCCAAGAUAUCGCUUUUACUCCUUGGGAUAAAAGGAACAGAUAAACUUUGACUUAUAUGCUUGUACAAUUUACUCAUCGAAUCAUACACAACAAUAUGUUUUAUAACAUCAAGUUACUAAUGCGCUUAUGCAUUAUCAAUGUACAACCAACUCGUAAACAACGACUCAUAUAUCUUGGUUUAAAGAUUAUACAAUAUUAUCGUCUCACAAUCACUCGUGAUAAAUUACAUGAAGUGAUUCAAAUGAAGGUGGGUUUAAUCCAAUACUCAAAUCAUAUUUCAAAAGUACUCAUGAACGUUGCAACAAACCUUUGCUAUGUCUAAGCACUUAGACAAUCUACAACCCAAUUCAUGAGAGUCUUCAUUCAUUACAUACUCCCAAACUAUGAUCGACUGUGGAUGUUUUGAACAAUCCAAUUAUUCAGGAAGUAUAACAUGCAAAAGUGAAACACAAAAUAAACAAUUGACAAAAGAUAGUAAACUUUACUCAAAAAUAAAUCUUCCAUUACUUAAUCAUCAAAUGUCAAUUACAUUUAUAUUGUACAAGUUUCUAAUGUAACACUCCAAAUCAGUUAUCACCUUGGAAGCCCUUUAAAAUUUUAAAUGUUGCAUAAUUAGUCCCUUAAGUACAUUGGGUGUACUCAUGGGUACGCUUAGCGUACUUUACUAGAAUGAUCGUGGAGGGACAACACCUACGUUGGGCGUACCAAAAGUACGUUGGGUGUACGUGACGGAUGUCCAAACCCUAAUUUACGGACUUGAGACCUAUAUAAGCAUCCUUAUCUCAUUUGAGCCUCACCCUAAUUAGCCUCUUUCACCUUCAAACGUCUCUAAAAACUGUAAUACCAUUAAAGAGUGUGAUUUGAGCUUAAGUAGUGCAUUUGUGGCCAUUUUAGUGUCCAUUCAAGAAGAAGACGUUGUCAAGCAAGCUUAGAGUGGCAUUAGGCUUCAAGAAUAUGUAUCUAGUUCACCUUGAGGAGCUUCUGGAGGUAUAGAGCUUUGAUCUUGCCUUCUUACUUUUAGAUCUAGUUAGGUUUUUCUUUAUGGUCCCUUUUGUUGGUUUUGGACCUUCUCUUGAGAGUUGAGCAACUCCAUAGGUUGAAAUGGUUAGAUCUAAGCCUUGUGAGCAUGUUAGAUGCAUAAAGGUGCUAGCUUGGGGAGUAUCUAGACUCCAUGCAAGAGUUUGGAGCCUUAUAUGAAGUCCUAAUGUGAAGAAUGAAGUUUUUAAGUCCCAUAUAACAUGCAAGGGAAUAAAGUUGCCAACUUUAUGCCCUAGGACAUCUUAAUGAGCUCAGAUCUGGUUUUGGAUGUUAAAACAUCAAGUAUUAAGCACUUAGUGGAAGGAAGUGCUUAAUCUGUUAGUACGAUGGGCCUAAGUUAGCGUAUACCACGCGUGCUACUCAAGGACUCAAUACGCUGCGCGUACCAGUGUGGUACGUCGGUCGUACGCAUAGCAGUUGGAAUUGGAUUUGUUUUGGGCCUCAAUUCAUCAUUGGGCAUGGUCAUGUUUUGGGGUUAGUGGGCCAAUUUAUCUGUUUUGGUCCAUGGAUGUUAUGAUUGGGCUUUAUUGGGCCAUGAGACCCAUUAAUGAUUUUGGAUAUGGACUUUGGGCCCAUUAACUAAGGAAGACCUUUUGGGCCAUUGUGAAAGGACUUGGAGUUUGGGGUUUUCAAUUGGAUUGUGUUUAGCCCUAACCUUGGGUAAUGUUAUCAUUGUUUAGCAAAGGCGGUUAUGAACUGUUAGGAGAGAAACUCUCAGAUUUAGCCGACAGAGGUGAGUCUUCUCACCAUACCAAUGGGUCUAAGGCACCAAGGCCGGCCCAUUUUAUGUUAUGUGGUACACUAGCUAUUGUAGAGAUAUGUGGUAAGAUAGUUAGCUUUAUUCUAAGUGGUAUGCUAGUGAUUAUAUGAUAUUUUCAUGGAAGACCCCAGGAGGAGCCCGUGGCAAUUGUAUAUAAGACCAUGUGGGGGAGCUCAUGGCAUUCCUAGGUAAAGACCAUGUGGGGGAGCCCAUGGCAUGAUGGUAUAAGACCCUGGGGGAGCCCACAACAUCCUUAUAUGUUUAUGUAUGUGUUAUGUAGUAUGAUAGCUACUUCUAUGAUAUAUGAUAUGCUAGUUGAUUAUGUAUGUUAUUACAUGGAAGACCCCGGGGUGAGCCCGUCGUAGUUGGAUAUAAGACCAUGUGGGGGAUCCCAUGUCAUUCCUAGGUAAAGACUAUGGGGGGGAGCCCAUGGCAUGAUAGGUAUAAGACCUUGGGGGAGCCCACGACAUCCUUAUAUGUUAGUAUGCAUGGCUUAUGUGGUAUAUGUAGCCUUUAUAGCUAAUAUGAUAUUUGUUAUGUAGAUUGUAUGUGGUGUAUGCUCUGGGGGACUCACUAAGCAUUAGCUUAUAAUUUGUGGAUUUGUUUUAGGUACAUCGGAGCCCAAUGGCAAGGGCAAGGCUUGAUGGCGCGACGUGCACUCUCUCACGUGUUUUUACGAAACACUUUGAUGUUUUGAAAUAGAAGUUUUAAUUGACUUGAGUUUUGAAAACAAUUAUAUUUGGAUUUCGUGGCUUAUGGAGAUGUGUUUGGUUAAUCAAAAAUGAAAAUUUUCUUUUGAAAAUUUGGGUCGUUACAAGUUGGUAUCAGAGCCUUGGUUUGUGAGAUUCGGGCACACUCUCGGGUGUGUCAGGACUCAAAGUAAGGAAAUGGGAAAAACUGUUUUCAAAAAUAAAAUAAAAAGCUUUUAAAGAAAGGAAAAGAUGAGAGUGCAAUGCGUGUGAUCAACCGAGCCAAGUAAGUAGUUCCCUAAUGUGUUAGCCAUGUUAUACUGAUUUUUGAGCUUUGAUGAUCGUAUGGAACUUGCUAUGUGUAUGCUUUUUAAAUUUUAUAUGGUUAGGAGCUUAUAGCCUUAGAAUGACUGAUUUGGCCUUAUUUCUUGUUCCUUGUCUGGUUGUAGUCCUAGGGUAGAAUCUUUUAUUUUGAAAGUCUAUUUGAUCCUUUUCUGUGUAUAAUUUGCAUGCAUAAAGGCAACCGGAUAUAAUUGGUAUGGGUAUAGAAAAUCUUAGGACAACCUAGUAUUUGAGAUAUGUAGUAGUUUGUGGGAUGUGAUUUAUUUUGGGACAAAGUGAAGUUAUCAGGUAGAGCAUUGGAAAAGGUACAGGUAGGUAUGGAAGGUAGUAUUGGGCCUGUACUACUGAAAGCACAUGGCCUAUACCCGAACCAAUGUUAAAUUUGACAACUCCAAGGAGGACCGAUGUGGGAAGAUCCUCUAUAUGGAUAUCCUAAUCAUUAUGAUUUAUGACAUUUCAAUUCAGCAUGGUGGUGACACAAUUUGGAGCAAGAGGAUCAGGACUGGGAUCUGGAUCCGGGGCUGGAUCAGGCGACACUACCGAGGUCAUCGACGAGAGGCUGCGUGAGCUUAUUGUAGUCGAGGUUAGGAGGGGCAUCCUUUACGCUACCCCAGUUAUCUUUGGGACAGUCAAGGAAGGUAUGAUGGAUAUUAUGGAGGAGUCAGAGCCGAGAUUGUUAUGGGCCAGGUUGGGGCUCGAACUCCCUCAUUCCGGGAGUUCAAGGCGUGCGGAGCGCCAUACUUUUUUGGGGUCAGGGACCCCAUUGUUAGUCGACGAAUGGGUGGCGGAUAUCGAGAAGGCCUAAUGCACGAGUUCUUGCCCGGAUGCGGCAAAGGUGGUUUUUGAUUCUUGUAUGCUGAGAGACAGAGCCUGAGAUUGGUGGGGUGAGGUUACUAGCCGGGUGGGAGCAGCCGUGUGGCUGAGAUGACAUGGGCCAAGUUUGUUUGGAAAUUUGACUUGGAGUUUGCACCAGCCAUUAAGGUGUAGAGGAUGGUGAGAGAGUUCCAGAAACUCCAGCAGACCACCGAGACUGUGGCAGAGAUCACCGCCAAGUUUCGGGAGCGAGCAUUGUUGAUCCCACAAUAUGCUACCGAUGAGGACAUGCGGAGGACGAGAUAUCAUUCCAUGCUAAGGGAUGAUAUCCGGGAGUUUGUGAGCUUUACAGGGUGCAAAACCCUGAAUGAGAUAGUGGAGAAGGCCCGUGAACGGGAGAUGGAGUUGGACUUCCGCACCAAGUGGAAGCCGGAGCAGGCACAUGCAGCGGUGGGUUAGGCUAAGAAGCCUAAGACCUCAGACACUCCCAGCAGGGGCCAGCAGGGUCGGGGCCGGUGUGCCAGGUGUGGUAAAUCACACAGUGGGGCUUGUCGGACAACAGGCUCUUGAUGUUACUCUUGUGGCCAGCAGGGUCGUCUGAGCAGGGAUUGCCCCAAGAAGGGCUCGAUAUAUUUCCACUGCAACUAAACUGGCCAUAAAAAGGCCGACUGUCCGAGGUUGCAGGGAGGGGGAGGAGCAAUGGCGGCUCCUGCAUCCGCCAUGAUGAGGAUUACUGAUGGCAGCCCUGCUAAGGCGGAUGCUCUAGCGGUGAAGACCCGUGCAUUUCAGUUGACUACCGAGGAGGCUCGGGCAACGCCUGACGUUGUGGUUGGUACAUGUGUAUUCUACUAUGCUCUAUGUUUAUUUGUAGUGCUUAUGUAUACAUUGUAAUUGUAUUGGGACCUUUUUGGUCAAUGGUAUGUCGGCGCAUGUUUUGUGUGGUUUGGGUGCUACUCGAUCGUUUGUGUCUCUUGCGCUCAGCAAGAAGUUCUGGGACGCACCGGGAACUUUGGAUUCCCCGAUCGAGGUAGAGAUUGCAGAUGACCGCAUUGUGAGUGUUGCAAGGGUGUAUCGGGAGUGUGUCCUAAAUGUGAUUGGUGAGAGGUUUCGCGUUGAUCUAGUCUUAAUACCGUUGUGAGGGUUGAAGGUGAUUGUCGGGAAGAUUAGUUGGGGGCCAAUGGGGCCGUGAUUGAUUGCGAGUGCCAGUUGGUGAGGGUUUGAUCCCCAAGUGGGGGAGAAAUAAUUAUACAUGGUGAGAGGGCCUCGCAAGGGCCAACUCUCUGUUCGGCUGCGAGGGCUAGGAGAUUUCUGCAGCAGGGAUGUACGGGAUUUCUGGUUUAUAUCUCAGAUACGAGGGUUGAGGCCACGACGGAUGUGGGCAGUGUGCCGGUUGCACAGGAAUUUUGGGAUGUAUUUCUUGAAGAGUUAUUAGGAGUGCCUCCAGAGAGGCAGAUGGAGUUUCGCAUUGAUUUGGUGUCGGGUUCCGCUCUGAUAGCGAAGGCACCAUACCGGUUGGCACCGCCUGAGAUACUGGAGUUAUCUACGCAGCUUCAGGAGCUGGAAGACUGAGGGUUCAUCCAUCCAAUCAGUUCCCCGUGGGGUGUACCGAUCCUAUUCGUGAAAAAAGGAUGUAUCACAAAGGAUGUGCAUUGAUUACCAAGAGCUGAACAAACUAACGGUGAAGAACCAUUAUCGGUUGUCGAGGAUCGAUGAUUUGUUCGAUCAGCUGCAGGGUGCGUCUUGGUUUUCCAAGAUUGAUCUUCGGUCGGGGUACCAUCAUAUGAGGAUUAGGGAUAAGGAUAUAUUGAAGACAUAUUUCAGGACUCGGUAUGGGCAUUACGAGUUUGUGGUGAUGUCGUUUGGGCUCACCAAUGCCCCAGCAGCGUUCAUGGAUAUCAUCAACAUGGUAUGUAGAUCGAUGCUGGAUCGGUCGGUGAUCAUUUUUAUUGAUGAUAUAUUGGUCUAUUCUAAGACCAGGGAGCAGCAUUAGCAGCAUCUGAAAGAGGUAUUGGAGACCAUGAGGGCGGAGAGGCUGCAUGGCAAGUUCUCCAAGUGUUAUUUUUGUCUACGAGAGGUACAAUUUUUGUGGCACAUCAUCAACCAGGAGGGCAUUUUGGUUGAUCCAGCCAAGGUUAAGGCAGUGAUGCAGUGGGAAAUACCGAAGAAUAUGUCUUAGAUCUGUAGGUUCUUGGGUUUAGUGGGCUAUUAUCGGAGAUUUAUCCAGGAUUUCUCCAAGAUUGAUGUGCCAUUGACCCGCUUGACCAAGAAGAAUGUGAAAUUUCGGUGGGGCACAGAUCAACAGUUGUCUUUUGAGACCCUGAGACAGAGGUUAUGCGUGGCUCCGAUCCUAGUACUGCCUGAGGGGUUAAACGAUUUGGUGGUGUACUGUUACACAUCGAUUUCAGGGUUAGGCGCGGUACUGAUGCAGAGGGCGCACGUGAUAGGUUACACCUCGACUUAGUUGAAGCCUCAUGAGGCGAAUAACCCCACUCACAACUUGGAAUUGGGGGCAGUGGUGUUCACCCUCAAGAUAUAGAAGAACUACUUGUAUAGAGUAUGGUGCACUAUCUAUACUGAUCACAAGAGUUUGAAGUAUUUGAUGGAUCAACAAAACCUCAACAUGCGACAGAGGACGUGGUUGUACGUGCUGAAGGAUUAUGAUUGUGAGAUCCAAUACCAUCCAGGGAAGGCCAAUGUAGUGGCUGAUGCUUUGAGCCUCAAGACGGCAGGGUCCCUGAUUGGUAACAUUUGUAUGAGGAGGUCGGUGAUCUCUCUAUUGCUGGAUAUGAUCAAGGAGGCCCAGGUCGAGGGAGUGAAGAAAGUGAAUUGGAAGAUUGAGAGGAUUUGGGGAUAGUAUCCUUUGUUUGUUAAGGAUAGUCGUGGCCUUUUGACACCGUAUGGCUGGGUGUGGGUACCGGUGACUGGAGGAGUGAGAUAGAGGAUAUUAAAGGAGGCACACAAGUCCAAGUUCUCUAUACAUCCAGGGGCUACGAAAAUGCAUAGAGACUUGAGACUGAGUUAUUGGUGGCCUUGCAUGAAGCGGGAGAUCGCCUGGUUUGUGGAGCGGUGCUUGACCUGCAUGAAGAUCAAAGCUGAGCAUCAGUGACCUUAUGGAAAGGUUUAGUCGCUACCCACUCCCAUGUGGAAAUGGGAAGAGAUCACUAUGGAAUUCAUCACGAAAUUACCGAGGACGGCAAGGGGUAUGGACGCCAUAUGGGUGAUCGUGGACAGAUUGACGAAGAAUGCCAACUUCAUUUCGAUUUCUGAGAGUAUAUCCACUGAGAGGUUGGCGGAUUUUAUGUACGGGAGGUGGUGGCGAGGCACGGGGUGCCCGUGUCGGUUGUCUUUGACAGGGAUGUUUUGUUUACAUCUAGGUUCUGGAAGAAGUUCCAUGAGGAACUCGACACCCAACUGCAUUUUAGUACGGCGUACCACCCCCAGACAGACGGUGAAAGUGAGAGGACGAUCCAGACACUUGAGGAUAUGUUGCGAGCAUGUGUGUUGGAUUUUGGAGGGAGUUGUGAUACGUACCUCCCAUUUGGUAGAGUUUUCAUACAAUAACAGUUAUCAUGCCAGUAUCGACCGAGCUCCAUUUACGAUGUUAAAUGGUCGGAGGUGCAGGACCCCGGUUUGUUAGGACGAGGUUAGACACCGGGUCAUGGGGAGCACUGAGGUAGUGCUCAAGACUACCGGGAUGAUUCAGCAUGUGCGCGACUGGCUGCGGGUCGCGUAAAGCCUCCAGAAAAGUUAUGCUGACCGACAGCGAUUGGAUCUUGAGUUCCAGGUGGGGGACUUUGUGUUACUGAAAGUGUCGCCCUGGAAAGGGGUUAUCAGGUUUCAAAAGAGGGGCAAACUAGGAUCUCGAUAUAUAGGCCCGUUCAGUUUAUGGCCCGGGUGGGCAAGGUGGCAUAUUGCUUGGAAUUACCGAAUGAGUUUAGCCAGAUUCACAACACCUUCCAUGUGUCGUAGAUUCGUAAGUGUGUCACUGACGAGUCCGCAGUCGUAUCUCUGGACGACAUUCAUGUAGAUGAGAGCCUAAACUACAUUGAGAGGCGUGUUACGAUUUUGGAUAGGAAGACCAAGGGUCUUCGAAACAAGGAAGUGAAACAUGUAAAGUUGCAAUGGAAGCACCGAAGGGGCUCGGAAUGGACAUCCGAGCCGGAGGAGGAGAUCUGGGAGCAUUACCCCGAUCUAUUCACAUCUACGGACUUUGAGGACAAAGUUUAGUUCAAGUGGGGGAGAGCUGUAACACUCCAAAUCAGUUAUCAUCUUGGAAGCCCUUGAAAAUUGUAAAUGUUGCAUAAUCAGUCCCUUAAGUACACUGGGCGUACUCAUGGGUACGCUUAACGACUUUGCAAGAAUGAUCGCAGAGGGACAACACGUACGCUGGGCGUACGUUACAAUUGUCCAAACCCUAAUUUCUAGACAUAAGACCUAUAUAAUCAUCCUUAUCUCCUUUGAGGCUCACCUUAAUUAGCCUCUUUCACAUUUAAACGUCUCUAAAAAUCCUAAUAGCAUUAGAGAGUGUUCUUUGAGCUUAAGGAGUGCAUUUGUGGCCAUUUUAGUGUCCAUUCACGAAGAAGAAGUUGUCAAGCAAUCUCUGGAGUGGCAUUGGGCUUCAAAAAUCUGUAUCUAGUUCACCUUGAUGAGCUUUUGGAGGUAUAAAGCUUUGAUCUUGCUUUCUUAUUCUUUAGAUCCAGUUAGGGUUUUCUUUAUGGUCCCUUUUGUUGCUUAUGGACAUUCUCCUAAGAGUUUAGCAACUCCAGAGGUUGAAAUGGUAAAACCUGAGCCUUGCGAUCAUGCUAGAUGCAUAAAUGUGCUAGCUUCGGGAGUAUCUAGACUCCAUGCAAGAGUUUGGGGCCUUAUAUGAAAUCCUAAUGUGAAGAAUGAUGUUUUUAAGUCCUAUAGAGCUUGCAAGGGCAUAAAGUUGCCAACUUUAUGCCCUAGGACGUCUUAAUGAGCUCAUAUCUGGUUUUGGAUAUUAGAACAUCGAGUAUUAAGCACUUAAUGGAAGGAAGUGCUUAAUCUAUUUGUACAUUGGGCAUAAGUUAGUGUACGACGCACGUACUGCUCAAGGACGUAGUAUGCUGCGCGUAUCAGUGUGGUACGCCAAGCGUACGCACAACAGUUAGACUUGGAUUUUUUUGGCCUUUGAGCUUCUGGGCCUCAAUUAGUCAUUGGGCCUAGUCAUGUUUUGGGGUUAGUGGGCCAGUUUAUCUGUGUUAGGCCAUGGAUGUUAUGAUUGGGCUUUAUUGGGCUAUAAGGUCCAUUAAUGAUUUUGGGUAUGGGCUUUGUGCCCAUUAACUAAGGAAGACCUUUGGGCCAUUGUGAAAGGACUUGGAGUAUGGGUUUUUUAGUUGGAUUGUGUUUAGCCCUAACCUUGGGUAAUGUUAUCAUUGUUCAGCACAGGAGGUUACGGACUGUUAGGAGAGCAGCUGUAAUAUCCGGAUUUCUAGUUAUGGUCAUUUGAUUAUUGAUUUUGAGAUAUGAGGAGUGACUCAAUGAGUUGAUGCCCUAACUCGUCGAGUAGGAUCGCAACUGAUGACUCGAAUUAAUGAGAGGACUUGACGAGUCGAUGAGUGGACUCGACUAGUCCGUGCUAUUGGCAGAAACCCUAAAUCCUUGGGCAUGUGCCAAAUUUAAGGGUCCUUAUGGCCUUCAUUUGCGACCACCCUUCCAGAGGAAAAAACCCUAGCAAACUUGAGCAUGUGAAGUGAGUGAGAGAGCCAUCUUGAUCUAUUUGUUGCUAGUGAAUGCUACAGCUACACCCGUAGACUUACAACACUCUGACACUAUCUCAUUCGUUGAUUACUAAUCCGAACACAUCCGACGUCGAGCAUACAUGCGAUCUAACAUCCAAAAUUGAACCCAUGUCCUGAUUGGAAUCCCCAAACUGAUUCCCUAAGGCUUGCUAGCAACAUUCCGAGAAUGCGAUCUCAUGAUUGGCAAGUUUUUCUGCACUUCCAUCUCACACUAUCCUCAAAUCAUACAACCGCUUGGGCUUUCUUCCUUCCUGAACAGGAUGUGAAACUUAUCCCAGUUUCAAAACUGAUUUUGCUUUUGAAUCCUAAAUCGAUUCUCCCCCACUUUGCUUCAACUAACGUCUUUCGAAACACAAUACUGGAAGGAUUCUCAAUCCUUCUUACCAUUCUAUGCCCAAUCUACUGGAAACCACGUUUACCAUUGCUAGUGUUUCAAUACUAGUCAGUCCAAAAGGUCACACCACCUCUAAGAACCCGAAUAAAUCUCUGGUAAUAACCCGCUAGACCCAAGAAGCUCUGAAUCUCAAUUGGAGACCUCGGAAUCUCCCACUGCAUCAGGACCUCUAUCUUUGCCGGCUCGACUAGAAUAUCCUUCUGAUUGAAAAGGUGCCCAAGAAAUUGCACCCCGCGCAACCAAAACUCACAAUUGAAGAACCUUGCGAAAAUUAUCUCCCUCCUCAAAGUCUCCAACACCUCCCUCAGGUGCUUCUUGUGCUGCUCCUAAGUCUUGGAAUAAACCAAGAUGACGUUGUACUUUCCCAAUCCUGUAAUUUGGGGAAUACUCUAUCACUAUUCGCUAAUGCUUCUCGGCAUGCAAUUGGCAUAUGACAUCUCUUGAAAAUAUAUUUCAAACACGGAUAGAGGAUAACCCAGAGUCACACUUACUCAAACCCCUGGAACGAAAGACUCUAUCGUAUAGUUUCCCGCAUGAGCUAUACUGAAUCUAACCCUGCUGGAUCCUCAGAAGCUGAUCUAAAAUCUGCGGUCUCCUCCCGAGACCCCUCACUAUAAGCAACUGAUCUGGUUUCCCCUUCCCAACGUGCUCCAAGUCAAUAUCUCGUCCUCGAGCUCUAAAAGUCUUAUCAUUCAGGGUCUCACACCCCGAGAUACUCACGAUCUCCCUGCUAUCAUUCUGCAGUAUGCCCUGAUACUUUAUCUUCUUCCAUUCCUCAUCUGCUGCAUACUGCGGUACCAACUAAGCUCUCUCCCGAGACUUGGCAGUGGUCUCUGCCACAAUAUCAGUAGUCUGGCGGAGAUCUAACAACUCUUGCACCAACUGCUGCGCCCCAAUCUCUUGGGAACACUUUGCCCAGAGUCUGGUCUAAGAGUCAUCCCAUGACAUAACAUUAACCGCAUCAUCACUCAACCUUCUACCAACCUCUUUCUAUCGAUCUCGUGCUCUGUCCCUCAGGAGACAGGAAAUAAGUCGGAUCUUGUCUCCUUUCGUCUGGUACGAAAAGUGUUGGCGACAUCUUCCAACCAUCUGCUGCUAACAAUGGGGUCCCUAACCCACAUGACAAUCUGAAGCUUCGCAAACUCUGAAUUCCUAAAACAUCAACGUACGGGUCCCUAUCAUGCAUGCUAUCUCAGUGCAGAAUGCACCCGACCUCUCAUAAAAAAUCUCUUUAAUGCACUCCUUGAUCACACUGAGGAUCACAGGAGUCAUGUCAAUGAUACCGCACGUAAUCUCAGAUGGAAUGAACUUCCUCAUCUGAUCAUCAACCUGCCUGGUUCUAGAGUCCGAGCAUGAUCCCUAAUCGUCACCAGAACUACAAUCUGGUCUACCACGUAGCGUCACUAUACUCGAUAAUAUACCAUCACUAACAUCACAAUACUCAUCAAAACUCGAUGGAUCUUCAUACACUACGUUCCAUGGUCUUAUCUCAGACUUCCUACUGGAAGGAAAUUCACCUCACACUACUGAAGUCCCAUAGACAUAACCCCACAUUGCUGAAGUCCUGCAGACUCAACCCCAGCUGUUGGAUGAUAGAUUCCCGAACUGUCAACACCAAAAUAACACCCAAUUAAUAAUUAGGUUCCACUACAUAACUAUAAAUACAUACUUUGGAUAAUUACUACAUUACCCCAAGCUUGGCUUACCCAAGCCCAAGGCCCAAUCAAUAGGCCCAAAAUCAACUAGGGAUCAAAGCCCAACAUAUGGCCCAAUUUUCCAAAUUGGGCCCAAACCUCUACAUGGGCUUCCCUUAAGGCCCAAUUGUCCAAUCCAUUCCAUAAUGUCCCAUUCUAAUGGCCCAAUAUAAUACAACCCUCUAGGCCCAAACUAUGGCCCAAUUUUCCAAAUUGGGCCCAAUCCUUCAUAUGGGCCUUACCCUAGGCCCAACUAAUUACUCUAGUCCAUUUGAUUAUUCUUGGAUGGCCCAUUGAUAAACCAAUUACCAAAACCCAAUCGAAAGGCCCAACUCAAGGCCCAAGUGAAACUAGGGUUUCACAUAAAAUGGCGAUUAGGGUUAAGUUUCAUACUUAACCGAUUAAGGGCUUAACUCACUAAGGACUUAAUCCAUUAACUCCAUUAUUGCUUAGAUUAAAUUCUGCCGAUGAUUAUUAUUUAAUAUUUCACUUAUUAAAUAAUUCUCGUGUGUGUCUUGAUAAAUUCUCAAAUAUUAGGAUUUUCUCAAUUAGCCCAUUAAGGACUUGAUCCAUUAAUUCCUUUACUCUACUAGAUAAAUGGCAUGGAAUAAUUUGGGCUUAAUUCACAAUCCAAUCCCAAUGGCUCACAAGUGGGCCCAAUAAGUUUAAGGCCCAAUACUCAUAUUUAGGAUUUUUCACCCAAACAUGGCCCAAUAGGCCCAAAACCAAUCUCUAAGCUCAUUAGGGUUUGCUAGCGGGGCACCACCCACUACCACCUCGGGUAGUGGUGGUCGAUGGCGGCUCACGGUGGCGGCCACCACCUUACAGUGGUGGUUAUUACCACCUUACGGUGGUGGUUAUUAAUUAUCCUUUUCAUUACUCAAUGCUAAUUACAUAUACAAUGCUCAAAACCAAAAAAAGACACACACACUAACUAACAUAAUACACACACAGCCACCCUAGUGGCGGCCGGCGGUGGCUUGUGGUGGCGAUGACUUUUUCCAGCCAAAUAAACACACACAACACCUAUACACGUUUCUCAUUUGCACUAUGGACCCAACCACCGACCUGGUGGCUCACGGUGGUCCCGCAACAGCAGCAACACAUCGUCCAUCAGCAACAACAGUGGCAUGGAGGUGACCAUGGCUUUUGACAAUUACCUAUGUCUUUCAUGACUCCUCACAUGCAAAUGACCACGCUAUCAAGUCUUUACUCUGAAAACGAACCCAAACCCACCGGAGAAGAUAGAGGUAUGCCGGCCCCGACAUCAGCCUCGUCUCCAGAAAUCGCUGGCAGCAAACAACAGCAAUGGACUCUGGCGUCUCCGAAAGUCAGUGUCGUGAUAACGACGUUCACCUGACACAACAGUAGCGACCACAGCCUUGGUGAUUCACACGGCGGCGAACGACUCACACGAUGACGAUGCAGUGGCUCUUCCCGGUCUUCGGUGAAACUAUCGAUGACUCACGUCGUUGCCGGCAGUGAGUCUUGAUGGUGGCGGUUCCAUGGCAUGGUGGUGGGCGGCGACCUCAAUGAUCGGAGAUGUGAGAGUAAGAGGGGUGGCGGCUUCAUCAUUUAGGGUUAGGUUUCGCAUGGGUGGAGUAGGGUGACAGGUUUAAUACCCGAUUACAUAACUUUGUGAUCUAUAAACAUCUUUGGUCCCUCUAAUCCGAUUUCUUUUCAGUCUUGCUCCUUUAUUUACACUUUAGACCCCAACUCCUAAAUUCUUUUCAAUAUAACCCCAAAAUUUACUAAAAAGCCCCUCCUCCAUAAUUUAUUCUCAAUUUGAAUCCAACACUUACACUUUUAGUCCAUGACUCCAUAAAAUCUUUUCAAUUUAAAUCCAUUAAUUACCAAACGUACCCUUGCUUCUAAAAUUCUUCUCAAAACAACUUUGUAACUUACUAAACAACCCUCCACUAUUAGAAUUCUUCACAAAUUUAUCCGAUAAUUAUAUUUAUUAAUUUAUUUAAAUAAACGGGGCGUUACAUAUAUACAAGAAACUGAGUGGGUCAGGCUUGGGAGCCUGGUGAGCACAUAGGGUUUUCAACUCACAAUAAUUAAGUUUACUAAUUUCAUCAAAUCAUUCAACCUGAGUACCCAUUCCCGUUAUCCUCACCGUACCUCCCUAAAACAUCUAUUAUACGGGACCUAGCCUAAGGAUUUUCAUCGAGGUGACAAUACUACUUAGGGGAUUCCUCAAGACUACAUGUCAAAUAAGGCAACCAUGAGGGGGAUGGAGUACAUCUGUUUAACACAUAGUUCAAAUAAACACCUACAUGUUGCGUGCCUGGAAGCGUUCCACUAGACUGUCUAGAAUAGUCUGUGGGUGUCAUCUAUACUCCGCUAGAUGACUGGAUCAUCAUAAACAUCGAGGUCUCUCGUCAUUUUAUCACACAUCAACUAUUUCAUCUACCCAUGUUCUACCCAACAUUUUCGUAUUUAUAAAAUACAUAUACAGUUUAAAUCAUUUUAAACAUGUAUAAAUCGUUUAUCCAUCAUAAAUAUCAAGAACACAUAUAAUAUGCAUACAUAGCAUGUAAUUUAUAUUAAAUACUUCAUAUCUAUGUGUAAGAUGAAAGUAACUAUGCACCCACUUGUUAAAGUGGAGAGUCCAACUUUGACAGCACUUCGUUUCUUAAUAAUAUAAUUUCCUUCGACGAAACCUAGUAUUAUUACCACUAGAUUUUAAUCUAAUAUUUAUCGUGACUAUUUACGAGCGAUAUUGUUUUAUAAGUGUUAAACAAUACUUUUCAACCACUAUGGGCCAGACAUGAAACACCGGAGGGCGGGACCAUUUUGGCAUUAUAGCACUUCUGAAAUCCAACAACCCUAUGCGGCCCUUCAAACCAGAUUCCCCGUACCGGUAGUAGUUAAAAGAUAUUAUAAUAACACUUUAUNAUAUAUAUAUAUAUAUAUAUAUAUAUAUAUUGUUUAUAAGUUCAUAAUAACGAUAAUAAAUUUAAAAAUAAGCUAUACUUAAAGUAGGGUAAGCAUAACUCACUUACCGGGAUGUUUGGCUAGAAAACAAGCUCUGCGGGGGCAGAACUUCCGAGCCGAAAAGCACUUUUUCUCGGAGCCUUCUGGCGCUCCUCUAGCACUUAAAAGUUACUAUAGGUUAGGGUAGGUUUAGAGAGAGGUUAGAGAGAGAGAGAGAAGGGUGAUGGUGUGAAGAAUGAAGCAACCCUCACACCCUUUAUAUAGGGGUCUGGUCUUAGGUUAUGCAGGGCGUACCUUGGAUGUACACUGCACAUAUGAGAUUACGCUGCACAUAUGAAGGGGGCGUGUUUCAACCUUCGGAUGGGGCGACAUGAUUGAUCCAGAACCUAGUAUGCGAGAAUGCAGGGCGUAGGGCUUCUCUGUGCAGGGCGUUCAUGUGUAAUCUCGCAUCAGCCGUUCCGACUUCUAAAUUCCGUAACUUUCGCAUACGAACUAUGUUUUCGAUGUUCUUUAUAUCUAUGCAUAGGUGGAGACAUACUCUACCAUUUUUAUUUAGACCAUGUUGGUUAAUUUUGACUUUAUUUUUAAAGUUAUAUUUUAACAGGUCUGGACAGAUAAAGUCCGCUAAAAAUUCAUAACUUUGUCACCCGACAUCCGUUUUUGUCUGUCUUUUUAGCGUUGAGCUCUCAUUAACGAGAUCUUCGAUUCUCAUUUAGGUUGUGUCGGCUAAAAUUCGGUCAAUCUAAUAUUCGAAUUUCGGGCUACAUACUGCUAUGCGAAAUCAUAGACAUCAUAACUUUCUCAUACGAAGUCAGAUUUAGACGUUCUUUUUAUGAAUGCUCUCGGUUAAACGUAUACUAUGGAAUUCGCUUAGAACGCUAAGGAUAAAAAGUAAUUUAUCGUAAACUCACUUUUCACGUCACACCAUGUCGAGCCGGUUUUUUCGCGAAACUUCGACAUGUUAUAAAUUCUUCUUUAUAACUUGGAUUUUGGUGUUCUUUAUAUCUACGGAAUCCUUGUCACAACCACUACGAUUUUCUUCAUAGAUAUUAGGUUUAUCUAUUAUUUUAUUUUUGAUGCUUAUUUUCAUUCUUAAUUUAUUAUAUCUUAUAAAUAAGUAUAAUGCACAUAAAAUCACAUAAUUCACAUAAUAUUCAAGUAAUCCCUCUUUAUUACUUGAAAAUAGGUUACAAUUGUUGACCCUAACUAUUACAUCAUUACACUAAUGCUUAGCCUAGAGACACGAACGUUACAACAGAUCACGUUCAUGUAGAUACCAUUGAACUACAAUGAGGCUUUGUUGGCGGUCCUCCAUAUCGAGUAAAGUUGAUCACAAUUGCGGUACUGCUUUUUCAUUCGAUGACAAAGACUAUCCAAACUCUAUCUUUAACUGUUGUCGAAUCUUGGUUAUCGCCUGUCACCGGAUCCGUCGACACAUAUAGUCAUGUUUGCGCUAGUGCCCUCUCUUCAUCAUCCAUCCACCCUUUGCAUGGAGCCUUCAUUUUUCCUUCAUGUUUUCAUGUUAGUUCGACUUCGGGUGCAUGAAAUGUCUCUUGAACAGGAUCUUCAACAGGUCCUUCAUCGGAAGAAUCGGUUGAGUCAUCGAAUAGGCGGCGUUGUUGGCAUUGAAAAUUACUUUGGCGUUGUGGUUGUGAAAAGGAUUGGUUUUGAUAAAUUUGCAUGGGUUGAGAGGAGUACGGAUUGAAUGGAAACAUUUGUGGAGCCUUAGUGGGAAAGUAGUAGUUAGCAGGUGAAUUAAUGGGUUGAUCAAAUGAAGGUCGCUAAUAUGGUGGUGAUGGAAGGUUUGGUAAUUAAGGGUUUUGAGAUGGAAAGUUUAGUGAUGGAAGGUUUGAAGAUUUUUGUUAUUGUUUCUUAGGGUUUUCUUUUGACUAUACGAAUAUAUUUUUGUUUGGUGAAUUGAGAGUGUUUGUGAGAGAGAUAAUUUAUAAUAGUGGAAUUGUAAUUGAAAAUUACGAAUUUUUAUAAUAAGAAACGUUUUUUUUUAAUUAUAACUAGAUGAGUGACCCCACAUUUGCGGGGCCAGAUUUGUAUUUUUUUUUGGUCUAGUGGUUAUAAAGCCUUUGUAUUCUACAUUUUUGGAGAGAUCAUGUUGGUUGUAACAUAAAAGUAUUUAUGAUGAUAUAUAGAAAACAUAAUAACAAAAAAUUUGUAAUUGUAGUUUACGCAAACAAAUGACAAAUAGAAGUAUGAUGGUAUAAGUUAAUACACAAAAAAUUGAAAAUACAUUCUUCUUAUUUUUACCAAAGUAAACAUGACAAUGGAAUAGAAUGGUUCAUUCCAUUCCACUGUUCAUUGUAGCUUUUAAAUCGUAGACUGGAACUACCUUCGCCUACCUACACUAACUUCCUUGCCUUACGAAAAGCAGAAUAAAUGCCUUAAACCUUGUUCCAAAAACCAUAGGAUUUGGAAUAUGAUUGACACUUCAAGCUGCAAGAAGAGUUCAAUAAAAAAAUGUUAUUUUGCAAAAAAAAAAAAAAAAAAAAAAAAAAAAAAAAAAAAAAAAAANAAUAGAUGAUCGUAAGAAUCAAGUACGUUGCUAUUAUCAAUAAAGUUCGAAUUAUCCAAAACUUCCUGUCACACCAGUAUAAUAUCAACAAUAAAAAACUUAAUGCAAUUUUAUAUAUGUUAAUUAAAAUCAUAAUCAUACCUUGCACUCCCCUUCUCUACAGUAGAUGAUGCCCUUAAAUGGAUGCCAAUUUAGAUCCCUUAGAUGGGUAAAGAGGUAAUUGCCACAUAUUUAUUUCUAAAUUGGCAUUUAGUUAUUCAUAAUGACUGCUUCCCUCAUCGAUGCUCUGCAAAUGUAUGAAUCUUCAAAAUUUAACAAUAAAAUGCUAUAAAUGAAAUACAAGCUGUGAAAGUAUAUGAGCAUAUGCACAACAAUAAAAAGAGAAUAAAAUUUAAAAAAAAUCAAACUAAAAAUUAAAAUGAUUAAAAAUUUAUCAAUGUGAGAGACCGGAUAUUAUCAUGUAUCACCAUUCCCAGAGAGGGUGAAAAGGGAUUUUUCAAUUCCUGUGUUUUUUAUGAAAAAACAAAAUAUAGUAAAUAUAUAAAACUACUGAUGUUUAUUAUCAAGUUCAAUUGUAUGUGACAUUCAAUUAUAUAUCCUGCAAAAACAGAGAUUCGGAUGGAAUGUUGAUAUAUGAGAGCUUUUCAUAAGACGUUUAAGGUAAUCUAAUCUGAUUUAACAUAAAAGAUAAACUGUAAAAGGUAUUCCUCUAAACUAAAAGUACACAAUACCAUCUCCUUCAGUGACCAGUGUGAUCCUUGUCAAGCAAUUAACCGCAGUGGUUUUCCCAGCUCCAUUAGAUCCUAGAAGACAAAAAAGCUGAUCCUUUGGGAAGUUCAUACAUAAUACCUAUAAAUAAGUUUAAAGAAAAAUCAGCUUAUAUGAUACACUUUUACAAAAGCAUAAAAAAAUAGUUAUGUACUUUCACUUCAUUGUAUGGUGCACUUCUCUUGCAAUUGUGUCAACCAAUAUUACUUCUUCCAGGAUACAGAUCAAUAACACCCUCGGAAAAAAAUGUAUUGAAAUUGUCAAAUGUGAACUUAAAUUAGAAGAGAAAAUUUUAUAGAAAAUGCAAAAAUCAAUUAUACUUGAGAACCGAUAAUGUAAUUUAAUCUAAUUGAAACCUACAAACAUAGAAUUUUUAGUAAUCAACUACUAACAUAAUGUUCUAAGCAUUUUGUGAUAGGCGAAGAACAUCACCAUUUUUACCUUCAAAGAAGUGCUUGGUAGCCUCAAUCACUUCAUGCCUUGAUGGGUUUCUUCAUUUGCAUUAUGCUUUAGAUUAUUCAAAUACUGUAUCAAGUUAUACCUUAGUAUGAUAUGUUAAAUCAAAAAUGUGUUUUUGCUUCUUCAAACUCCAAAUCUGAAAAACAAAAUAUUAUUAUUAUUAUUAGAAUUCAAGUCGAAUUUCAAGAAACUACCCGUUUUACUAUUCAAAAAUUCAAUUUUUAAUCCAUUACAUUUACCAAAAUAAAUACCAACUAUCUUUAUUUCUCGCCACUGUCAAUCCUUUGAUUACAUGAUAUUUUUCUUGAGUUUCUAAAUCUAAAAAUCAAACAACUAAGACCAGAAAAACAUUACAUAAGUAAAAAAUGAAGUAGCAACUACAUUCUAUUAACCUUGCCAACAUCUUGUGCAAUACCAUGCCAAAAAACCACAAAAUAGACAAAUACAAACCUAACAAUUGAAGGCAAUCAAAGCAUAAAAUCUUCAACGUGCCAUUUUGUCGAACAUCUUGUGUACAGUAAGAAAAUGCUAAUAUUGUCAUAAAAAAUAUCCAUGUAUGGUUGUAAAUCACUCAAAAUCCAGGAAAAAAAGAAUAAAAAUCAGAUAAUGAGAAAUUGAAAAAAAUAGGACAUUAUUAUUUAACUAAUUGUGUGAUUUCAUCAUAACAGAUCUAAAGGACCCAAUUGGUUAUUUGAUAUCUAAUGUUUACAUAUCUACUGAUUUAACUUGGGUCUUAUUUUAUGAAGUCAAGUAUGUACUGGUAUUAGUGGGCCACCACCUCAUCGAAAGCCAAUAGAUAACAAUGAAACAUAUAACAAACAUGGAAAGACAAAGAUCAAUACAUAAAUAAUGAAACUGAAGAAACACAAAAGAAAAAAAAUAAAGGGGAAAACACAUUAGUUGAUUUCCUCAACUUGCUGAUAUAGAUUCAUGGAAUUAGAAGGAAAAAUAUAGGAAACAACAAAAUAAAUAAAUAAAUAACAAUACAAAAGAACAAAAGAAUAAAAUAAAAACAGCAGUUAAAUGACCUAGAAAUAAAAAAAAGAACGAUGUAAAUAGACAAUUAAGGGAAAGAACUUACGAAGAACCGAAGGGAACACAAUAUGACAUCAGACAGCUAUGCAAACUUCCUUCACUGUUUAUUAAUCAUGUAUCAGAAUAAGAAAACUAAGCACACAAUAUUAACCUUACAUAUAGGUUAGAUGGGGAAAAGUAGGGAAAAGAUACCUAAAGAGGAGAGAUGAGUGGUAAUAGAGACUAAGGGUGCGUUUGGUUGUGGAAAACUAUUUUCAUUUUCUAUGAAAAUGUUUUCAGAAAAUAGAGUUGAGUUUUCAUUUUCAGUUUUCAAUGAAAACGCGUUUGGUUGGAACGGGUGAAGUUUUUAUUUUCCAUCUUAGAAAUUUGGAAAACUGUAAAAAUCACUUUUCUAAUUUAGAUACAAUUUUGAAAACUGAAAAUUUUCAUUUUCUUAGAAAACUUUGGAAAACUAAACGAACCAAACGUGUUUUCAAAAUUUCCAUUUUUCUUAAAAAUGUUUUCUAGAAAAUUGGAAAAUUUUCCACAACCAAACACACCCUAAACCUUUUCCAUCUCCUCGCCUCUAUAGAUGUUGGUUUGAAAAAAACUGUGUUGUGGUGAGUAGAUACCAAUUGAGCACCAGCCAACCACUUUAACAUUUAGUCCCUGUUGCUUCACCAUUUGUUGUUCUUUUAACAUCUUAAACUACAAAGAAUGCUCAAAGCUACAAAAGAAUUGUAAUUAGCUGGGUAUAAAUGAGAAGCAAAAUAAAUAUGGGUUAAACCAUGUUCCUAACUAAAACCUCUACCAAUGAUUUUUUUUGGUAGAUUCAUCGCCAUCUGAGAGCCCUUCUAUAUUCAAUUUCCUGGUUCGAACACAGAAGUCGUCAUGUCACUUUUUCUCCAGUUUCUAGUUGUUCCGAUACAGCCAAUACACAUAGGUGCAAUAAACAGUCCUUGAGGGAGUCUACCCUAUAGUCUUGAAUCUUAUGGGAGUGGAUUAGUUCCAUUUUAAAUCAAGUAAAUGUGAACUUGGAAAGUUUUGGAAGAAUUUGUAUAUAAAAAAACAUGGAGUAGUCGGUUGAAUCGGGUCGAUGAGAUAACCUGAAGAAGGAAUGUUAUACUCAUCUUCGUUUCUCAUUCGAUUUCGAUUGUUAGAAUAUAGAAGGAAAAGGGAAGACAAUCAUAAGGACGUGUAGAGGUGGUGGAAACGAUCCACUUGAAAAUGUGGCUUGUUGGAAAUCAAAGCCCUAAUCAAAUCGAGAAGGAUAAAAGAAAAAUCGAGGAAGUCAUCGUAGCUACAUCUGGUUUUUGGCAGUGAAAAAAUUUUAAGAGAAUAAGAAUUUAGGAAGACAAUAAAGUCGAUGACGGUGGAUAGAGUCAGUGAAGAAGAAGCUGAUCAGAGAAAGAAUGGUGGUGGAAGGACACCAAUCAGUGGAGCCGAUGACGAUACCAUAAAAGGCACAUCUUAAUAAAGUUGGAUUUGAAGUGGUGCAAGGUAAUUGGAUGAGGAGGCGGUGAAGAGAUGUAGAUUCAUAGAAGAGGAACACGUAUCUUGCCCAUUGAAUCAGAAAGCUGAUGCGACAACACGUGGUCCUAAUAAUAUAGAUAUUGAUAGAAAAUGACCCAAAACAUAGAAUAGACAGAAGUAAACACACUAACAUUAAUGGAGGACCAGUUUUGCCAAAACCUUAGGAACUUUAUUGUUCCUAAGGAUGGUCCUCCUUUAAUAUAUAUAUAUAUAUANGGAUCUCAUUUUUGUUUUGACCAAGUUUAUAUAUAUAUAGGCUUAGGUUAUUUUGUUUUUACUAAGUAUUGUGUGCUAGAAUGCACAGAUCUGGACCAACGGAUGAAAUUAAUCAAUGGACAUGAUUUGAGAGUGUAUGAUAUUACAAUGGUGUAACAUGUACCAUAUAAUCACAAAAUUUUUAGCAAAAGGGUAUUUUGGACAAUUAACUACAUUUAUAAAAUGAAAUUAUCGAAUUUUUAGGGAUGACUAAUUCUCCUAAUUUAAAAAAAAUAUGAAUUUUUUAAUUAAUUCAAUUUCAAUUUUUACCGAUUUUAUUCUGUCAGAAUAUUUUUUGUUAGAAUGAUGCUCUUUCAGAAUUUUGUUCUAAUAGAAUAUUAUUUAAGAAAAACAAAAUUCUUGAAUUAGAUGUUGAAAAAUAACAAACAUUCUAAUAUAUUCUUAUACAUCCGAACUUAAAUACAAAUUCAUACAGACUAAAAUCCUUAUACAUUUUAUAUAUAGUUAUACAUAUUCUGAUAGAAUAUCCACUUGAUCUUCUCAUAUAUACUUGUUGUUGAACUCGAUUCCAAAUAUUUCUCUUGUAUGAUCAAUAUUGAAUUCUUCCCCAUGCAAUUCUAAAAGAAUAAGAUAUAGUACCAUUCAAACAUUCUCAAAAAACCUUCUAACAGAAUGCGUUUAUAUAAAUAAAUUUUGACAGAAUACAUUACAGAAUGCACUUAAAUAACCUUUUUUGCAAUCAAAAUCCACCUUGCCAAUAUCCAUGUGAAAUUUAGAACCAUGUGAAUUUUAGUAAAAUGAUUUCCUAUCUACAACCAUUAAAAUCUAUCUUUGAUAAAAAUUUAUAUUCUAUGAGAAUGUCAUUAAAUCAAAUUCUAGGCAUUUACAAUAUGUGAGAAAUUUGCCAUAAAAACAAAAUUCUAGGCAUUCUUGAAUGUUUGAACAAUCAUAUCCUCCAUCAGAAAAUAAGAAAUAACAAUUUGAGCUGAUAAUUUGGCCCGAAUAGCCUGUUGUACUCUUUUGUAGUUUUGCAUAAGCAUAAAACAGAAAAUUAAUUUAUUGACAAAGAAAAUCGAGUUUUGAGUUCAAUAGAUUAGAAUUGUAACUGCACAACGAACAUGAAUUUGUAAGAAAAGUUGCAAUUUCUACAAUAAUCGAUUACUAUUUUAUAUACAACCCUCUAUAGAAAUUAAUGGAAAGAAAAUAAAACAAACCUCAACAUAAGUCAAUGAUGGAAGUGUGGUUGAAAAUUGGAAUCGAUUGGCAUCAAACAAAAAUCAAAACACAAGAAAAACAUACUUGCAACUAUGGUUAAUUGGUCGUUGAUGGCAACUAAUGAUACAUGAUGAAGCAGAAUGUCUACUUACCUCAAAAUCGACACCACCAGGCACCCCUUUCUUCUUCCUACUCGAUUUCAGCCUCACUUCCCUUCAUCCUCUUCUCUUCCGAUCGCACAACCCCUCCCCUCCAGAUUUCUUUUUCUCGGCCGAUAGCAAAAAGGGAACCAACGAAACACGUCCUCGCACAAUGGACUUGGACGGCUAGGGUUAGUUUAGGGCCUUUUAUGGUAACUGUUCCAUUAAUUAAGGAGUUUUAUAUCUAUAUAAGAGAAUUAUUUUUGGUUUAAUAAAUGAAGGUGAUGUAAAGUUACAAAAUUACCCUUAUAUUAUUUUUUAAUAAUUUUAUUAUUCCUAAAUUCCUAUUGGUGCAUUUAUGCACACAAUAGUUGCUAAAAACAUUUGAACCUAGCUCUCUCUCUCUCUCUCUNNNNNNNNNNNNNNNNNNNNNNNNNNNNNNNNNNNNNNNNNNNNNNNNNNNNNNNNNNNNNNNNNNNNNNNNNNNUAUAUAUGAAUGUACAAAAGUGAAUGGAAAUGAAUGUCCUGAAAAUAAAUUCAAUCAAAGGGAAAUUGCAACCUGGUCCAACCCCUCCUCCACUAAUCACAAUCCUCUAUUCGUUUCUCUCUCAUCUCGCCAACAAUUUAGCGAUGGAAGCUUAACGAGCCCCCUAACGAGCGCUAAGGGCGGUGUUCUCCUCCUUUUAGCGACCCUAGCGAUCCGGUAGCGAGCAUCCACUCCGUUUUGUCUAAUUGUAGAUGGUUUUCAUUGUUUUCAUUUCCUAGUGGUUGGAGUGUUAGAUAUAUAGAAGGGCAUGAUUAUAAGAAGACAACUUUGAGCGAAGGUUUUUAUUAUUAUUAUUAAUAAUUUUUUUUAGUUUCAACAAUAAAUUAUAUCUUAAUUUAUUUAUAUUUUAAAUAACAUGAAAAAAAUUUAUUAAAACUUUUUUUUGUCCUUAGACAACUGUAGUAUCUUUAAAAGUAUUUUUUCUAGUAGGGAUAUGCAAAACUUAUAACUGAUAUGCAUUUACACAUUUAGUCAUUCAAGUUUUUUUUAUCCACAAAAGACCAUUAAAGUUAAAUUUUACCUAUUAAAUAUAUCAUUAUAUAACCUGAUAAAGAAGAAGCCAGUUGCUUUUAUGACGUGACAUUUUAAAUUAUAUUUUUUUAUAUCUUUUUUAUGAUGUGGCAUUUCUUUAUAUAAGUUUUGUUAUAGAACAUAUCAAUUGCGAAACAUUUGUUGUUCACACUCUCAUCUUCUUCACCAUUUAUCACAUCCUUAUCCUUGUUGUUCAUAUCCACAUCUUCUUCACCUCCUCCAUAUAAAUCACGUUCUAAUCGAUGUUUUAAACCUAGAAAUUUAUAUUGCAAUCGUUUUAUUCUACUAGUAAUUUUACAAUCAAAAACUCCCUAAUCCGCCUACUAGAGGUGUUCAUGAUUCUUAGAUCCCUCGCCAGAAAAAUAUCCCAACGACAAGUACACUGAGAAAAAAAACCAUCUAUCAAAGUCAAGAAACACACCUUUAACAAAUCUAGAAAACACACCAUCGCUUCUGUCUGGUUCUGUUCUGCCUAUCGUACCUAUCACUAUCGCUAACCUUCAAAAUAGGACCUUUUAUAACUAAAUGGAAUCAAUUUCAAAAAUUGAUGCCUCUCAUCCUCCUUCCUCCUAAUUCAGAAUAUGAACAAGGUGUGAUUAUGUUUUCAUGUGUUUCAAGAAAAAACCGAUAUUAAUUCUUCCAAAAAUCGAGCUCAGUUUGUAGAUUUCUUCCAAAGUGAUUUCAUAUACUAGAAAACAGCCAUGGAAACCACAACAGUUCUCACUUAAAAUUGAUCGAUUUAAUAAAGGUUAUUCCAUGGCUUCGAAGUACGUCUCACUGAAACCAUAGCAACCGUCUUGAUGGAAAUAGUAGCAACGGUCUUCGUGAAGAUCGAGUGGGAUGGAAGGGGACUAUCAUUGGAUUUUUUUUCAUAGAGAUACAAGAGCGAGUAGUCAUAAAUAUGAAAUUGAAGAUGACCAAGGUUAUGGCCUUCAUUGGUUGCUUGUGUUUUUGUGUUUUGAUUCCUCUUUCUUCAAUCGAUUGUAGGUUUAAAUCGAUGGGUCUAAAAAGAACUCAAAUCCUUCCUUAUUAUGAUUCAUGUUUUGUUAGAGUGCUAGAAAUUUGAGAGGAAAAUACGUACAAGGGGAGAGAUUAUUUUGAAGGGUGAAGAUGGCUUGCAGAAAUGAAGAAAACAAAUACAGGAGAAGAUAAUGUUGAUGGAUCCCUAAGAGAGAGAGAGAGAGAGAGAGAGAGAGCUCAAACAUAAAACAUGAAAUGGAAAAAUAAAAGCCAUAGGGAUGAAGUUUUGAUUUCUAUUUUUUUUUUUAAAAAAAAAACCCACAUAUACUAUGUUUUAUCAGUGAAACCGAAAUUAUAUUGGAUGAUUAGUCUAUUUAGCAGGUAAAACUUAAUUUUAAUGGUUUAUUGUGCAAAAAAAAAACUUGAUUGACUAAAUAUUUAAAUGCAUCAAACUUUGUUGUGCUACAAUCCCAAAAACCUCAUAAACUAUUUUAAUUCUACAAGACACCUUGGAUUAUUGAAACGUGUAAACAACAAACUAGGGAUGAGCAUAUGGACCGGGGAACCGGCCGGAACCGGUACCGGAACCGGAACCGGCACCGGAACCGGAACCCGAUGGAACCGGUCGGGCCGGGACCGGGACGUUAUUUUUGUGGAUUUUUGGAACCGAGAACCGGUAGGAACCGGAACCGGUAGAACCGGCAAAAACCGGAACCGUAUGAUGCUAUUUUUCAAGGAGCGGUUCCAACAUUUGAAGACACGACAAGAACCAGUAGGAACCGGGAACCGGUAGAACCGCCGGGCCGGUUCGGUUCUUGAUUUUGGCCGNCUGUUCUUGAUUUUGGCCGAAGCCGGUUCCCCGGUCCGGUUCGGUUCGGGCCGGUUCGGGCCGGUUCGGUCCUUUUGCUCAUUCCUACAACAAACUAUAUAUUUAAUUUUUAUCUUUUUUUUUAAACGACAAAUCUAAUCUACUCCCAAACUACACCUUAAAUCCACCUAUGUCAACGACGAGACUUGAACCCUCAAUCUCAACGAGAAAGGACAACACCGGAUACCGCUAGGCUAUAAGCCCUUUGAUAGGCUACCAACAAGUGCUUCUUCGGUUCUUCGGCUACUAUAAUAUUCAGAUUUAGGAAGUAUACGAUCCAAUAAAUACAAAUAUUUCACAUUAUUACAUAAAAUAAGUAAAUACAAUGUAUGAACACUUAGCUAAUCACCUCGUCUACUAGUCGCUUGUUAGUCUCGGUUUUAUAUAUAUNNNNNNNNNNNNNNNNNNNNNNNNNNNNNNNNNNNNNNNNNNNNNNNNNNNNNNNNNNNNNNNNNNNNNNNNNNNNNNNNNNNNNNNNNNNNNNNNNNNNNNNNNNNNNNNNNNNNNNNNNNNNNNNNNNNNNNNNNNNNNNNNNNNNNNNNNNNNNNNNNNNNNNNNNNNNNNNNNNNNNNNNNNNNNNNNNNNNNNNNNNNNNNNNNNNNNNNNNNNNNNNNNNNNNNNNNNNNNNNNNNNNNNNNNNNNNNNNNNNNNNNNNNNNNNNNNNNNNNNNNNNNNNNNNNNNNNNNNNNNNNNNNNNNNNNNNNNNNNNNNNNNNNNNNNNNNNNNNNNNNNNNNNNNNNNNNNNNNNNNNNNNNNNNNNNNNNNNNNNNNNNNNNNNNNNNNNNNNNNNNNNNNNNNNNNNNNNNNNNNNNNNNNNNNNNNNNNNNNNNNNNNNNNNNNNNNNNNNNNNNNNNNNNNNNNNNNNNNNNNNNNNNNNNNNNNNNNNNNNNNNNNNNNNNNNNNNNNNNNNNNNNNNNNNNNNNNNNNNNNNNNNNNNNNNNNNNNNNNNNNNNNNNNNNNNNNNNNNNNNNNNNNNNNNNNNNNNNNNNNNNNNNNNNNNNNNNNNNNNNNNNNNNNNNNNNNNNNNNNNNNNNNNNNNNNNNNNNNNNNNNNNNNNNNNNNNNNNNNNNNNNNNNNNNNNNNNNNNNNNNNNNNNNNNNNNNNNNNNNNNNNNNNNAUAUCGAUGGCCUGCUUCAAGAAAAGCUAAUCAGCUCGUGAAACUGAAAAUAGUCAAUGCAUGGAAACCCUUUGUUUACCACCAAAGCUCUAUCUAAUAGAUUGCAAUAAUUACAUAACAUUUAACACUUUCCCAAAAACUCUAUAUAAUAUAUAUGUAGAUAAGAAUGCAUGUUCACAGUUUACUCUCUGUCCCGACCUUUCCAUCUCUAAAGUUCUUCUCUACAUUGAUUCGAAGAGUUUUGAUCUUAAAACUUUAAGGGCUUUAUUGCGUGUGCCGAGAUAUUGUAAAGAUCAAUCAACCAACAGAAAAUGGUGAUUGAAGGACGUUAUAUAUAUAAUAUUUGUUGCUUCAAUAUAUUUUUCAAGGUUCUAACUUCUAAAAAGCUGCUUUUAUCAUGACAUAUCAUAGUUCCGAGGCUUGUGUCAUGGGUCAUGUUUUAAUAAAAUGUCAGGUAAAUUAUAUGUGUACUCCAACUGUUUUGUAAGAUUUAAAUAGUCAAAAUAUCAUGUUUUUAACAUUUUAAAAAAAAGUUAAAUUGUAUGCACUCUAACUGUUUGAUGAAAUGCAUAAACUAAGUUACCACGUUAUAUUCAUAUAUGAAUAUGUUUUCUCAGUAUAUGAUUAUUAAAACAAAAAAACAAAUGCGCAAGUCUGUAUGUUAUUCAUAUGUGAAUAGCAUAUAAAAAUUAUAUAUAUAUUUGUGAAAAUACCUUGUAAUAUUCAUAUGUGAAUAUACUGUGUAAUAUUCAUAAGUGAAUAUAUCAUCCAAUAUUCACAAAUGAAUAUACUAUGUAAUAUUCACAUGUGAUAUACCAUGUAAUACUAUGUAAUAUUCAGAUAUGAAAAAUAUUAUAUAAUAUUCAUAAGUGAAUAUAUACCAUCUAAUAUUCACAAGUGAAUAUACUAUGUAAUAUUCAUAUGUGAAUGUAUCGUCUAAUAUUUAAAUAUGAAUAUAUUAUGUUUAUUAUAUGCUAUAUUCAUAUAUGAAUGAUACUUAAAUUGUAAAAAAAAAAUUAAUCAUAGUUUUUAUUCAUAACUGAAUAACGAAUGUACUUUAGUAAAAACCUGAUUCAUUUUUAUUCACUUAUAAAUAACGAUAGCUGAAAAUAUAAAAAAAAAAUUUAUUUUAUCUUAAAACUAUAUCAAUAUGGAUGUCUAUUUGUAGAGAAUAAAAAAUCAUGAAUUUUGGUAUAUUUAAAAUCAUUUUUCGAUAAAAAUANNNNNNNNNNNNNNNNNNNNNNNNNNNNNNNNNNNNNNNNNNNNNNNNNNNNNNNNNNNNNNNNNNNNNNNNNNNNNNNNNNNNNNNNNNNNNNNNNNNNNNNNNNNNNNNNNNNNNNNNNNNNNNNNNNNNNNNNNNNNNNNNNNNNNNNNNNNNNNNNNNNNNNNNNNNNNNNNNNNNNNNNNNNNNNNNNNNNNNNNNNNNNNNNNNNNNNNNNNNNNNNNNNNNNNNNNNNNNNNNNNNNNNNNNNNNNNNNNNNNNNNNNNNNNNNNNNNNNNNNNNNNNNNNNNNNNNNNNNNNNNNNNNNNNNNNNNNNNNNNNNNNNNNNNNNNNNNNNNNNNNNNNNNNNNNNNNNNNNNNNNNNNNNNNNNNNNNNNNNNNNNNNNNNNNNNNNNNNNNNNNNNNNNNNNNNNNNNNNNNNNNNNNNNNNNNNNNNNNNNNNNNNNNNNNNNNNNNNNNNNNNNNNNNNNNNNNNNNNNNNNNNNNNNNNNNUAUAUAUAUAUCGUCUUAAACGAUUCCUUUAAAAAAAAAUGAUUUGCCACUAGUCGUAAAAACUUCAAACUUUACAUUGCAAUUAAGUGCUUUAUCGUUAUUUAGAACUAUUGUAUUUCCUUCUGUUUUACAUUGAUAGAAACAACCACAAAAUGUUAACUCACAUCAAUGUACAAAAUAAGCUUAAACAACAACUAUUAAAAAAUAAAUAAAACAAUAUUUACAAAAUCAUUAAUAAAAUAAACCACGAUUAUAUGCAUCGCCUCUCUGUAGGGAUGAGCAUAGGCGGGUACCCGCCUAAUUUGAUAAGAACCGGAACCAGAACCGGAACCGGCGGUUCUUGAAAUUAUGAAACCGGAACCGGAACCGGUUACAUCGGUUCUCAAAAUUUCAAAACCGGCCCCGGAACCGGCAGUUCCGGUUCCAAUACCGGGUUCCCAGUUUAGUUGUUUGUUUUAGAAUAAUCAAGAACAAAUCAACUACAACAAGAACUAGGUAAAACCCAUUUAUAAAAAUAUUAACUAUGAAUUCAGUUAAAUACGUAAGCAUGCAUAUUAACUGAAAGCUCCUUAUUUGGAAAAAGGAAAUGAAGAGGCCUUAAGGGGAUAUGAAGCAUGAAGUUCAUUUAUAUAACAAUGGUGAGGAACAGACUUUUGUUUAGAAGUGAUGUGGGAUGGAAAUAUGGGAUGAGAAUAAGGGUGAAGUUUAAUCUCCUCCCACUUUUGCCUGUAAGCAUUAAAUCCACAACCAUGCCUUCCUUAAAUCUUAAAAAAUAGGACGGAAAUGAAAUGAAAUGGAAUUAAUUUAACUUCAGCCACAUCGACCUUUUNUUUAGCUUGCUGUUAACAAAUUUUGCAUGUAAUUUUAAUAUAUCUUCAAUAACCAUUACAAUUAAUCAGUAUGACAAACGUAUGUAAUUUUAAAAUAGAGAUUAAUAAUGUGUUUGUAUUUUCAACUUUGCUAUAUAUAUAUAGGCGAGUAGCGGUUCCGGGAACCGGAACCGGGACCGCCUAANNNNNNNNNNNNNNNNNNNNNNNNNNNNNNNNNNNNNNNNNNNNNNNNNNNNNNNNNNNNNNNNNNNNNNNNNNNNNNNNNNNNNNNNNNNNNNNNNNNNNNNNNNNNNNNNNNNNNNNNNNNNNNNNNNNAGCGGAUACCAUGAUGCUCAUCCCUAGCUCUCUGCAGUUGUCCGAAAAGUCCCAUAUUUUAACUUAAAUCUUGAAAAAUGGUUAUAAGAUUAACCUCUUUGGUCUCUUUCUUUUAUUAAUUUAUUAUUACUAAUACCAUCUAAUACUAUAAAUUUAAUAAAUUAUAAAAAAAAAAAAUAGCGAGCACAAUGACCAUUCUACAAGAAUUUAAAAGUAAUAUUACUAUUUUGAAAUUAAAUUUUAAUCGUAUUUGAUAUUGUAUAAUCUAUAUAUUGAAAAGAAUUAAUAAAUAAACUUAACACAUAAAACCGGGAUACCAGUAGCCCUUACGUUUUCAAUAAAUUAUAUAAUUAUUUAAUAAAAAAAUAUGUAAUUUUCUAUAAAUAGCAUCCAUCCGACGGUAGCACCAGUAACCAUGGCUUCUUCUCUUUCCUUAAUGCUUUUCUGCUUCAUCUUCAUAUCAUUCGCCAUCUCAGACGCUGUUGUUCCCCCCGCCGACACUUUUCGGUAUGUCAACCAAGGCGAUUUUGGAGAAGCCAACUCCGAAUACGCCCCAAACUAUCGUGCUCUUCCUCCAUUCACAUUUCCUUUCCAGCUAUGUUUCUACAAUACGACACCCGGUGUCUACACUCUCAGUCUCCGCAUGGGGGUCCGAAAUGACGAAUACAUGAUGCGAUGGGUAUGGGAAGCAAACAGAGGCAACCCUGUUGGCGAAAACGCCACAUUCUCAUUGGGCUCCGACGGAAACCUUGUACUGGCCGACAGAGAUGGCCGGAUCGCAUGGCAAACCAACACCGCCAACAAGGAUGUCGUCGGUUUUGCCAUACUCUCCGAUGGUAAUAUGGUGCUGCGUGACUCCAAGGGUAGUUUCGUAUGGCAAAGCUUUGAUUCACCUACUGAUACUCUCUUGUUUGGUCAAUCUCUCCGGAUCCGAGGUCCGACGAAGCUCGUCAGCAGAGCUUCAACGACGAACAACGUUAACGGAGCGUAUAGUUUCGUGAUAGAGCCUAAGAGAUUGGGUUUGUAUUAUAAGAACAUGCUUUACUGGUCAUCCACGUUCCCGGAAGUGAGCCAACGAAAUGUGACUAUUGUUAAUGCAACAUUCGGCAUCGUGGAAACCGAAUACAAUAAUGACUUUAAUGCACUGAGGGUUGUUCUAUCAAACUCUGAUGCUCAACCUUAUGUGGACUUGGACUUACUCCGAUUCAAUAACACGUUAUCGUAUAUCCGAUUAGGCAUCGACGGGAACUUACGACUCUACUCUUAUCGUCCGAAUGUGGCUUUUGGCAUGUGGAGUCUGGUGUUCAGUUUAUUCGAUAAAAGGGAGAACCCGAGGGGGGAUAUAUAUGAAGACGAGUGCCAACUGCCUGAACGCUGCGGCAAGUUUGGGCUGUGUGAGGAUAGCCAGUGUGUUGGGUGUCCGUCGUCGGAGGGUGUUUUUGCGUGGAGCACAAAAUGCAACGUGAAGACGCCGUCUUGUAAAGCGGGUGGUUCUCGUUACUACCAGCUGAAAGGAGUCGACCAUUUCACUUCUAAAUACUCUCCGGGGACUGGGCCGGUGAAGCAGAAAGAUUGCGAGAGUAAAUGCACAAACGACUGUAAGUGUAUGGGGUAUUUCUAUCGCACUGAUCUAUCGAGGUGUUGGAUUGCUAACGAGUUGAAAACGUUGACGAGG